rnacentral:lncRNA from 1 species
GUGGGGGAGGGUUGUGUUAGGGUACAUUAGUUGGUUCAAUCGACUCAGGCAGAAACCCAAACCCAACUUCACUUGGGUGCUGGCUCGAGGUGCCCAACGCUUGGGCCCAGGUGUGCACCUAAGCAACGCUUCAUUGAAACACCACACCUGGAGGCUUUGCGAGGCACGGAGGCCUCAUCUCGUCUCGCCUCGCUAGAGUGCCUUUUGAAAACAUUGAUCUACAGAUGUUGGGGUUCCAUAUUGCCCUUUAAACUAGAGUGGUCUCACACUAGUCAUGAUGGAGACAUCUAAUCAUGACGGAGUCAUGAUGGUAAUACACAUGUUGCUCACCAAACACAAGACCAUCUAGUUGCCCCAUUUGAUGAUCCGCUAAUUCAGAAGAAAAUCGGUCUAUCGGUACUAGUUUAUUUGCCCAUCAUCGAUAGGGAUAAUGACCAUAAUCAACAUGAUACAAUUCAUGGUAUCAUAUAACGUGCAAAAUAUAAUAUCAUAUAAGAAUGCAAACCAACAUAAUACCAUCACCAGUAGAGUAUCAUCCAAUAACAAGCAAGAACGUGAAUGUAAAAUAGAAUAAUAUCUUAACCAACUUAAGAGGUUCAUCAUUCAUAUUAUAAGGCUAACAACAAUAAACAACACAAGGUCAAAUAGAAGUUGACUUGAGUAUAUCCAAGACCCACUUAAGAAUGCCUAUGUUAUUAGAUUAGAUAAAUUCAGCAUAAUUUAACUAUUGAACCCAUCUUGACUUUUCUAGACUAAUAAAUCCAGAUGAGCAAAUUAUGCUAGUUCAAACUAGCUUCACUAAGUAUGCAUCUCAUUAACACUUACUAUGACCGUUAAAUAACUCUAGCUUAAAAUGAUACAUUCAAAUUAAAUUGGGUCAUUAAUCAUUUGUUUGUGUUACUAAUCAUUUUGAUUCCCUUUGCAUUGUUUGUUAGUGCAAUAUAAUAUACAUAAUGACUACAAGGUAUCCUGAAAACAAUUUCCUCUUAAAUUCUCAUUAAAGAUCUCACCUACAUGUGUAAUUACUAAUAGUGAUAUAUGCACAUCACCUAUGACCACAUAGAUGAAUAUGUGCAUACAUGCAUGACAAAUGAAUACUGUUAUUGGAAAUUACACUUAGGUACGUACCAUGUACUACCAGGCCAAGUGUAGGAAAUGUAAGUUGUGCUGAAAAUGGAGAUUGGAUGAUUCACGUGGUUAAGGGCCAGCAUUUAUUUGGCCAACUCUUUCGUGUACAAUAAGUCCAUUCAGAUAGAACAUGGGAAAAGGUCUUGCAUUAAAUAAGGAUUAACAAGUGCAUGAUGUUAUUGCUAAUAAGGCACAAAAUGAGUCAUUCACAUUAGGGUCAUUAAAUAUCACUUAAAUUCCACUUGACUGUCAGAGGGCCACUAUAUAACCAUCACAUAUUUUGAUAGGUUAGUCACAAAACAAUAGAUUGACUAGCAAUCUAGUAAUACAUGCCAUGGAAUAAAUGUGGUUACAGUCUAAACAUUAUGCUUCUUCCCAAACUAUCUAGUUUUGAGUAAGAAAUUAGCAAUGAAGCCAUGACCUAAAGGUAAUGGUUGGGUUGAGGCUAGGCCAUGGUAGAACGGUUCAUGCAAGCUAUGGCCUCAAAUAUGCGGAGGGGCCCAUGGCUUGCGUUAGAAUAUUACUACCAUAUCCUAUAGCCCUAUGGCCAGAAGACUUAUGCCAUGUGGUCCUUGACUUAUGGUGAAUUACAACAAGAUUUCCUCUUUCUGAUCACUAAUUGGCCUACGAAUGGAGGAAAGCUCCAAAAUUGUAACAGUGGAUUCAAGUUUGUCAGUGUAACAGAACUGAAGCAUGGACAUAGAUUUACUCCAAGUGUCGAGUCAUUAUCACGAGCUAUCUCCCACAGUCCCACUCUAGGAUAUUGGCUUGGAAGUCAGUACACUUAUGAAUGUGUAGAGCAGUCAUCAUUUGAGACAUCUGAAAUUACUCAUAGGAUGUUAAGCAUAGUGCAUGCAUAUGUUACAAGAACGCAAAAGAUGUAGUGAUUUUGAUUGUGCUAUCACUUGUUUUGUCUAUUCAUUGGAUUAUGCAGAUGACAACACCAAAAGGUAUUGCAACCUCAACUAAGAUAUGCCUCUGAGUUGUUUGUCCACACUAGACCUAUGCAAAUGUGGAUUAACUUCCAACUGGUUCAUAUCCAAGUUCAUUUCAAGGAUUGGUUAGUGGAUCAGUUAGAGCAUGAGAUAUUAAGUGCAUCGGGGUGACACUGAAAUUCCAAUAGUGAUGCCUUAUGACCAUGAUUCUACCAGUAACCUAGUUAACCAUUGCACAUGAAGUGCAAGGAACAUAUACCACAAUUGAAACAUGUUAAUCAGAUUAGAAGUAUUAACUACCAUUUUCUUAUACAUAGAUAUUAUCGCUCAUUGUUAUUUCCUUUUCCUUCUUAGGGAAUUUGGUAAAUAACAAAUGACAUGCAUUUUCUACUACACUCACAUGGAUACAAGUAAAAAGAUUCGAAUCAUCUACUGGAAAAUUGAGCCACAAUCAUAAUAGAAAAUUUGCCAUAGAUAUCAUUACGCUUCAUAUGAUAAUUUAAGCAUCGAAAAUAGCAUUUUUGGAUGACAAGGAACGCUUUUUAUUUCAAUACAAUCAUCUACAUCAUAGAAAACAAUGAGAUAGAAGGAAGGAAAUCUCUAGAAAAGAUCACUACCAGGUUUCUGACAUGGAAAAGAAAAAAAAUAGAAUCCUACCACAAUCCUCAAGGCAAUGCAUGGUCCCCCAUCACAUUCCUUCCUCUCAAAUAUAUUUCCUCCUAAAUUUGUUAGAUGAGUGAGGACAGACAAAUAAAAAGAUGAGUUCUGUAUUAUUCUCAAAGAACAGUACUCUCUCCUCAUUCCACACCCCAAAAGCCAUCAGUAUUCAGUAACUGAACCCAUCACACAUCCCACCCUUUCCUAAGUUCCAAUUUAAAACUACUAUAUUACCCUUAAACCAUGGGGUUAUAACAAAUGCUCUUCAGGCUUUUACUUCCCCAUUAAUCAAUAUAUCACUUGUUCAAAGCAUGAUCUAAGAAACAAGCUAAGAUUCCAUUUUUGUAAAUUUUGUUGCUUGGUCAUUGAUUCUGUCUAAUUGAAAUGCAUAUUGGUCGAACAGCAUAAAUGUAUAGAUAAGUGCAACAAGUACUUCAUAGGUGUGACUCGACCGCCAUUUUAUAUGUUUUGGAAAAUGAACUGAGACAUGGUCACUCAGGUUUAUAGUCUGAAUUAUGCUUCCUUGCGAAAAUCCGUGAAUAAGGAGCCAGAUUUUGAUGGCAUAAAUAAACCGAAUAGUAUUUAUGGUUUUGAUUAGCAAUUAGCAGCCAGCAUGAAGCCCAUGCUUGUGAAAGAAGCUUGUUCUGCUAAACAAGUUUAUGCCUCCUUGAACACAAAAGAUUUUGCUAAAAAGCAUAUGUAGCAUAGUUCCCAGAGUAUUUUGUAGGAAUGCAUUAUUUCACUUUAUUCAGAAAUCCUUGUUUCAUAUGAACAGUAGAAGAAUAUUAUUCACUUUGAUUUUUUUUUUUUCAUACAGAUCAAGAUAGUUUAAGGGCCACUAGCAUACAAAAAACCUUUUUUUCACUCUAUUGAUGUACCAAAGGCACCACUCCUUCAAUUGGAUUAGUAGGAAAAAUAUGCUUGCUUCUUGACAGGAGACCAACGUCAAAUGGCGUUUUUCAAUCAGUUUAAUCAAACAAGGAUAAGAAUCCUCCUUAAAAUUGGGCAUAGCCAACGAACAAGAACGGAAAAGAACGAAAAUAGUAUGAUACUUAGUUUCCAAAACUAACAUAAAUGGGCAGUUCAAAUACAUCAAAUUAAUUGUUUCCAAAACUGACAUAAUUGGGCAGUCCAAACACAUCAAAUUGGACUCCUAAAACCAAUUACGGGAAAAGGCACACAAAGAACUUGAAGAAGAAGAAAAACAACGAACCGACUCACCGUUGACUGGGUUGCUGUAGUUGGCGUAAGCGUGGCCAAGCGAUCGUCAUGUUCCGAGGUCACGGCAAACCCGGACGGUCACCACCGGGCCGAUUUGGCUGAACAGAUCGUACACCUGCGUUUCUGUCACGCUCGCCUGAAAGUCCCCCACGUACAGCGACGUGGACGGGAACUGGUUUCCCCCGGAGCCGGCCACGCCGCCUCCGUCGUUGCUAACGUCCCGUUCGGCGCCUGCUGGUGCGUCAGAGCCUGCGCCAUCUUGCGAACCCGAUAUAACCUUCUUUUUUUUGUUUUUUCUCUCUCUUUCCUCCCCAACGACGACUACAAACCUUCUCUGGUUUUUAGGGUUUUGACUGACAGACACGGGAACAAGAAUAUUGGAUCGGGGAGACAUCUGUGCUCUUUUUAGGGGUUUUCCGGGGUUUUUUGGGUGUUUUUUUGAUCGGAGGAGGUGAAAAUUUUAAAUGACUUGACUCUCCACUAUUAUAUCUUCUUCAUUCACCUUCUUGGCCAACCCAACACACACUCACUCGCUGGCUCGCGUUUAGACGGCCUUUGGUUCCACUUCGCUUGUGAAUAUUACCGCUCACCCCAACCGUCGCGUAGUUGCCGGAUCAGAUCUCCACUCCCUCGCGCCCUCGCUCUCGCUCUCGGUCACGGAGCAGCGAGCGAAUCCGAUGGGGAAGAUGAGGGCGUGGUGGACCGUUCUGGUGGUGAUCGUGGCGGCCGGCUCGGCGGUGGAGGCGUCCAAGUCGAAGACCAAGGCGUGCGACAAGGGUGGGAGUGCAGCGGCAGCGUCUACUGCUGCAACGAGACCGUCAGCGAGUACUUGCACGUGUAUCGGUUCGAGAACCUCUUCAGCAAGCCCAACGCCCCCGUUGCCCACGCCGUCGGCUUCUGGGACUACCCGCCCUCUACGAGCCCCUCGGCUUCGGCACCACCGGCGAUAAGUAGACCAAGAUGAAGGAGGUCGCCGCCUUCCUCGGCCACGUCGGCAGCAAGACCUCCUGUAAGCCAAAAAGAAAUCCCAUCCCUUUCUCCCUCCAAUCCCUCCCUCCCUUCCGUUCGUUCAUGCAUCUAAUCAAAUUGCUGCCAAUUGUCUCUUUUUACCUUCUUAUUGACGAUGGAAAUUGCAUCACAUAGAGAAGGGAAAUCAAAAAAUUGGAUCAAUGAUACUCGAUGCUUAUGCUAACAAUUUGAUCAAGUUCAGAUCCUUGCCUGCACAAUCAUAUAUCGAAGAUGGUGAUGAGGAUAGUAAUUAUGAUAAGACUCGGCUGAUGUCAGAUGACGCCUCACGUAACAGCACCUGGUCAAUACAGAUCGGAACGCCGACCGAGGUGUAUUAACAUCCUGCCAAAGCUCAAUUAUUCACGUCAUGUCAACACAAAGUUAGACGCUACCAGUCUGCCUCCUGCAAGCGGGCAGCUCAGGAAGCAGUAUGCUUCCUUAUAAAUACCCUCUUGUUCAUUAGAAAGAGGAAGGAGAGACAAACACACAAAAACACUUCUUCAUCUAAAACCUCCUCCACAUCUGCUAACUUGAUUGUCGGAGGGGUCGGGCCGAGGCGGAGCCGAAGGUCCCCUCCGGACGCGCAGACGAGGAGUUCCUGCCCGGAGGAGACGGCUACACCGUCCCGAUCGGACACCGCACCCGAUCGCCUCAGCGGGCUCGAGGAAUGCCCCAGGGAGAUCGCCGUCGUCCGGACUCGAAUCGAGCCGCGUCGGCCCCGAGUCACGACUCAAAGUUGUUUCCCACAACAGAUGGGUAGCGACUGAUUGUCAUGGACUCGUCGUAUAAAAACCUAUAAAGACUAUUUGAACUUAUUCUUUUCUGCAUGCUGGCUCAUGAUUCCUCAAAUGUUUAGUAAUCAUUGUCGUUGCUGCCUAUCCGUCCACAUAUUUCUUCACAUACAUGUAUAUCUGCUGAACAUCUGUGUUGCAGGUGGGUAUGGUGUUGUCACCGGUGGUCUGCUUGCAUGGGGAUUAUGCUACAACGAUGAAAUGAGCCCAAGCCAAGACUACUGUGAUCCAAACUACCUUUAUCCUUGCGUCGAAGGGGUUGAAUACUACGGACGUGGCGCCCUGCCUGUGUACUGGUAUGUGAAUGGUGUUUCUAGUUUGCAUUGGUGUGAGGAUGGUUGAAGUAAAUUGAGUGCUUAUGAACUUAACCGAUGACUACCAGGAACUACACCUAUGGACUUAUUGGUGAUGCUCUAAAGGUAGAUCUGCUGAACCAUCCAGAAUACCUAGAGCAGAAUGCUACCCUAGCUUUCCAAGCCGCCAUCUGGAGGUGGAUGACACCGAUGAAGAAGAAGCAGCCUUCAGCCCAUGAUGUUUUUGUCGGAAACUGGAAGCUUUGAAUGACACUUUAUCGAAAAGGUUACCUGGCUUUGGGCUCACCACGAACAUUUUGUAUGGUGAUAUGGUUUGCGGCCAGGGCUACAUCGAUUCCAUGAACAAUAUAAUAUCUCACUACCAGUAUUACUUGGACUUGUGGGAGUAGGGCACCAAUUCUCUGGAGACAAUCUGGAUUGUGCUGAACAGGUACCUUUCAAUCCAUCUUACAAAGCUGCCACAUCCUAAGCCACCCCUGCAUCUGUGAAGUAUCAGGUGAAUGACUGCCCCAGAAGAUGGUUGGGUCAAAUUAGUACUGAAUUGUUUGUUCAAAUGGCUCCACUGUUCUUUUAUGUGGUGUAAGUGUGAUUGUGUGUUGGGAUCUAUGGUAAAAGAACUUGUAAAGGAUACCUAUUUUUGGCUAUGGAAACUAUGAUGUACUUGUGUUUUCAGAGUGAUGGGUGAUUUGGUGAUUGCAUACUGCAGUGCAAUUGAUUCAGUUCCUAUUCUGCCCAUAAACCUUCCAAUAAGCCAAGCAACCUACAGAGGAUGUCCUUUGUUUAUUUCAUUCUCCUUGAUCUGCAACAGCACAAGUUCACAUUAAAAUACUUGCUGCAAGGUUAAUUCAAUGGAAGUUCUCUCUGAAGAAGAAUCCCAUUGUAAGUGCUGCAAUAGUAUCUAGCCUUUACAAUUGUACAUACUCGAAAACAUACAAAGAUUGAUAUCAACAAAAUUAGGAUACUUGAAACCAGAAUAAUGAACAAGGAACUCUUGUUCAUGUCAAUUUUACAUAUUCAGGAGGAAUUGAACCUGGCCAAAAAAGCACUGAAUACUUUCACUACAGCUCCAGCAGUCAAAACCCAGAACACAGCACCAAGUCCCACCAGGAAUGAGAUGAAAAGGAUCCCCCCAUUGCGGCCUCCCCUUCUUCCCGAUGUAGCAUGGUGCCCAUCUGCGGUGGCGUUUGGACCAUGAACUCCAACCUGCCCUGCUCUAAAACUCGAUACUCGUUCAAAUGCCCUGCUAAUGAAGGUAUUCUCUGAUGCCAGCGCAGGACGGCUUGGUACUGAAUCCAACAAGGUUGAGAGUGCAGAACUGAACCACGAUUCUGAGGUGCUGUUUUGCCGUUGGACCAUCUCCAUAUUGGAUGAUGUAGAAGCAUAUGCAGCACCUAUGUAUGAAGUAGCGAAAAAUGAGAACUAGCACAAGCAAAAUCUGUGUGGCUGAAUGAUUUGUAAGGAAUGUAUACUGGAUCAUGCAAAUGCAAGAUUUUUAAGCACCUGAAGCUGGUGAUGUCAUGAAGACCUGGUUUGGGUCCGCAUUUGAGGCACCGAAACCCUGAUUAUGUCCCCAAAGUUCAGUUGAUACGUGGUAUGACUCAUCUAGUGCUUCAUCACCACCAAAACCAUCAAGGUAUGAAAUUGGUGCUGCAAGGCCCAGAGAGUCAAAAUCAUCAGAGAAAGCCACAGGGGCAUCAAAAUAGUCAUAAGAAUCAUAUAACUCGUUAGGGCCAUCGAUCUGGUCCCUGUUAUUCAAAUCGUUCCAACUCCACAUGAUGGAUUCUGGGUCAUUGAAAUCUUUGAUUUCUAAAAACUCCUCAUCUGCCUGCCCUAGAAUCUGUUGGGUGUUAGAGGUUAAUGAAGUCAUCUCAGGAUCUUCAACAGGCUGAACACAAGCAGAAUCUGGUUGUGUGACUUGAAACUUUGUGUCUGAAGUGCUCAGCUCAUAACAAAUGCCACUGUUCUCAAAAGAAGUAGCUUUCGUUAAGGAUGGGCAAAAAUUGUGCUUUCCAAUUUCUGUUUCAACAUUAACCUGCACCAAAGAGACAAGCCAAUAAAAGUCAGCCAACUUUCGUUGCAUUCUUUGCUUGAGGAUAGAGGAUCUAAGGAAAGAUGGAUCAGGAAUGUGCUCUUAUAUUUCAUUUAUUUACAGUUCCAAAUGAGUUAAGGAAUGACACUCUAUGCAACUGUGCGUGUGUUGCAUGUCUACAUGCUUGCAGUAUGCGUGGAGCACGAGACGUGUGAGUGAAUAAUGUGUAUGCUUGUCAACUCUUGUGUUGGGUCCAUGUGUAUUGAUGUUGCUACAUUUGUUUUCACAUUUGGACAUCAGUAAUCUAAAAUUGUUACUGCAAACCAGAUUGUGGAAUUAGAAUGAAAUGAGCAACAAAGCAUGGAAUACAGCAAUACCUCUGAAACAUAUGCGGAAUGUUCUGAAUACUGGCCAACCAUGUUCUGCUCAUUAGACAAUUCUAGCAAAAUAUCCUCUAACUCAUCCACUAGUUGAUUGCUCCCAGCAUCGCAUGAUGUGCCAGCAGAGACCAGAUCAUGGAGAGGCUCGAUUGUUGGUACUUCAGUGUUCCACGGAUUCGUUGGUAAUUCACUGUUAUCCUGGCUCCUGAAGAUCUCAUCCACUACAUCAUCAUCCCACUCCUCUUCCCUGAAGGGUGCUCCAUACUGCUCCCCAUUCUUAGGACCAGGACCACUCUUCCUGAACACCUUGUAGAGAGCAUAGCAAUCCUGCAAAGGAUGAGAGAUAAUGAUGAAAAAUUGAUAAAAAAAGAUGGAGAACCAUCAAAACUAUGAAACAAAGAGAAGAUAUAGAUGUGUUGGAUGCUAUAAUCAGAGUUGAUCCUUUCCAGCGAUGACUUGCCUGCACAUUGUUGCAGCUUAAAAACACCUGCUCAUCCAAGGUGUACUCAUGCAUCACCCAGUUGGUGCGUUCUCCCUUGGGCGCGCGUCCAUGGUAGUAGACAAGUGUUUUCUUGUUCCCCAUAGCCUUGGAGUUCUGAGAGAUGGUCCGGUCCUUUCCGGUAGUCUUCCAGUAGCCACAUUUGGUGGCCCGAUUCGAUCUCGACCCAUUUGGAUACUUCCUAUCCCUCGGGCUGAAGAAAUACCACUGCUUAUCGCCACUCUUCAACUCUGAUUUGUCUGCAGAUACCACGAGAAGCCACAGUUGUAAAUUUGAGUCAGCAAAGAAAGAGGGAAUAAAACGCUAAAAGGCGACAACUUUAGAGUGUUCUAACGUAGCAAUUCUUGUUUGAUUUGGAGGUGAAGUUGAAGCAAUCUAUAUUGUUUUGACUUCAGAUGUUUAGGCAAUCAAUCAACCAAGGAGAGAACCUAAGCUGCACAAAAUUGAGCACCUUCACAUAAUAGCAGAGAUAACAAGAUUAGAAUCCAAUGAACUGUCUAAACGAAUUAGAUCAAUUGAAAUGGGUGAAAAUUUGCGUUCAGGAUUCCAGGUUAAUCCGGCAAGAACAAGAGGAGGACAACUGAGAAGCGGUAUCUAGUGAUCAACCACAAGAUUCAAAUGCGAAGGAAGAGAACAAGGAGGAGCUGCGGCUCAACAACCAAGGGAGAUGCCGAAUCAUACCAGGGAGUUCCCAUGGCUCCCACUUGUAGACGUCGACGUCGCCGAUCAUGGCGAGCCUGAAGCGGCGUCCGCAGAUCUUGCGCUUGAGAUAGUAGAGGACAAUCUCCUCGUCGGUGGGGUGGAACCGGAACCCCGGCGGCCACCAGUUGGAGUUCCCCGGCCAUGCCCCUGCCGCCGACCCCGGAGAGCAGCGAUCGUCGACGGCCGCUUCAACUCCCCCACUGCGACCAACGCAGUCCUUCGCCACACCCAUACCUACAGCCUAUUCGGCCGGUCAACGGCAGCGGCAGCAGCAGCAGAUAGAGAAGAGAAGAGGGGGAACAUAGACGAAUCGCUUACGGCAGUCUCGUGUUCCGCUUUAAGGAGGAAGAAGUCGACAAAAGGAGGAUCCUCUCCAACAAUAUAUUUAAAUAAAACCAUUCGGUCUAAUAAUCGUAACCGUUCAUUCACGAGCCGACGACUGUCUCCGACAACGAACGGUUCUGAUCGAAGUCAGACACAAGGUAAGAAUUGGAGGGGAUCCGCGCCCAACUUAUUGACCGGUCCUCUCCAUGACUCUUUUAGUGUCCCCUCCGUUCCCACAACCCACAAACUUUACUCUCUCAACCUUGAUCCUAACUGUGGGGCUCACGCCACAGCGAGAUGGAUCUCCGGUAAAUGUCUGGUGUGAACAAAGAUAUGGUGUUAGAAUCGAGAACGCAGCUCUAGUGACUCAGAAUUAUAUCACGGAUCUCAUUAUAUACAUAUAUAUAUAUAUAUAUAUAUAUAUAUAGGAUUAUGUUGCGUAGAUGAAUUGAAAUCAUAUUAGCAUGGACAAUUAUUUCCUCGUGACGCGUCACGUGGGUGAGACGGGUGAGGGGGCAGUGGGCAUAAAAAAACAGUGGGACUCAUGUGAAGAGCGAAGCUGGCUUCACACUUGUUCAACACCAAUCUGUAACUGACACGUGGACAGACUCUCCCGGGAACGACGAGGAAGCACCGGAGGUAAUUCCGUGAUUCCCACCACCCUCAUGUCACGUAGUGACGCUUCCUUUUCCUUCGUCUCCAAUGUAGCGCGUGUGAUUGUUCGAUGAGGACGGGUGUUGAUGGGAGAAACUUCGCAGCAGCUGCCUUCCCUUUGAAUGUGUGUUGAUUGUUCUUCCGUAUGGACAUUAUUAUACAUUUGUCCUGCAGCACAGAUCAGAUUAGUAUACGUAGAAUAAUAUUCAAAACAGAGUUACUUAUGUGUGAAGUUAAAAUUUAAUUAUUCGAGUUAGACACUUAUUCAAAGUCAAUCGAGGUUCUUCAUCUUUUAUCUUGAAAUAUUGAUGAUCGUUUUAUUUAUGUUCACUUUUAAACUACUUCAAGACCUAUAAAAUUACAUUAGAGUAUUUUGGAUAAGAUCUUUAUGUAACUUAAGUGGGAUUCAAAGGAUUCGGUUAGGCAUUUUAGUAGAAAAAGAUAUUUUCUCCUAUAACGCACGUGAAGAGCUCUUUUAUAAUAAGCUUUGAAAUGUCUUUGCUCAGUCAAUGUUUGUUGGUUAUAAAGAAUGUGGUGUGUUUCUUUUGGAUUUAAUUGAGAUUGUGGUGUGUCAAACUUGGGACAUGGUAAAAUCGGGCCUAUUCAAUUGUUUUAAUCAAAGGGGGAGGUUAGCGUUCGCCCCCUCUAUCAUGGUCAGUGCCCGACUUACCAAUCUUGAAUAGAAAAAGGAUUGGCUCUCGAGCCUUCUACCUAGGGUGGAAAGGGUGUUGGCACUCAACCCCUCUACUGUGGUCAGCACUUGAUCCCUCCACCUUGGGUUAGCCUUGAGGGAGUCAGGUUUUCCUGACUUUUAUAUCUAGGGCAAGUCUCACUUUAGGUGGGUUGAGGUUUUUCGACCUGACAUGUGUCUUUAAGGACUCUCUUCAGGUAUAAUGAGUUUUUUUCUAACUCACACACAUCGGACACAUUUUGUCUUGUGUCUCCUAUCGUAACGAGUUUCUUUUUACACGAGUUGAGUUUUUCAACUCAUAUACCUCCAACACAUUUUAUCUUUGCCUCUAUCAUGGUAGAUUUUUUUCAAUGUAGGUUAGGUUUUGUCGACUCACAUAUCUUAAACACUUUUUGCCUUGUGCCUUAUACUGUGACAAGUUUCUUCCUAUAUGGGUUGGGAUUUUUUGACUCACGCACCUUAGGUAUAUUUUGUCAUAUGCCUCCCACUAUAAUAGAUUUCUUCCUACACAGGUCGAGAUUUGCCAACUCAUAUGUCUUGGGUACAUUUUGCCUUAUGUCUCCAGCCAUGGUGAGAUUCUUCUUAUAUAGGUUAAGUUUUGUUAACUCAUACGUCCUGAGUACAUUUUGCCUUAUGCCUCUUACCUUGACGAGUUUCUUCCUAUAUGGGUCAGGUUCCAUCGGCUCACAUGCCUCAAACACAUUUUGUCUUAUGACUCUUGUCGUGACGGGUUUCUUCCAAGGUGAUCGUCACACAUCGAUCACCUUUAUACUUUUCAAUAUACGCCUUCAUCAAUUAGCAUCUCUUUAUAUUCAAAACAAAGGGACAUUUAUCUUCAAUAUGGAAAGAGAGAGAUCGAUCUCCUCCCUAUAAAUUCUCCUUAGCCAUGGGAGUGAGGCUCAUUCUCUCAUUUGAGCUGCUGUGGUCUUCCUUAAGAGCUUCUUCUUCUUAGCCUUGGCUCAUUUCUUCAAGGUGAGUUGGUUCUUGGUCAUCUUUUUAAGGCGGGUCGGUUCCCAGGUGUCUCAUCCUUUAUGCACGUCGACUCUCCAGUACCUUGGCCAUCCAGCAUCUCGAUCCUGAAGAAUUUAUUUCACCUUUGCAGACUGGGAUAUCUUUCCAUUAUCAUAUAAACUCCUCAUAAUCUUAUAGCCACUGAAUGGUUAAAGAGGUUGUUACUCCAUCCUUAGACAACCUAGGAGUUGAGGAAGUUUGACCUCUUCUUCAUUAAGAGAGUCGAUCCCAGUGAACCCAAUGAUUAUUUGGGAUUUAGAAUCCAUAGAAGGCACAUAUGAUAGGGACUCAAUGAUAAGCACAUAACUCCUAGACUGCAUCCAUACCAGGUAUUAUAUUUCAACUGAGUUUGAGCUACUAGUCCCUCGGCCCAAUCACCAUUCAUAUGAUCCAAUAUUUAGAUUCCUUUAUUUGUUUUCUAACACUCUAGAGGUAGGACUUUGCUUUCCCAUUCAUCUAAUGAUUGCGUCUUAUCUCUAACAGUGGAGGUUAUCGUCCUCAUAGAUGGUGCCCAACUCAUUAUGUUAUUUGGUAGUGUUCACUAGAAAGUGUUGUCAUGCUAGUAUUAUCCUGACCUACAAUUUUUUUGCUGCUUGCUUUUGACUAUGCAAGAUAAAAAAAAAAAAAAACUAUUACAUAGUUGCUCGAGAGUGCUUUAAGGUUAGUGGUAUCCCUUCCAACAAUAAAGGCUGGAAGGAGAAUUUAUAGCUCAUUGAUAAAGGUAGGGAUUGAGGGUUCAGCCUUGCCCGGUCUGCAUGCUCUAUAAAUAAUAUACUUUCCUUUCUAUCUAACAAGAAGAUGGAUCAAGUGCUUCUAUUAGAGAUAUACUCUAUUCUUUCGAGACUAUUAGGAAGAUAGAUGAGGACUAGUCGAUCGACAUGGGUCUUGGCUCAGCUCCUUAGGGUAUAGAUCUUUUUACAUUCUCAGGGGUAGAAUUUCUUUAAGUUAGUAAUGUGUCAAGUCCUCGGUAACACUAUACCCUUUGUUAUUUUAAGGCAAUAGGUUUCAUCUUGGAUGACCUCGAUAACUCGAUAGGGACCUUCCCAAUUUAGCAUUAGCUCAUCCCGGGAUCUAGUUAGGUCAUUGACUUUAGCACUUCGAAGUACCAAGUAUUUCAAUUUAACUCCCUAUGGGCAAACACCUUGGUUGUAAAGCUUAGCUAUCGUUUUCUUGUGUCUUAGUGCCCUCAUGUGUGCUUCUAAUUUAAUCUCGCUAAUUAGGUCGAGCCCAGCCCAAAGUCCCUUGAAGACUUUCUUAUCAAAAUUCUUAACUUAAGGUGUUAGAAAGAUCAUCUCAGGUGGUAAGACAACUUCAAUAUCGAAGUUUAAGUUAAAUGACAACUCUCUCAACCCAAUCUUUAGUGUUGUUUAGGAGGCCUAUAAGAUACUUAGUAGUUCAUCCACCUAAGUGUCUUUUGCUCCAAUGACUCACUUUUUUAACCCUUCAAGAAUGGCUUAGUUGAGAACUACGGUGAGAACCGUUAAUAUGAGGAUGAGCUACUGACCUGAACUUUAGCUAAACUCCAUAGGAUUGACAAAACUCAUUAGAUGUUAAAUUAAUUUCUAUUAUUACUAAUUAUGACUCUUGGGACUCUGAGGCAAGUGAUAGUGUUAUUCCAUAUGAAUCUCUUGGCCUACUUCUUAACGAUUAAUGCUAGUGGCCUAGCCUUCACCCACUUCAUAAACUAAUCUACUCGAAUGAUGAGAAACCUUCGCUAGCCCAAAGGUUAAUAAUAGAAAGGGUCCAAGGAUGUCCAAACCCCACCGCACGAAGGGCCAUUCAUAAUCAAUUAAAUUUAAAGGGAUUGUCGGUCGAUGUUGUAUCCACAUGACCUCAACACUUGUUUGGGCAUACAUUAUCAUAUCCUUGUGCAACAUCGACUAAUAGAAUUUUUGCCUAAGUACCUUGAAGGUAAGGGUUCAUCCACCAAUGUGCUCCUUAUAUAUACCCUCUUGACUUCUCGAGAUAUUAAAUAUGAGGAAUGAUUAACUAAAAGACCUACAAUAUAAGUGAUUGUUAAAUCUGCAAUAUCAUGCUUGAUGAAGCUUGACUCGCUAGGCUGAUGCGAAGAUUUAUCAAGAGUGUCUCAAUUUUUUUUAUAGUAUAGGAUCUUGUUCAUUUAGCUUGGCUCUUUCCCAAUCAUAGUUAUAUCGUGCAUGUCUAUAGUUCGGGUUGAUGGUAUCUCAAUUAGUAGUCAACCAUCCUUCGCAGCCCGAGCUGAUGCUAAUUUAGCUAGCACAUCGGCCUGAGCAUUCUCUUCAUGGGGAACCUACAACACGUUAAAUUGGGAGAAGUUGUGGGUUAAAUUCUGCACCUCGACAUGAUACUUUACCAUGAUUGUAUCUUAGGCCUAGUAGUUUUUGUUUACUUGAUUCAUGAUUAGUCAUGAAUCAUUUAACAUUAUCAUAUCCUAGACUUGAAGCUUUUGAGCAAGUUAAAGCCUUAAGAGAAGUGUCUCGUACUCGGCUUCAUUGUUGGAGGUUUUGAACCCAAACCAAAGAGCUUGGUUAUACACUUUAUCUAUUCGAGCCUUUCAAGAUGAGUCUAGUGUUGCCUCCAUCCGAGGUGGUGGAACCAUCCACGAAUAGUGUCUAUGUAAGUAGAGUGUCUUGAUUGAUCUCGAACGAAUGAGUUAGUUUUAAGAUAAAGUUUAUCGAUGUUUGGGCCUUUAUGAUAGUCAUCAAGAUUUAUCGGAUGUUGAACUCUCCCAACUUUACUGACCACUUUAGCAACUGGCUGGACAUCGAAUCGAGAUAGAUCCUACCUAAGAGGUUGGUCGGUGAUCACCUAUAAAGCAUAUGCUUGAAAAUAUGGGUAGAGCUUCCUUGCUACCAAGACUAACAGCAAAUGCAAACUUCUUAAUAAGGGGGUACCACUCCUUGGGUUCAUUUAGAAUAUGAUUGACAUAGUAGAUUGGUCUUUAAACUCCUACAUUAUGUUGUACCAAUAUUGAAUUAACAAUUAGGUUAGUGGCAUCGAGGUAGAGACUUAUGGUUUCAUCCAAGAUAGAAUAAGUGAGCUACAACAACUUGACGAGGUGUUGAUCUAUUGAAAACCUUUCGGGUUCUUUAAUAACCCGAAGAAAGAUAGACACCUAUCAUAGAAUUAAGAUAAGAAUUGACUAAGUACUACUAGCUUACCUAUUAUCUAUUUAAUCUCUUUUACUAACCGAGAUGGGUGCAUCUCUAAUAUAGAUCGUACAUUCAUAUGAUUUGCAUGUAUUCCUCUUUAAUUCAUGAUGAACCUAAGGAACUUCCCCGAAUUGACUUCGAAGAUGCAUUUGGUUGAAUUGAGGUACAUGUUAAACUUUUUUAGAACUUAAAAAGUCUCAUCCAAAUCCGUCAAAUAUGAGUUGGUCGUCUUGCUCUUCCCUAUCAUGUCAUCCACGUAAACCUUCACAUUUCUCUCGAUUUGAUACUUGAACAUUUUGUUUACUGUCAUUUGGUAUGUUGUUCUCAAAUUUUUUAACUUGAAGGGAAUGAUCUGGUAGCAAUAUGUGCCUUGAUCCAUGAUAAAGGAGGCAUGUUUUUUUUAUCUUCUAGCACUAUUUUUUAUUUAGUUUUACCUUAAGAAUGCAUCCAUAAAUGUAAGGAGCUUGUGACCCGAGAAAACAUUAACCAACUAGUCAAUAUGAGAAAGAAGGUAAUUAUCUUUUGGACAUGCUUUAUUUAGAAAUAUAUAGUCAACACACAUUAUUUAGUUUCCAUUAGAUUUUUUAAUGAGUGUAACGUUGGCAAGUUAUUAGGCCUACUACACCUCAAUAAUGAACCAUACUCCUAACAUUUUAUCUAUCUCCUCACUAAUUAUUUAUUUUGUGGUCAAGAACAAACUCACGAGACCUUUACUUGACCAGUUGCACUUUGGGAGAAGCGUUUAAGUGACGUUGAGCUACGUUGGAGUCGAUUCUCGGUAUGUCUCUUAGCGACCACACGAACACCUAGGUAUUCUCUCGAAGAAAGUUGAUAAGCUACACCUCUCCUUGAGAAGGGUCACCUAAACCUUGACGAUUCAGUUGGGUCAUACUUUAUCUAGGGAUACUUUAAUUAAUAGCUUCAUUGACUUAAGAUGUGGGAUGGACUUAGCAAAGUCUCUAGGGUCUAUAGGUGGUUACUCGAGUCGAGCUGUAUUCGGUAUGGAGACCAUUAUUAGGUAGCACUAACACGACUCCUUUGAGUUGCUUCUUAACUCUCUGAUGUAAGCCCUUAUCGGGAACUUUAUCACUAUGUGGUAAGUUAACAUCGCCAUCCUCAAUAUAUUCAAUGUGAAUCAGCUCUAUGAUCACGUUGUACAUCAAGGGAAUAUCUAUUAUCAUAAAUUUAGUCAAUAUUCUUUUGGAGUAUGGCUCGUCUCCGAAUAUGAUAUGUAGGUUUAUAGUCCCGGAAAGAGAGAUAGAAUCAUUAGUAAACCUUGUCAUCAAAAAAGUCAUUAAGGUAAGGUCAUUAAUUGAUAACCUAAGUUUUUGAAAAGUAUCAAAGUAAAUGAUAUUGGUAUAACUGCCUAUGUCAAUCAUGAUCCACUUCACUUGGGCGUUAAUAAUCUUUAUAAAGACUACCAAGACAUUUUCAUGAUUCUCUAUCUCUUUCUCAUUAAAAGUUAUUGCUGGGUCACUCUCCAUCCUUGGGCACUUUUUAAUAGUAGUUCGUGUAUAAGUCUUACAACCCGAGGAGCUCUCCCGGCUUCUGAGGUUGAGGUGAGGGUUCCCGAUGCUUUUGAACAAACUGCUUAAGGUGCCCUUAUCAUAUGAGCUCUUUAAUAUACUUUUUCAAGUUACAACAUUUUCUAGUGUUGUGGCUAUAAUCUUGAUAGAACCGAUAGUACUUAAACUUAUCUCUUUUCGAUAACAAGGUCUUUAUUGGAUGAGAGUCUCUUAAAAGCUCAUUUUCAUUUAUUUAUAGAAAAACUUUAGUUCAAGUCAUAAAUAGAUGGGUUAGCUUGGGCCUUGGGCAAAGUAACUCAAGUCAUUUAUUUCUUCUCUACUAUAAUGACCUCGGGGUUGGGGUAGAUUGUGGCUAUUUCUACUUUGACCUCUUGCAUGACUCCUCAUGCUUGCUCAAGAUCAUUACCUCAAUGAUAAUGUAUUGAUUAACCUUUUGAAGUGUCUUAAAUACAAUUAUCAUAGCCUCUUUAUCGAUGACCAAAAGAGGCAAAAGGGCUUGAGCCCUAUCAUGAAGGUCUGAAUUAUGAGUGAUGGAUGAGCAUAUACUAUAUCUCGGAUCUCAUUUGUGAACCAAGGAUAAAGUCUACAAGAAUUUCUUCCUUCCAAUUCUUAAGUUUAAAGAGUAAUUAUUGUUGGAAGUUGAGGGCAUACAUUCCUAAGGAAGUAAAUUUUGAACUCCCUCGCCAAUUGGGCAAAAGAGCAGAUGGAAAGCGACUUAAAGCAAGUAUAUCAUUCUCAUGUCAAGCCUUUUAACAUGAUUGGGAAUGCGUGACACAUUAGGGUAUCUAAGAUGUCAUAUAAUGACAUCUAGAUAUGAAAUGCUACAAUGUACUUUAUCGAGUCAAUGCUACUAUUGAAUGCUUCCAAAGAUAUGAGUCGAAGUUCGCUAGAAUUGGUUCAUCCUGUAUUUUUUAAGUGAAUAGGGACCGACCUAAAAUGGGGUCGGCUAGCGCCUUCUUUUUUUAUUGUUGUAACUCUCAUCAUAUCUCAUCCAAACGUCAAUCCAUCUACCAUAGUUGGAUCUAUAGGGAAUUCCUUCAUCGAGUUUAUUGAUUAGAUCUCAUAUUCAGGUGGGGGUAAAGUGAGAGUGGUAUAGUUCACUAAAUUCUAUGGUCAGGAACUAAAGUGCCCCCUCGGUCGAUGUUUCGACAAGCCUCAAGCAUUUCUAAGAUGUCGGUAUCGCGAGGUUAGAGAAUCUUUGUGGGUACCGAUGGUGGUUGAGCUAGGGAGUGUGAUUGAAUUGGUGGUAUCACUUAUUGAACUAGUUGAGGCAAAAAUAGAGCAAUAAACUAUAUCAUGCCUAUUAACAUUUAUACUUGUUGAAUAAGAUUUAAAAACAUCUCAGUAAGAACAAGGAGGUGGCCCGAGGCUAUCCCUGGGGGUGAGAGACUUAGGUCAUUAAAUGGGCGCCAGUAUUGACGUCGGAGUUCGCAUCGAGGUGGAUGAACUAAUGUGCGGAAAGGGCGGCUAUUGCUUCUCUUGAAUGAAAGUACUAUGGGUUGGAAGCAAAGUCUUUUUACUCGAGUGUUCAUUGAGAGAAUCAAUGAAUGAGUAUUCUUAUGAUAUUGGAUUCUUCUUUUACUAUCAAAAAUAUUACAAAAAUAUAUCAUUGAUGUAUGGGUCAGCCCGACGUGGUUUAGACCCGUGUGCAAAGAAUUGUCUAAGGUGCCUCUGAGAUAGAAACGUUAAGUUUCUAAGGAGGUUAUUCGAGGUAAUUUUGAGGUACAAUUCCAAGCUCUUAAGAAGGUCAUCUAAGGUGUCUUUGAGGUGAAAUCUUUGAGCUUUCGAGGAGGUCGUUCGAGGUGCCACCUACAUGAAGACCGAGGUCAGGAGAGAUUUCUCAAUUCAAUAUAUCUAAUGCCUAAGUUAGUAACCUAAUUAUGUUAAAAAUGAGCUUUUAUACCUUGUAGUGAAAAGAUAAUAUAUUUUAUGAAAUAUUAUUUGAGAGAUAACUUUUAAUCGUAUUUAACAACAUUUUGAUCUCUUUUUCACGUAGACGAUAAGGGCGGAGACCAACUAUAAUUAUUUGUCUUGGACCGAUAUCCAUGUGGGCAAAUAAUUGAGAGGCAGCUUUUGCCUCGUUCUUAUAGAUUGGAUGUCACAUGAAGAGUACAUGUUGAAUAUUGAUUGGUUGAUAAUAUUCUUCUUAAAAAUGAAAGAAAUAUUAUUAAUUGCUUAACGACGUCCUUUAAUAUUUAAGCUAGUGAGCGUUGUAUCAUUAGAGAGUUAAUUUCAAGAGCUUGAAAAUAAAUCGAUAUAGGGUGAAUAAGCCAAUAUAAAGAUAUGUCAAUAUGAUAGGGAAUAUUCCCAUACCAAUCAUAGUUCGCUAACUAGCAGCUACCAAAGAACUGAUGUGGAAAACAAUGAGGUAUCUUCCUAACAUAGAAGAUGAUUGGGUUGGCAACUGGCACCCCCUCAAUCAUCCUCUGCUAGUGUGGUGCCACAAGGGGGCGUAUGACUCGGUAUCGCACUAUGGAAGAUUGUACUAGUUGAUUCGCACUGCAAGAAGCCAUAUUGAGUAGUUGUCCACAUGAAGGGGUCAAGUUGAGAACCUUCACCUGACAUUGGCCUAUUGUCCAGGGCGCCGGAGAGGUUGAGCUCACUCAAGCCCCCAUCUUGGGACAAACUCGAAAAUUCAAAGACCAUCUUAGAGCAAUCCUCGUUAGCCUCUAUUCAACUUUCGUCUCUCAUCUUUCCCUCGGAAGGACCCUCUAGGAUGAUUCUACGCCUUCGAGAUAGGACCAAACCGUAUCGAUUCUCAAUCCACGACGUCAAAUUGUUAACACGAUGCUAGAGGAUUAACAGACAUACUAAAAUAUAUAUUCCUACAUUAAAAUGGAUCAAAUAUUUACUUGAAUAUAUUUAUAUAUGGAUUAAUAUUAAUCUCAGCUUAAUGCCCAACCGAACCCCACAACUGCACUCAAGCAGCAAAUAACAUAUAUUUUCAAAACAGAAAAUUCCUCUGCCUAUUUACUUCAAAACUGAUCUCAUCGGCACGAAUUAACCCCUCACAAUAUUUGCUACAUUAUAGGUCGAACACGUGGCAGGUAUAUUAUAUCCCAGCCAUUAAAUCCGCCCACAGCAACAUAUGAAGUCUAAGACACGACUUCCGUCGAUCACCUUCCUUGCAUCCCUGCGACCUGCGCAAACAGCUCGUUGGCCAUUGCCGUGCUCGAGUUCUCCAAAAAUCAGCCCGCCACCGGAGUCGUCGCCUCCUCCUCUGGAGCUGCCUCGUUGCAAUCCCUCUGUGAACUCUCCGCCACCACACUGCUAUUCUUUGACUCGGUGACGUUCGCUGCCUGCUGAGGCGGAGGCUCGGGAGGACUCGCCUCCUGCAGCCGAAGAGCGUACUCGAGAUUCCACAGCACGUCGCCCAUGGACGGCCGGUCAACCCCGUGCUCCGCCAGGCACUUCUCCGCGGCAUCCACGAACUUGCUGAGGGAGUCGCUGUUGAUGGUGCCGGCGAUGUUGGGGUCGAUGAUCUUCUCGAUCAGGCCUUUCCGCUUCCACUGCAUCACCCACUCCGCCAGGUUGACUUGCUCCUGCGGCAGCGCCGGGUUGAUGGCUGGCCGCGCGCAGAGGGCCUCGAGCAGCACCACCCGAAGGAGUACACGUCUGACUUGUCCGUCAGUUGCUGGCACCGGAAGUACUCGGGGUCGAGGUAGCCGAAGCUGCCCUUGAAGGCGGUGCUGACGUGCGUCUGGUUCAUCCCCGGCGCGUUGUUGGAGAGGCCGAAGUCGGACACCUUGGCGAUGAAGUUAUCGUCGAGGAGGAUGUUGGUGGUCUUGACGUCACGGUGGAUGAUCCCCCUGCGCGGUGCCGGUGUGGAGGUAGUGCAACCCGCGUGCGGCCCCGAUGCAUAUCUCUAGCCGCUGCUUCCAUGAAGCGGCGGCAGGUCGUGCCCGUAGAUGCGAUACCUGAAUGGCCCAUUCGCCAUGUACUCGUACACCAGGAUCAUCUCCGAGUUAUCGUCGCAGUACCCGAUCAGCGACACCAGGUGACGGUGGCGCAGCUUGGACAACAUCUGGAUCUCGGUCUGGAACUCGUUGAUACCCUUCUCCGACUGCGGGUUCCCCCGCUUGAUCGCCACCUUGGUGCCGUCCUCCAGCUCGCCGAGGUACACAUUCCCCAACCCACCCACGCCGACCACCGUGUUCUGGUCGAAGUUCUUCGUCGCUGCCUGCAGCUCCGAAAGGGAGAGGUACCGGCCAAGCUCCAUCGUCGAGGAGGUGUAGCCGUUCGUGUGCGAGCCAUGGCCAGACUUGCUGGUCAUGAAGCUGGUGUUGGUCGUGUGCACGGGGAGGAGCCACGACGAGAAGCUAUUUCGCCUCUCGCAGUCUUUGGGUCUCUUGUGCCACUUCAUCACCAUGGCGCCAAGGCCCGCGAAGGCGCCAAACAUCAUGGCGAACUCAACGGCAGCGACCACGCGCUUCGAGCUGCUGCCAUCGCCGGCCCUUGAGCCAUCGACCCCGAACUCGCCGUCCAGGCUCCCCACCGAGUUGCUCAUCUUUAGAUCUCCACGUCGUUGAGCAACGCGUCGAUUCUAUCGGUGUUCUCCUUCAUGGGACCGAUCUGGACGGUCAUUCGGCCCGUGGCCACCGAGGCGUUGAGCACAAGUCUUUGUAGCAAGGCAUGGCGAGGCCGGAGGUGACGGUGGAGACGUCGAGACCUGAGAUGGCCAUCAGCACAUUGAUAUACACGUUGAAGUAGAGGUCGUUGAGCGACUAGUUGAUGAUGUCGCAGAAGUGCAAUCGGAUGAAGUAGCCGAACGAGCCGUCGACGUCGAAGGACCACGUCACGUUGAAGUUGAAGUUGGGGCUCUCCACGCAGGCGUCGGCCAUUUUCAUGGCGGUGGCGUAAACGGAGUUGGGCGCGGCCAGGGGCGAGGUUCCUUCCGGGUAUUUGAUGAUUCUGGGGGACACGAAGGCUUUCUUGGCAGCGGACCUCGACUGCAGGAAGGGCCCAUCCUGCUCCCACCCGCGACCGAGAGCGUCGUUCGCGAGGGUGAUGACCGGCCCGCCCACGUUGAUCCGGUAGGCCACCUGGUAGGCGUAGAGCGAGAGGCCGGCGGCCUCCCCGACAGGCGAGACCGUGGAGGCCGUGUCAGGCAUGAAAACGUCGGGGGCGGACACGACCUUGAUGAGGUACUCCUUGAGCACCCACUUGGAGGGGUCGUCGACGGUGAAGAUGUGGAGACGAGGUCGUCGAUGUUAACGGAGAAGACGGCGCUGGUGAGGUCAAAGUCGGUUUCGACGGGAAAGAAGUGGCGCCUGAUCUCCAGUGCUAGCCGGGACAGGCGAGGGUGAAGCUAUAGGCAACAUCCUUGUGGAAGACCCUGGCGAAGAGGUAGAGCAGGGAGGGGAUGUCAGGUGCGUCGGAAACGGCGGCACGGCAGCGGAGAGGAAAUGGGGCGGCACGACUGCGGAGAGGAAAUGGGGGGACCGGGCGUCGAUCUUGAACGAGCGGCCGUCGGGCAUGGUGACCGUGGAGGUGGCGCCGCAGUCGAUCAGGAAGUUGUCAGUGGGGCUGAAGGAUGUUGGGCAGAGGUGGGCGUCGCCAAGGCCAAACAAAGGAGGAGGAGCCGAUUCAUUCUUAUCGGAAUGACGGCCAUCUCAGGCUCUUUUUCUCUAUCUACUCCUCCCGGUCAAGCAUGUAGGUUGCCUUUCCGAUCCCAAAAGGGGGCUCGGGAAUGUGGAAGAAAGAGAGGCGUACGAGGGAGCAAUGGACAUAAUAUACUUGUAAUGCGGCCUCUGCAUCUGCUCCAUAGUCAGCGAGAUUUAGAGCUUCAGGGUAAAUAUGGAGGGUCGAAGACCGGGUCAAGCUGCAGAGAACAACCUGAUGCAGUAGUCUCUUCCCCUCUCAAUUCCUCUUCUUCCUCCUCCCUUCUAGCAGUUCCUCCUCCCUUGUUGCAGUCAAAAUCUUAAAUCAACAAAAUUAAUUGAUACUUUCAACAAAUCUGGAUACCAUUCAUUUGCAUGAAAGGUAGUUCAUUCAUGGUAAUGGAAUCUGAAUUCAAAGGCAAUAAAUACUAGUUUGAUGACUGCAUCUCAAUAUUGACACUUAAGCUAUGAGACCUAGAAAUGAAGAGGAUACUUGAUUUGCAACCUUGUUGGGUGAUGGAAUCUUUGGAAGAGUUUACCUGAACAGUAUAAUGAUUCUAGAAUUAGCUUUGUUAAAUUUCAAGUACAGGACAUGCUCUGAGCACUAAUAAUGUCAACUUUGAUUUGCUUCUCCUUGCUAAAAUAAAUAUGAAGAUCACAAGAAAGUAUCAAGGUUUCCUGACCUGAUUAUUAGGCUUGGAUUUAAUUCUGAUAAAGAUGUGCAGAACAAUGUUAGCAUGCAUAAUGUUGCUUGAUGUAACCAUCAUCAAAAUGAUGAAACUAUCAAAUAAUUGAGAUGGAUGUUUCUUUUAGGUAAAGAAGUAUGCAAACUUCCUGUCAAGUCAUGGCAAUGUUUUGCAGUACAUCUCUGCAUGUAAAAUUCUGAAGGUUGUGGAUUACAAAAGAAGUAAAAUUCAUAUCACAACUUCAUUAUCAUGGGCUACUAAUUAAUGAUGAACAAGAAAAUGUUUUGCAGUUCUGUAAACUCUAAAGAAACAUAUCAUGACUAACUCGGUCAUAGCUUGUCUAUGGUAUUUUUAGAUCACAAGGGAGAUGCAAAGAAUAAUUCAAGAUAAGAUUCAACAAAGAAGCUAUGAAUAUUUUCACAAGUUUGUUUGAGGACCUCAAUUUAGCUAUGUUUUUGACAUAAUUGAUCCUAUUAUGUUUAUAACUACAGCUUCAUCAAAAUUGUUGUUGCUAAUAUGAUCAUAAACAUGCAUCACUUCACUAGCACCAACAGAAAAUUUACUUGCAAACCUACUAAAUUAUCAGCGAACAAAUUCAAGAUGCUCAAAAUCAACAGUGGGAAGGAGUUGCAAAUACCAAUUAUCUGAGGAAGAGAUUGCAGAAGGUCCUCACAAAUCCUUUUUCCCGGAGAUGGCUUCGAAAACCAUUGGCGAAAAAGGUCCUUUCUUGUCCAAAUGCUCGCUAACAGCCUUUAGAUCAAGAACAAAACCUCUCUCCCGCAACCUUUUGACAACAUCUGCAGCUUCCUCCACCCCUUUCUCUCUGCAGAAACCAUCCACCACAUCAACUACAGUCGUCACACUGGGUGAAUGCCCAGCAUCCAACAUCUCCAUGCAGAACUCAACCGAAUCAUCCAAUUUCUUCCCUUUGCACAAGCCCUGAAUGAGAACCUUGUAGCUAAAUGCAUUUGGCGCAGUUCCGUUCUUCUGCAUUUUCCUGAAGAUCCUCUUUGCAUCGUCAAAUCUUGCAGCCUUGCAGAACCCUUCCACGGCAGCAGUGUAAAUCACAACCUCAGGCAUCGUGCCCUUCUCGCGCAUUGAACCGAACAGCUUCAUGGCUUCUUGAAUUAACCCAUCUUUGCAGAGCCCAUCAAGCAUGGCAACAGCAUUGGGUAUAAGCCCAGUCUCUUUCAUCUUCUUGAAGAUCUCAUCGGCAUCUUCUGGCGGUGCCUCCUCUGCUGCAGACUUGGCUACCGUCGGAGGUGUUUGAUCCACUACAUCCGAUUUGUCUACCCUGUGUCCAUCUGCUGAUGGUGGCCGCGCUUUUUGUUGUGGCGACCCAGAACCUUCGAAAUAGUCCCCACCGAAAUCCUUGAACUGCGACUGCGGCGACGGACCAAAACCUUCUCUCGGCGGGUCUCUCCUCACACUGUUGCGUGUAUGCCCGGGAGGAACUCUACCCGUCCUAUCGGCCAAGUCGAAGUCGACCAAAAGAUCAUCCGCAGCGCCAUCGCUGCCGUCCUCCUCUCGCAAAGGCGGCUCCUUUUUCCUUUGCUGGGCACCGCGCAACGAUGGUCCAUCGUAAGGUCGAUCUGGAAAGGCUUCCCGGUGCGCCCUUUGCGGCCCGUUGACGCCGUCGUCGUCUCCGAAGUUAAGGCCGCGAAGGAAGAUGUCUUCGGAGCGGUCGUCCCUGCGCCUCUCGCCUCUCAUUGGUCUUCUAGGGUUGUUUCUCGUGCUGAAAUCGUUCGAUGGCACACAUCUCUCCAAGAUAUAAGCUUUAUGUUGGUAGCAGAUCCGCCUCCACGGAUUGGAAAGGAGAAGCUUGGAGAGCGCAGUUCGCAUCGGUCUUCAGCUCGAGAUGGAGAUGCAGACGAUUUCCGGUACUUUCCCAAGGUUUAGGGUUUUAUUGGAGAUAAAAGAAACAAAAGCAAUGUCACUUUCUACCCGCCUCCAACGUACCCAUCGGAUACCCGUGUGGUAGUAGGAAAGCUAGAGCGGGGUCCACUCACCCUCGUGAGAUGACCAGCCAUAUUUAAUGACGAAAAUGCCCAGUGGAGAUGACACAAUAGAGAAGGGUGCCUUGGUCACCAGCAAGAUUUAUGUCGUCACGAAUAGUGUGGCCACCAAUUUGAUAGAAUUAAUAUCUAAGAAAAUUCAAAUCACAUUUUUCAUGAAACAAAAUUAUACUUGUCGCAUCCAAAUCACAUUUCUUGAAUGAUGAAUCAUUUUAUUCUCCAGAAUUUGAUGAAUUAUAAUCUUCAAAUUUUGUUCAUAGUAUAAAAUGAACUGUCUUUUACACAUGCACAGCUAACCUUUUCUUCUCCCUCCUUGCCUUGCUUAACAUAAAUUCCUCACCAUGAGCGUGUGAAGAUUAGAAGAUUCUUUAUACAUACCUUUAAUCCAUUGAUGAAGUAGGCACUGUAAGGCCAUUCAGAACAAGGAGUUGGCACCUUUUGUUUGGCACUUGGCUAGAAAGAGAUGCAGCAAAGAAGAUGGAGAUGAGAGUCAUGCAUCAAUUGCCAAGAUUAAGGCCUGGAGAGACUCACCAUGUACUGUGCGCUGAUGUUGCUUGAACAAGAAAGUAUAUCCAUCUGUUGAUCCAACUAUCCAUCUCUUACCAACUCCAAGUUCCUGAUGCCAGUAACAAUGCUCCAAAGUUAUUUCAGACAACUCAUGAACAUUUAUCUUGUACUUCCCGUAGACAUAUACACCACCAAUGUAAGCCAGAACCACAAUAUAUAAGCACCAGUGAUAUUUGAGGAAUUUCUCUGGGUAUAACCAAUGGUUUAGCUCCACAAUCUUUCUCUUCUUUGUCCCCUGUCAAAGUUCGGGGGAUCCACUCUUCCACUGAACAAUUUUCUACUGCAAGAUCGAUCCACAAUCCGAUAGUUCAUGCUGCCGAAUCAACACAAAGUUCUUCCUUGAGAAAAUACACCCCCAAGACGUUGCCGGUUACCACCUCUCCCAACAGAGCUGGCAUCUCAAGUAAAAAGAGGUAGAUAACAUGAUAAGUAUCUUCAUAUCUAGGCUAGGCACUUCAUUUGCACCAUUACUAUUCCUUUAAAGCUAUCUCGGGCCGAAGUCCACAUUCUCCCACUUGAAUGGCUCAACAGAACCAGUAUGCGGUGAACCUUGACAAAUAUGCAGACGCAAACACCAGUCUGUUACAGGAAAGAUUGUUCCUCGACACAGCAUACAUAUAAGGGGACUGAUCAUUCUCAUCCACUAAUGAAUUCCAGCACUUCAAUCCAAUCUAACAAAUAAGAGACAAAUAAACUAGUGAUGUUACCUUGUAAAGGUUAAGAAUAUAAUUUGUGCAGCAACAUCUAUGACAGUUUGAAAACCACAUCAUUUUGAGGAUCGAGUAUGGAGAUGCAGUUAUUUAGUUUAUACACUACGUACUACAUAUUAUUGGGCUAGGAAUAUAAGAGGAGCAGGAUUUAUCUGGCUACAGAAUAGAAGUUAUAGAACUAGAGAACUAGAUUUACCUCUUGUGGAUCAUUAGUGAGUGCAUCAACAAUGUCCUCUGAAUCCUGCAUAGAUGCUGCCAAAUGCCAUGGGGCCACCCCUGCUGGAGCUGCCACAUUUGGAGGAAAAAGAUUCAUCUUUGUCACAUUUUUUCCAUGAUACACAAUAAUGGAGAAGAAGAUCUACCAGCUUCCUGCACCUUCUCUUAACCGCUCUGUUCAGGAGGUGAAUAUCCGAAAGCAUUUCAAAUGACUUUUGUACGAAGGCAUCAUUCCUUAAGCUUCUCUCCACCAGAAUAUCCAAAAGGGUUUUGAUAAGACUGCUCCAAUCUCGUUCAACCGAAAAUGUAAGCAGGUACUUAAACUGUGCACUAGAGAAAUCAGGCAAAGACAGGAGGCUGCAUGGCCUAUGUGUCCUCUGAAACAGCCAACCAAGUUCAUUUUAGAAAGCGUCAAACAACCUCCCUCGACCUAGGCCCUGCACUAUUAACAUGUUCCUCGGCAAUGACAUUUGUUGUCUGAACAUCUUCCUCAAAUUCUGAUUCAAGGGCUCUCAAUUCCUGACAGAUGCUAGUAUCGGCAAUAAUAAUUGGAAAACUGUUCCCUUUGAAACCAUUUUCCACCUGAGCAUGGAAUUCGAAAGUUAGUUGAGAGCAGGCCCAUCCUACCACACCUAUCUGGAAAACAAUGAAGUCAUGCUUUUGAAUGAUUUGCUGCCACGUCAACUGGAAUGAAAUGAAGGUGACCACCUCAAUGAAACAGCGACCAGAGGCCUUCGGAGAUCCUCCUGGAAAGGAAAACCUCUCCACACAGGAAUCAUCACAUAUGGUGCCCGGAUAUGUUGAGAAAAGAACUUCCUUUAACAUAUAUUUACCAAUAUAAAUGCAAUGGGUCUUGCAAGAAUUAAAUUAAAAUUUAUGAGUAACAUAAGUUGGUAGUAUAAGAAUUUCUUUGGAUAAACAAGGCACUGCAAUGCUCAACUCACUUGGUGCCAGGAACAAUCAAAUUGCGAUCCUUUUAGGACAAGGGAAGUUUCCAGCUCACCAACAACAGCAAUAGGUGAUACAGUCAACUCUGGAAAACUCCAUGCCCUCCAAGUCUUGACAAACGGAUCUUCCCUGUAAUGGCUAGCUAUUAUAUAAUCCAUGAUAAUUGCGAUAUAAAUAUUUCAAAGCUUCAAAAAAGAUAAUUGGGACGAGCAUCCAAAUAUCUAAAACUAAAAAGUGGAAAAAGAUCAGUAUGUAAAGGUGAUAUGGAAAAGCAAACCAUCCUUUAUGUGAUACCAGCUGCCUAUUUGUAUGAACUAAAAACCUCCCAUUUAGCCAAAACUCAGCUUCGGAGGAUUGAACUAGUGAGGUGGCAUGCUGAAGAAGAUCAUUUUCAUGCCGCAAACCAACAUAUAUUUUCAGAAUACUAUAAUCCAAACUAAAGCAUAGAAACAAUUGAAAAUGUGAAAAAAUUAGUCACUGACUGCCUUCCAUGCAAUUGACUGCAUUCUUAAAUAAAUUGAUAACACGACCAGGUCGAAUGUAACUCUCCAUCUCCGAAGGGCUGUUUGAAAGCCAAUUUAAUAUCUGAAUAACAGGAAAUAUGAGCACCUAGCUGAUUAUUCAAUGAAGCAAAUACAAGGGAGCAUAUAUAUAACAGAAUUUCUACAAUACCUGUGAACGGAGAUUAUCAGGGAAGCUGCUCGGAUCCUUGCCAAAAAGCUUGAAAAUUAUCCGCACAGUCCGAUCCUGUUUCGUCAUGUUGAUGUAAUAGCAAAUAAAACACACAAAAUGUUAAGACAGAGGUGCACGACCAUAUCGUACAUUACCUGAGAACUCAAACUGGAAGUGGAGUGAUCUGAGGCUGAAGAUUUGUAACCAGCUUGAUAUGGUAAACUUUGAACUACCCUGCUUUCAGCUUGUGUUUCUGACCCCUUAAAGAGCUCAAUCGGUGCACUCCCACCAUGACUAGUGCUUAAUUCAACAGUAGCAUUUUCUUCCCUGCUCGUGCAUAUUUCACACUCUCCAACAUUGAAUGUAGAGGGAAUAGCUUCUUUGUAACUGGGGGAGAAGAUGAACGAGACCUCUCUUCCACAUGGUUGCUAAUUUCAGAGAAGAGAUAUUUCAUUGCAGAACCUAGCUCUGGAGGACUGCCAUCAUCAGCAGGACCAAAAAACUGCAAAGGUAAACUUGGGCAUACUUGCUGAACUGUCUUCUGAGGUACAUCUGCCGGAGAUUGUCAGAUGUAGUUGUCUCUCGAUAUUCCAACUGAAGGAUAGAUAUGAGAUGAUUUAUUAUGUAAAUAAACAUUAACUUGGGGGCUCAACGCUUUGGACCUUGGUUCUAUCGUUGCCACUACUUUCAGUGCCUCCUUGUGAAAGAGAUGCAGGGGCAUCAGGAGCAGAUGCAGCUAGCACUGCCAAGAGAACUGUCAGCAGGUUUGUUGUGGCAGAUGUUGCAUUUUCGUUUCCAGUUGCCUUUGUUGACUGUUCAAGUGAACCUAGUGGUGGAAGUUGUGAUACAUCCAAAUCAAAACCUCCAGGUACAGAUGAUCUUGAGGAAGUGUUUACCUCAGUCGAAGCACUUAAACUGCUAAUAAAUUGGACAAGAUGAUCUCUAUCAGUCAAAGGAGGGAUACUGGUCUGUUUGUCUUUAGUGCCACCUGCAGUUGCAGUGCUAAAAGAUGAAGCAAAAGAUCACACUAUAUGUCACAGAUUGAUUAUCCAGUAAGCAACAUGCAUUACCUUGCAAGCGUGCUAACAUAGGUAACAAAUUGACAAUAUCCAAAUUCCGACUCCUUUUUUCUUGGUUUCUAGGAAACAAUAGUUCAGAAGAGGCAUCCUCUAGUUGUGUCUUCCUUCUGCAUCGAUUAUGUCCAGCAAGACGCCUCUACAGCUUCUCUUCCCCUGUCAAACUUAGAAAGGGGAUGAAAUCUGAAUUAAAUGAUAUUGCAGGUCGAAAGACUACAUGAUUGUUAUCAGAUCUGAGAUAGUAGAACAACUUAGAAGACAUCCAGAUUUCUUUGUAGGGAAACCAAUUGAUGCAAACUCCAAAGAUCUUAACAAAAGCCAUCUACCUCAGAGAGACUAAUUUACACCUACUCGUGCCAGUCUUAGUUACAAUGACUAAAUACCGAGCCUUGAUUGUGAUCAGCCUAUUUUGCAUUCGACAAAAUUAAUUGAAUUAAAACAUCAUAUAAAAAAAGAUCAAGCAUUUCCAUCAUGAAUAGGCAAGGGUUCCAAUUGUAAGCUGAAAGGACAGAGGCUUGAGAUCCAUAUUACCUGCUGCACUGCUGGCAAAACUUCUGCAUCCGCUUUCCCACAAGUGCCUUGGCGGUCUUACUGUGCACCUUGCGCACCAUAUUUCGCCUGUGAUAAUCCUUGGCGCUCGACAUAUCCGCCCGGCAAUCAUCCACCUGACACAUUGGGUAGCUGCUGCCACUCCUUGGAAGCCAGACCUGACCCUCUUAUAAGGCCAAGCCGUCGGCUCCUCAACCACCGAGUACGCACCGCCUCCUAGCUUCAAAGCUCGGUUCUUAUUAUCCACUUCCAAAUUCCUGCGCAAGACCGAACCUUUCGUGUCCUCAUCCCCUUUCUUCAUCUGAUCCACCAUGGGAGUGGCUGCAGAAGACGGUUGGAACCCCAGAAAGAGGACCUCCGAUGCAUCAGACGAGGGCUUUGCCAUUAACCGCACGCUAACCUAAUCCCACAUCUUGGGGUUCCAAGUAUCCCUGGUAUUCGGAAAGGAAGCGCCCAUCAGCCGCUGCUGGCUCUGUAGCUGCUGGUUGAGGUCGGGAAGUCUCGCUUCUUAGCGAGCAGCGGGGCCUGGUGGAAGAGUCCGGGGAGGGCCCGUUGAUGGUGAAAGAAGGUGGGAGUGACGACCUGCGCACCGACCUCUCCCUCCAUCUCUCCAGUCUAAAUCGGACCCUCGAUUCCGAGACCGCCAAAAGCAGAACGACGUUCUCCUCCUCUGAUCCAUCUCUCCACCAAAUUCCAAUCCGAAGAACACCCAGGAAUUCAAGAAUCCAUCAACAGAUCAUCAUGGUGAUAGCUUUCUACAUGAAGUCAGUCAAACCAUACCCAGCCAAUCUCAGAACAAAAAAAGAAAAAAGAACAUCUGCUCAUCUUCUCCAUAAUCUCCAAAUCUCAAUCUUGGACAACGAGCGGCAAAACAACAUAGAUCGAGACAAAAACCACAAGAGAGACUCGAAACCGCAACGUCUGACCACGAAACAAACCAGAUGCGAAAAUGAAUUCAAGAAAGAACAGAUCUGGUGGAAGAACAGUUCGACAGGAGAAGACGCCGAGAAGAGACGUUUGCUCUCUCUUGAGAUCUAUUUUAAUAGAUCGACUGAUAAAGAAAUUAAAAGAGACAAAACCUUAAGAGGAUAAAUAUGAAGAUUAUUUGCUUGCAGAUUAUAAUCGUAAUAAUCUCUUUCUUUUUGUCACCCCACGGUGGCGAUUCGCCGUACGUGGCAUACUCCUCGUCACGUUAUGCCCGGUGAAUACAAACACCACCCUUGACGUGCCGUAGUCGCUUUCGUACCUUGACUGCCAGCGGACAAGACCUUGAAGCGAUGUGGGGUCCUUCGCCUUGUGGCUCACCACGUCCGAUUUCUCACGGACGAAUCGUGUCGGUUCAAUUCCGGUACGGGAUGACGUAGUUGAAAUGACUCAAAAGGCCAUCGUUAUUUUCCAUAACUACGGUCGCGCCAUAUCAAGUGCAUGGGGUCGGACGGGGGCACGAUAACCGCGGGGGAAAGCGUACCCGUUUAUUUGGUCGUUGACGGACGUGAUCGCCUCAUCAGACUCGUACACGAACAUUAUUGCACGUCUUCUUAAUGUCCUAUUCAUGAUGACGACCGUUAGUGGUCUUUGGGAUAUAUAUAUAUAUAUAUAUAUAUAUAUAUAUAUAUAUAUAUAUAUGAAAAAAUAAAAAUUCUUAAAUAAAAUUUAGAAUCAAAAUUACACUUGUUUGAUUGAUUUAUAUUGAAUUAGAAUUUUUGUUGGUCAGAUUUGAGAUGAGUUUAUAAAUAUGUCAUAUAUUAUUUAUUUAUGAUAAUUGAAUCAUCAACAUGCCCACUUAAAACUUUAUUUAAAAUUAAUAUUUUAAAAAAUAUUGUACUAUAAAUAUGCCAUAUGGUGUUUGUAUAUGUUAAUUAAAUCAUCAACGUACAUACCUUAAAAUUUUAUUUAAUAUUAAUAUUUUAAAAAUAUUAUACUUAGUUAAAACGAUCAUAUAGUCGAUUUUAAAUAGUUAAGAUUUUUAUUAUAAUAUUAUUUAAGCGGAUAAAAUAUAUUUUAAAUAUUUGAUAUUUAAUAUAAUAAUAGUUAAUAUUUUAAAAAUAUUUAUGAGGUGCUUAUAUGCUAUUCCAAAAUUUGAAGGGGACAAAUGUGCUAUUUCUAAACAUUUGAAGGAUAAGGUUGUAAAAGCGCUUUGAGAUUUAUCCUUGUAAUAGUUGGCAAUAAUAUAAAUAAUAUUCUUCCUCGAAAGCGAUCGAUUCGUUUCGAGGCUGGAGCCUGAUCCCAUCCUUCCUCUCUGAUUCUUCGAUCUCUUUCUUGGAUUCCCUCAAAUCUCUGAGAAAGAUCUCUUCUUGGUCGUCCCUGUUGCCCGGUCUCCGCUGCAAACCCUUAAAGCUAGGGUUUUUCCAUGCCCUAGCUAGGGUUUCGGCGGUUGAUCCGGUUCCUCCUUCCAAGUUGCCUCUUUCUGGCUGGAAUUCUGGUUCUUGAGGGUGAUCGUCCGAUGGCCUUUCACCACGCGGGGCCUGGUUCGGCAUCCGGAUCAGCGUCGAGCUCCAGCUCCGGGUUCCACUUCCCGAAUUCCCUUUUCGGGGACACCACGUACACGAAAGUCUUCGUUGGGGGCCUUGCGUGGGAGACCAAGAGCGAGACGUUGCGCCGCCACUUCGAGCAGUUCGGUGAGACCCUUGAGGCCGUCGUGAUCACCGACAAGAACACCGGCAGGUCGAAGGGUUAUGGUUUCGUGAGUAUCGCUUGUCCUAUCAUCUUGUGGAGGAAACUCACUUUUCUUUGCAAAUAGAGGUUUUGAGGGAAGAUUUGAUUUUUCUGUGUUAUUUUGUAUGAAUCGUUUGGUGUUGAUUUCUGUGGAGGGGUUAGGUGACUUUUCGAGACCCUGAAUCUGCAAGAAGAGCAUGUGCAGACCCUAGCCCAGUUAUCGAUGGCAGACGUGCGAACUGUAACUUGGCUUCACUUGGGCGAUCUCGCCCUUUUCUUCCAUUUGGCGGUACGCCCCUAGAAUCUCCGCUUCUGUUAGCGUUGCCAAAAGUUGCAUUACAAUCUUAGUAUCAGAAAACAAUGUUGCAUCUCCAACCUGUUGAAUGGCUUUUUGUUGUCAAUCCCAUUUGAUUGUUUCUCAUCGGUACUUGUGCAGGCUUCACUUUGAGGCAGUAGUAAUACUUUUAAACAUCUUUUAUCAUGUUAUAAGUAGUGUACUUGAUUAUCUUGUAUCUGGUUGUUUUACCCAAGAAUCUCAUGAAUUUGGAGAUGACAUAUAUAUUUAGUAUCAUAUUGAGUUGGUUAAUGCACAUAUUUGUGCUAUUUAAGUAAUCAUAAAGCAUUGGCUAUGGACUCCAAAUGUUUUAGAUUAAGUCAAAGGCAUUCAAUAUGAUUUUUGGGUGCCAAAAUUUUGUUUUUUGUUUUUCAAAUUACAUUCAAGAAUUCUGUCUGUCCAUGUUCGCUCCUUUGUUUUUUGUUUUUUUGACCUUUAUGUUUUUCACUUCAAGGGUUCAUGGAGUCAUAAACUUUAAAUACCUAUUACUUUAUGUUCUGGAAAAUGCUGAAUCAUGUUUCUGAGCAUGAGGAAGCAUAUUUAAAUGGAUUAAUGUAACAAUGAUUAAGGAUCAAAUGGAUAAAUUCCACUACAUAUUAAUAAUUAUAGGCAAAUCAAGGGUUGCCAUGCCAAUCUGUACGUCUUGGCAUGGUCCAAAAGUUGUGCUUGAAAAGAAUUGGUAUACAUCAUGUUGAUCCGUGCUUGAGAUGCCAACAUGUGGCUAGUCCAAUUUUUGGCUUGGGUUAGACAAUGCAGAAGGUGUACUAACCGACACAGCGUGGAACACAUCAUUCCAGAAUUCUUGUGCUGUGAAACAACUAGCUAUCGAGCAAACUAAUCUGACAUUUUUUUCAGCUUCAUUGAACCCUUUUUGCCCACAUUAUCUAAACAGCCCUUUUUUACUACUUGUCCUUAUGGAACCCUGUAAAUUUUUUUGUCUGCUUCACUAAGGUUAUUGCAAUUUUUCACAUUUGACUGACAUAUCUCAAUCCAUGUGCACCUGCUUCUUUAAGGUCUAAAACAGCAAAAUUUCCUUGACAAGAAAGCUCUUAUCUUCCAUACUAAUUUUUCCUUCUUUUUAACCACACUAACUGAAUGGACCUCUGUUUAUGAGGCAUAUGAUACACUUUCUAACUUCUGAUAUUAAGUCGGUGUUUUGUUGUUCCUUUCCACCAAUAAGCUCCCUGCAAGAUAAAGCCAAUAAGAAGAAAAAAGAAAUUGAAGUUUAAGAAUAUGAAGUAUAAUGGUUUACAUCAUUCUUUAUGUUUUUCACUGUUCUUACCUAGCCAUAUUAUGCAUGGCAUGUUAGACACAUGUGACAUGAACGGCGGUCUGUUUGGAUUUUUCUGUUCUAGUGCGCCCGAGGUCAGGCCUUUACCUUGGAGGUAUGUCAGUCCAGCGAGGGCCAUAUGUUGGAAGCCCCGCUCAUCAACAACCUGUUCCAUUCAGCUACCAAGAAGGGUUACCAUAUGCUGCAUAUAGGUUAGUUCAUCUCCUGGAUCUUUUCAAAACAGUCGUUGGUUUUGGUUUAAGAAACAGAGAAAUGAACCUUGGAUUUGAUGCCUAUGUUUUAAUCUUAUGCUUAAGUUUAUUCCCAAAUAAUAUGAUUGGUUUGAGAACUAAGUAAUUGGAUGAAUGAGUAAGAAGCACUGAAGCUAAGAAUCCUGUGGAGCAGAAAGAUGUUUUGUUGAUAUUCAGUCUCUGUUUGCACUUUUGAAUCAGAACUGAUAUGAUAUUAAAGCUGUAAUUUUUUAAAAGUGAUCCAUUACUGAGAGCUCUUUAUCUGGUUUACCUUUCCGACUUAGUAUUUUAUUACUAGAAAUGAAAAAAAUAAAGUAAUGUAUGUUUUAGUUUAUUUAUUGUUUGUAUGAUCAGGUAGGUCGUGGAAGUUUGGCUGAAAUCAAGCUAGAUGUAGCCUGAAAUGAUAGUACUAUUACUAAAUUUAUGGUUGCUUUAAUUUGAUGGGCAUGAAAGAAGGCAUCAAUAUUGAUCAAAAUGUUAUGCCCAUAUAGCUAAAAGCUAUGAGACUAAUAAGUAAAUGGAAUAAGUUAAAAGUUAAAAACAUUUUUUUGAAAUGUGAUCCAUAUUCAGAUAUACGUUAUCUGAAUCAGGAUUUCAUUAAGACAUUGCUUUUUCUAUUUAAUGGCUUAUACUUUAGAAAUAGCCUUUCCACAGUUGAUGUAUGGAUGCAUAUCUGAAACCCUUCUCAGAUUAAGGCUGGUUUGGUUCGUAGUUUCUUACCUUAAAAUGACCUCGAGGAACCCUACCGCUGCUUCUGCCUCCGCUGCUGACGCUUUCUGCCAUUGCCUUCGCUACAGACGCAGCGGACCGAGCCUUCCUCUGUUGUCGACGGACGAGUACAACAGCCCUCAUAGUUUCCUUCCGUUGUCACUUCCUUCCAUUGCCGAGGGAGAGGACUACAGGUUCCUCUGCCACUGACGGACGGCCUUUGGAGCUUCCGUCGCUACCGCUGCUGUUGUCCGUAGCUUUCGUCGUUGUCGCCGUUGUUGUUCGCAGCUUCCGUCGUUGCCACCGCUGUUGUUUGCAGCUUUUGUCGUUGUCACUGCUACUGUCCGCAGCUUCCCUCACUGCCUGCUAUCCACAGCUUCUGCUGUUGCCGAUGCUGUUGUUCGCAAUGCUGUUGCAACUAUCUUAAACUAAUCCUCCGCUGCUAUUGCUAUCUCCUUUUGUUAUUGUUAACAUUUUUUUCUUCUCCCUCUAACUUUAAGUAAUAUACUGUUAACAAUAUAUUUUUAAUUUAAUAUCAUAUUUUAAUUUAAAUAAUUAUAUAUAUUUUUAAUUAUAUAAUAUAUAUCUUUUUUAUUUUUAAUAUUUUAGAGAAUUUUUUUUCUUCCCCUCUAAAUUAAGUAAUAUACUGUUAACAGUAUAUUUUUAAUUUAAUAUCAUAUUUUUUUAUUUAAAUAAUUAUAUUUUUUAAUUAUAUUAUAUAUUUUUUUUAUAUUUUAAUAUUUCAGAGUGCCUUACGUUUUGGGACCUUGGCGCCUUUUGGCGCUUAGCAUUUUUUAAAUCACUGACUUGUACAUAUCCUACACGUUCUACUCAAGGAAAUUUAUGCAGUUGGGCAAUAAUUAUCAUAUAAUUGCUAGUACUAUCAAUUGAUUAGCCACUUAUGAAUAAGGAUGAAGGCAUAUUAAUUAAUGUUCCAUCUGAUUAAAUGAAAGUUAAUAUUUUAAAUGUAUGGUUUACUUGAGACAGCAGUGGUGAUACUGUUUGCACCAUGAACAUAAAUGUUGUUCUCAUACUAGUAUCAGCAACUGGGUGGUAUACAGACUGGUGCAUUCCUGUAAAUUUGGAAAAUAAAUUAAAUAUUUAAUACUGACUGUUACUGACCUAUAUGAUCUUGUAUCACUCCUUGUUCAGACUGGUAAAAAUCUGUUGGUAUGUACAGAUAUUUGAAUUCUUGGUUUGCACGUCUAAGAAUAUGGUGAUUGGAUUAAAAAAAAGGGUUAUCUUGGCCUCUGAUAUUCAUGAACUCAGCUUGAAAAUUUAUGUAUAUUGCAUCUAUGCUUCUGGUACAUAUAAGGUUUAUGUUUCAUGAUGGUGAGAAUACACUUGUUCAUUGAAUCAAGUGCCAUAGGUUUGGUUAAUCAUUCAAUGCUUUGGUUUCCUUUUGCAGUUACAAUCUCUAUGGGCCGGAGUAUGUCUAUCCACAGGUUCAAGACCCAAAAUCAUGUCAAUCCUUUCUGAAUUAGAAUUUGUUUUGAAAAUAUGCAACCAACAUGCUAAUUUUGAUGUCUAGUCUCUUUUGCAGAAUGCAUACAAUCCUUAUACAGGGCAGCCUUAUGUUCAAGUUUAUGGUUUUCCUGGAGCUAUAAACACAUCUAUUUACCCAUUUGAUCAAUUUGGCCAGCCUAUUCCACCUGGUUAUACGGCAAUGCAUGGCUACACACUGCCAACUCAACCAAUUGUGCAAUUGGGUGGACCAAAUGUCAAUGGAAUGGCAAGUGCACCUCGACCUGUUAUUCAGUCACCCUAUCCAGCUGGUACAUUUUCAUCUAGAGAUUUCUUUUCUCUUUAAUACUCUUACACACAUUAUAUUUAUCAGGUACCGUGAUAGGUAUGUGCUGGAUAGGCUUUUCCCAUGUUGUCUGGGACAUUGCUAAUCUAGCACAGAUAGUGUAGUAUUAAUGAGGUCUAUAGUGAAAGAAAUUGGGUAAAUGUUACGAGGUGAUACAAGUCUAGUUUGAUGCUUAAAGAUUGGUUAUCGAAUGACAUUACCGAAGCUCAAUUUGGUGCCUAUUUUUCUCACUGUAGAACUUGCCUGCAAACAUCUGUGAUUUAUGUAUAGUUUGUUGCGUUUUGCUUAACAUCAUAACAGAUUGGCUAUUAUCUUAUUUAGGUUGAUCAAUUUAGAUUAUGAUUUGUGCCCUUUACGUUUGUCUUUGUUCUCAAUAGAUGUAUCAUUUCUAUCUCAAGGGAGGGCAGAAGCCUCUAAUGUGUUUUUCUUUCUGAAAUUUGUUCUUGUGGAUGUGGUUCUUUUAAUAUUCUACCUUAUGUGCACAGCAGCCAGUAAAAUAUUAAUCAUAUUGGAUUUCACAGGAUUAGCAGCCCCAAUUCCAGCACAACCACAUGUCAUAGUUCCUGCUCAGUCUCCACAGUUUAUGCAGGGCAGCAGUUCAGAUCAAACGACAGUUUAAAUGUGCAUCAUGAUAUCAUCUUGAGGUACACCACCAGUCCCACUCCAAUUUUUCUUGAUGGUUUUUUUAUUGACAGAGAUAUGUUUUCUCUAUCUUUAAUAGAUACCCUUAGAUUGCAGCAGGACCAAGAACCGCAGUACUGCCAUGUUAAUGGCUUGCAUUCUUGCCUUGCAUUCUAUCAUCUUUGCAUUCUAGAGGUUAGUUCUAUUUGAUAUCCACUUAUACAUGUGGUGAUUAUAGAAAUUUCUUAUUUUGGAGGUUAUGAUCUUGGCGAGUAAUAUAUGACAAUAUGUCACUGCAGCUUAUCUCAAUGUAGUACUUUUGCUUUUAAUUUUAUACGCAUGUGGACUCAAGUAUCUGGUAUGAUGUACCAUCCGUUUGCCAAGCAGGUGCUAUGAACAAUACAUAUUGCAUCCUAAUGUAUCAGUCUAAAUACAUGCUAGUGUGAUGCUGGAAUGUUUGCAGACAUCAUACUUUGGCAUGCAUGGAUGUGUCUGGUUUUAGCUGUAUACUUGUUUCUUGCUAGCACACUAUCUUCUUGACAAUGAUUAGUUCUUUUAUGGCAUCCAAGUUUUAAUUUUCCAUAUCUACUAGGAAUUUAUUGUUCAAAAUCUUAUGACCAUUUUUUCUCGUGCAAAACCGUUCUUUGAUCAUCCAAUUUGCAAAUUGGUCAUCUUGUUCAUGGCUACAUAUAUAAAAAAAUCCUUCUGACUAAUAUUUUCUUGUUUGCCAGUCCUAAAAUAAUCACCCUAGUCAUGGUUUGUUCAUCUUUGGCAUGACAGUUAUUUUUUGCAUCAAGUUGAAAUACUUGGAUGCCUUCAAAAAGGACAAUUAAUUAUUUUGUUUGGAGAUUCCACCUGGAUAUUGCAGAAUUAACUAUUUGUAAUAAACAAACUUCCAGGAAGGAGGGUCAUCAUUGAUUGUGCAUCAUUUGACUCUAUUUAGAGAAGGUUCCUCUGUUUCCCUGCUUUUGUUGUAACUCUUUUCAAGUUGAUUAUCAAGUCUAUGUAGCAAAAGUGAAAAUUUCUGCUUGAUAAUCCCUUCACACAUUUUUCUUUGUCCUUUUUGUGGUUCAUGCAUAUAAAAAUCAUAUCUUAAGCUUCAAGAGAGUACCUGAUGUAUUUCCUGAUUAACACAAAGGAGCAUGUCAGUUCCUCGUUUUACUUUUUGUUCUUUCUUUUCAGCAUCAGCGAUUCUUCUUAUAUUAGCUAUGCUGCAGCCUUACUCUGAAGAGAAUCCAUUAUAUAUAUAUAUGUAUAUGUAUAUAUGUAUAUAUAUACAUAUACAUAUAUAUACAUAUACAUAUAUAUACAUAUACAUAUAUAUACAUAUACAUAUAUAUAUAUAUAUACACAUAUAUAUAUAUAUAUAUAUAUAUAUAUAUAUCGCUUCGAUAGAGGAUGAGAAAAAAUCAUUUAAAAUGGUAUGGGCAUGUGCCGAGAAAACCUCCGGAUGUUAGUGAUACGAGAAAAGAUAGUGGACGACCUAAAAAGAUUUUAAUAGAAAACUAUAAAUAAGGAUUUAUAUGAUUUUUUUACAAACUCAAUGAUGGCAAAAGUUCCAUGUAGCCGACUCCAAAUAGUUAGGAUAUAUGGUUUUAUUGUUGUUGUUGUUAUAUAUAUAUAUAUAUAUAUAUAAUUUCUUGAUGUGUUAUUCUUGAUGUCAGAAAAUCUAGAAUAACAGAUUGAUAUUAUUUUGCUGUUUUUCUAAUAUGGUCAGUUGCAUAUUUACUAUGAACAGGGGAUUCUAUAUGUUACUAUCAAGCUAACAUUUCCUUGUGCUGUUUUCGAUAGGAAAUCUAGAAUAACAGAUGAAUCUUGUUUUGCAGGUUGUCCUAGUUAUGAUCAGUUGCAAAAAGCCAUUAAGUUGCUCCGAUGGAGGGAGCUGAAAGCACAAGAGCAUGGGUUGCUCUUUGUUGCACAGUGUCUGUAAAGUCUCUUGCCCUGCUGGAAGUUGUGAAGUCUGGUGGAGCAAGAAUACCUGGAUGUCAAAAUUGCAUCCUACAACCUGUAUGAUAGAUUCUGGAUGUCAGAGUUGGAGUCUGACAACCGAGAGGGAAGCUAAAUUGUAUCAUGGGAUCCAAGUGUUACUGCCACAUAUAUAGACAGAUGAAGACAUGUUGCUCAUGCAAAGUUCAACUUCAGUGUAAUGAGUAACGGAUUUGUAUGAUUCGCAACAUUAGUUUCCUACAGUGUCCUUCAUUUAGCAGAAGAACCCUAAUGGUACUAAACAGUACAUGAUCAAAUAAAAGGUCUCAAAGGCAUGGAAACAAACCAGAUGGUUCAGUUCAAUUUCCAACACAUUUCUUAUCAGCAAUAUCAUGUCAUGCAUCCACUCAAUUGAAACCAAGCUUUUCAAGGCAUAUAUAAAUGUAGUCCCUGAAACAAUAUUGCAGUGCUGUUUUUUCGAGUACAUUUCAUUUCUGGUGUUUGAUGUCGGUGAUCGUCUUGGCGAAGACGGCGGAUUUCAUGACUGACCUGCAAAUCAGGUUUAGUAUGUUUAGAUCAUUGCUAAAUGAACUUCUAUGUAGAUUUUUACUGCUACAUUGAAUCAUGGAGCAUAUAAACUCUGUUGCACUUCUGCAUUUGUUGUGAUUAUGUAACAUUUGAACAGCGUUGCAUAUGAUAUCACCAAGUUCGACUGUGAAGAGUAAUAGUUCAGAUGAUUGCCAAUUCUUUGUAAGAAAAUGAAGUGUUCUAUUGUCAAUACAGUUGACUUUUUUUCCCUGAGAGAUCACUAAAUGAACAGGUCUCAACCAAACCUCUAUUUACACAGCUUUUUUUACUUCCAUCUGGAAGCACUUUUCAUGCUCAAGGCACAAAGUUUCACACUUAGUCAAUCAGACAGCCUUCUGAUUCACUAAGCCUGUGUUGGAGAUAGCUCAUCGAACUACAGUAGUCUGUGUCGGAGGAUAACUUCAAUGGCUACAUCACAAGCCACCAGCAAAGUCAUCGCAGUCAACUUAUACAAUAUGGAAAUGGAUGACCGCGAAAGUGGCAGAGGGGUGAUCUCCUGCAGCUUGCUUUCGUACUCCACUCGGAUUCAUAGACCAGAAGUAUGUCGAAUCAUGCAAGGCCAAGGGGGUUCUUCUUUACUGGCACUGUCUUCUUUUUCUCAUGAAGUGUGAAUAAGGAACAAAGACGCUUCAAUGCGCAUGUCAUGGACGCAUUUACUUACCCCCUGUUGUUGAUGAUGAACACAGUUUCUGAGAUCGACAUCAACCCACAUGCGUUCAUACCAAGAAAGGACAUUGAAAGAUGAUCCUUUUCCUAAACGAGACUUAAAAGUCAGAUAAUAGAUGAAGAAGACGAAGUCAGUUCGAUGUUAGCCUCAUCUUGAUGGUCAGAUGGGAGCAAGGGAACACGCUGUUUCCUUUCUCAUGUCUUGACUGCUUCCUGCUACUUUAUGGUACCUGCCAACACAUGCAUACUGCUUCCUUCUCACCCUCAGCUCCUCCUAUAUAAACCCCUCCAAUCCUCCCUCGACGGCAGCCAUGGAGUUCGAGGGGUGCGUUGCAGUGGCUGCAGGGCGGCCGACGACGGUCAAGAAGCCGAAGCCGAAGCCGAAGACAAGGAUCUUACACGUGUUCCCGCCGGAGAUCAUAAAGACGGAUGCUGCAAACUUCCGCGAGCUCGUGCAGAGGCUCACCGGAAAGCCGGUGACGCGAGCUAGCAGCAACAGGAGGAAGAAGAAGAAAGAGGACGAGGCUGGUUGCGUGGGGCUCGAGGGAGAGGUGGCUCCGAGCUGCGAGCAAGUGGGACUGUGGAGGGGGACGCAGGAGCCCGGAAGUGGGGGAGGAGCGAAGGUUGAGUUGGAGGAGAAGGAUUCCGGUGGCUUCUCUUGGGAGUUUGGAGAGAUCGAGAGCUUCCUCCAUGAACUCAGUGAUGUCUCGUGGCUUCCUUCGUGUACUUCCCCAGCUAAUGACAGUUAGAUCCUUUUUCGUUUUGCUGUGUUUUUGGUGGCUUUGAUGUUAUUCCCUGGGACGCCACGUUUGCUAUUGGGUUCGGGUCGUAGAUGGAUCCGAUACUAAUUCGAUCCGAGAACAACCCUGUGAAAGCCAUUCGAAAUGGCAUCGUCAACCCUAGCCGGUGGUAGGAUCGAGACGAUGAAGGUAUCGGUCAGGUUCCCAGAGGACCGGCCGGCCCUGGUGCGGGCCAAGAUCCCCGUCGGCGUACUCGGCCUGCCUUUCAUCUCUGGCGCCGCCGCCGCCGUCGGCGACGCCCGCGAGCUCCGGCUCGACCUCUCCACCGCCUUUAGCGCCGGCCCCUCCUUCCGCGUCUCCUACCGCCCCAACGACCCCCACAAACCCUUCUCCCUCGUCCUCAAGACCGGCGCUGGCCCCCUCGGCUCCCCCGCCGGGGGUUCCCCUCUCGCCAUGUCCGCCGAGUUUGGCCUCUUCGGCGCCCGACCAACUUUCUCCCUCCUCCUCAAGCCUCGCGUCGGCGACUUCACAUUCAAGAAAUCCGUUGCUGCCGCCCCCGCGGCCGCCUCCCCGGCCGUGGAGGUCAAGGUCGCACCCGUUGGUGACGGCUGCGGGAUCGAGGCGCCGGUUGUGGAGUUCCGGCCGGGUGGUGGGAUCCACGCCGGGAGGAAGUUGAAUGGCUUCCCCAUCGACGUCUCCGCCUUUUCCGCCGGCAGCAGAGGCGGGAUUGAUGGGCUGCUCUCCGGGUUUGAGGUCAGCGCCAGGAGCGUCCUUCCGCUUCCGAAUCGCACCGCUAUCCACUUCAAAUGGGGUCUGAGAGUGCCGCCGGAGCUCCGCACUGCCUUCGAUGAUCCGAUGGCUCGGAUCUCGCUGAGCAAGCUCCCACUCCUCGCCAUGAGAAAGAUCUCGAUCGAACGUUUGACGGAUGACCAGGAUGUGCAGAAGAAGAAUCCCGCUGCUGCCACUGAGGCAACGGAUGCGUGCGCCUUGGUGAGGCAGGAGAUCGAGGCUCUGCAAUCUGAGAGCAAGCUGCUGAGGGGGGCCGUGGAGGACCUCAGGGCAGAGGUUGGAGGCUGGAAGUUCACUGCGGCAGGGACCAAUGGGCGUUCACCAAGUAACACUGGGAAGCACAAGGGCAUCAAUGAGGAGCUAAUGAAGCCUGCAUUCAUGAGUUCCUCCACCACGGCAGUCUGAGAAAAUGGGGCUGGAGGUUUGCAACUCUUUACAUUUUGGUGAAUGCAAGCUAGAAAAAUAACUAGUAACCAAUAAUCCCUAUAUCCUAUUUUCCUUGGCAUAAUUGUGGUAGUAUCUUUUGUUAGGACAUGUAAAUGCUGCCUAUGUUUGUACUUGCCGCGGAAUGGUAUUGCAUUUGAUAAUUAAGUUAUUUCCAGGGGUUGCUUUUCUGUUUAUUGGAUCAAUGAUAGCUGGUAAUCAGUAAAUAGCUGCCUGAUUUUUUUGAAUUAAUGAUCUUUUUGGUAUAUUUCUUUGGGAAAUCGGCUUGGACAUGGUGAAGGAAGAACAAUGUGUAUCUAAAUAGGGAGCGUAAAACAAACAGAAAUGAAAUUUUGCUUGAUGGUGACAGAAUUUGUUUCAAAAUGGUGCUUGAUCUCAUUGCUUUCAUUGUAAAGUUAGAACACGGAGUGCUUCUUGCGCAUCUCUAUGAUUGUCGCUACUUGCAUGUGAUGCUAGACAUAAUGGUCAUCUUUUAAAGUUGCAAGUUUGGAUAUUUAAAAUUUCGAUCCUACUGAGAAUAUGGUACUUCAUUAAAUCUUGGCUUCAAAACUUAUCUCUUUUGUUGGUCGCAAUCGCUCUAUGUAGAGAAGCUAAUAAUGUUCAACAUCCUAACCUUCCCCGAUACUAACAAAGCUGGUGUGUGGCUCAUUGAUGUUCUUGUUGAUAGUUGGAGUUACAGAAAAAAGUAUGGGAUGUCUUUCUUCAUUUGUGUCAUCAUACAUGGGAUGAAUUUAGAUAUUUCAACAUUUUCUUUUUUUGCGUAGAGUUAAAUUAUAGAUGCUCUUAUAUUUAUGAAUGCUGACUGUGCUCAUUUGUUGUCUUUUUUAACCUCUAUACUUUGGUUGAGAGCUAGGGUUUGGGUGAAUAUUAGGGAUGGUCAAUGGAAAAUGCUACCGUCUUUGACUCAAAUGUAUGGCAAUACAUGAGUCAUGGACAUGGCAUGAAGAGAUAAGGCGAGAAGUUGUGUAAGGCUCGUGAGUACCUUACACAUAAAUCUGGGAGUCAAGAUCAGUUGCAGGUUACCCUGGGUGGUAAAUUUAGUGACUGCACUACUUUCUCAUUUCUAUGAUGUGAUGCAUAAUAAGGAACUUUGAAAAAAAAGUCUGCAUGUUAGGGCAAUUGAAGAUUGUAGUCUAUUGAAAACAUGGUAGUUGAUUAUGAUUCAGCUUUGAAGCAUCUUUUACAUGGAUCAAAAUAAAUAUUUCAUAAUAAUCCAACUAUUGGGGUUGGUUACACAUGUCUAUUCCCAAUGAUUCAGCUCUUGGAAAUAUGGUACCUCUAGUUAAAUCCAGGGCAUUCAUUCUCUUUUUAUUCAGUAUGAGCUGUAUAAUAUAGUGCAAAAUGUAAAUAGUUCAUUUUAACCUUACCCAGUACUGGGACAAGUAAAUAGGUCAUUUGGUCCCUGUACUCUCAAGGGAUUACCGGUACCAUCCUUACACUUCUCUUUCUAUCUUUUAAGUUGCCAAACGAAUUUUCUGUUCACCAAUAUUAUCUUCAGUGAAAAGAAUUCGUUCCAACAUCUUGAUGUCACCAGUUUUUGCUGAUAUGGAGGAAGGUAAAUUACAUUCCAACUUGGUAGAUUGCCUUAGCACUUGGCACUUGAACUACUAUUGGUAAUUCCAUGCAUUCAUUUGUGGCAGGUACCUUAUUUGUCACCAGUUUUUGUCAUCAAUAGUUGAUUGUUUGUUUCUGAGGAGGGAUAGCACACCGGUAGCGAGCCAUGGACCGGCAGGACAAUAGAGAUGGCAGAUGGUGGCUGAAAGUGAUGCUAGCAAAUGAAACAGUGCCGAUGAUGGAGGCAAGAGUUUCUCUGGAGCGAGUCAUGGUAACCUCCACAAACAAAGUUCCACAUGAAGCAUGGUUCUGUCAAUGGAAUGCUUUUACCCUUAGAUCAGCUGCCAAGUUAGAAUCAAAUCAGUGUUGUUUCCCCAUGUCAGCAGAUCCCAUCAAUCCUAAGCCACUGGAAUGGUUUUGUUUGGCCGGAGAGGAUGGAAUCGGUGAGGACAUUACAGCUUCUUGUCGCUGCUGCUGCAGUAAUUGUUCUCCUUAUUGCUACUUUUCUUACAUACGGUAAAUGGAUGGAGCAAAUCCAGACAACCAGCAGAGCUAAUUUCUUGCCUGUUCUCUUCAUUUGUUCUUUAUGGAUUAGCACGAAUGAGCUGUGAACAUGCCAACCCAUUAUGGCUUUUAUGUUCUCCCUCGAUCUCAUCAGGAAAAUCAAUAUAUUGUCAUAUUUGCAUUUCUUUCCUCUAUUUAGAGAAGAGGAGACGAGACUGGAGAUGAUAAUUAUGAUGUUUGGAAUCACUGCUUGGCUAUACUGUCCACAGACUUUUCUCCCAUAUAAGACCGAUGUAACCUAUUUCAUCCUCUCCUCUCAUGCCAAUUACCUUCCUGAUUUGAUCAGAUCAAUUCAGAGUCGGAAGGUGCUCUUUUACGAUCUUGCAAUAACUAUGUCUUCCACGGGUAGAAGAUUGAGAUUUAAAGGGAAGGUGGAAGGAUUUGAGAGGGCCUUUGAUAGCUUUCCUGUGAUACGUAUCUUCUCUCUCUACAAAGGGAAUGCAGCACACAUCUCGUCCAUCCAUCUGCAUGCUAUCUCAGCCACCGAGAGAUGUCUCCCUCCACCACCAUCCUCUGCGGUGCGCUCCUCUUCUUCCUCCUCGUCUCCUCAACCCUCCCGGCCGCGUCCUUUGACUGUGACGCGGGUGACCGCGCCGCCCUCCUCAAGAUCAAGAAGGGCCUCGGCAACCCUCGCCAGCUCAACAGUUGGAUCCCCGCCACCAACUGCUGCAACUGGUACCACGUCGGAUGCGACUCGCAGAGCGGCCGGGUCUUGUCCCUCCAACUCACCGACACCUACGGCGUGGUCGCUGACAAGGUGCCGGCGGCCAUCGGGGACCUCCCCUUGCUCCAGGUGCUGGCCCUAAAGAACAUGCCCGGCCUCUCCGGCCCCAUCCCCCGUUCCUUCGCCAAACUCAGGUACCUCGCCGGCAUCUUGAUCAAGAACAACUCCAUCAACGGCACAAUCCCCCGCUUCUUCAGCAACCUCCCCGAACUCAGGGUGAUCGACCUCAGCGACAACAAGUUCACCGGCCCCAUCCCGCCAGGCCUGUCGCACGGGGAGACCCCGUUCCUCGUCCUCCGCAACAACCUGCUGACGGGGGAGAUCCCCGCGUCCUAUGGCGACGUGGAGUACACCACCUUCGACGUCUCGCACAACCGGCUCACUGGGAGCGCGUCGUUCUUGUUCAAGAACAGGUCAAGGUCGACGUUUGACAUCAGCCUGUCGUGGAACCAGCUGGAGUUCGACAUUACGGAAGCAGCGCUUCCGGUGAAGCUGCGGACGCUGGAUGUGAGCCACAACCGGAUCCGGGGCGGCGUCCCCAAGGCGCUGGAGGACAACUACUACAUGUACCGCCUCAACCUGUCGUACAACCAGUUGUGCGGCGAGAUCCCGACGGCCGGCGCCAUGGAGGCGUUUGGGGCCGACAGCUUCCUCCACAACAAGUGCCUCUGCGGACCGCCGCUGCCACCAUGUCGCCACUGAGUGACGCACCGUGUUCGAUGAAGCGCGCCAAUGGCAAUGUUUGUGUCUGAGGUGUUGUGGAAGGAAUAAUUUGGUGCAUGCAUGUGUGCUGUUUGAUGGUCUGAUCAUAGUUCAUGAUAACUAUGUAGAUCGAUAAUUUUAAGUUGAUUUAGUUAAUAAAGGUAAUGAAAGGUAAGAUAGGAAAGAAAAUAAUCAUUUGAUUGUUCCAAUCACAAGGAAAGUGACACGAAAAGAAAUAAUCAUAGACCCAUGCCCCUCGAUCCUCGUAUAAGCAUUCAUAUUCAAGUUGAGAUUCUAUUGGUUCUUCUGGUCCCUGAUCGAAAGGUAACUGAUCUUAUUAUUUGAGAUGCAUUAACGUAUCAACAAAUAUAUCACGAGAAUUAUACAAAGAUCUAAAAUAGGAGUGACCAACACCAACCUCAUGAUCACAUUGACGAAGAGGCCUCGAUCAAGCGAGAUUCUCUAGAGCACAGAUGGAUCUAACUUUUGUCAACAUGUUUUGGAUGGAGAUCUUUCUUCGUAUCAGAAAGACGGGGUUGUUACGAGAUCCUGAUCCCAUAAAGUCCCCAUUAUGAAUGUGUGACAAGAUGAAAUAUUAUAGGUUUUAUCGAGACUAUAGCCAUAACAUCAAAGAUUAUAUCAACUUAAAGAGCUCAUUUGUUUAGGGACUAGUACUAAUUAUAAUUAAACAAAUAGUGAAUAUCAUAAAAAAAUAUUGUACUAAUCGUGAAUGGACAGAUACACGUGAAAGAGAAUUGGAUUUGUGCGAAUUCGAGAGGAUCCGAGGCCAAAAUAAAUAUAAAAUGACAUUGAAUAUGAAACAGAAGGUAGGUGAUACUGGUGACAAUAUAUAUAAUGAUACAAUACAUAUAAUAUAUCUUUGUUGGUAAAUAAACUAAAGUACAUUAUAGAUUUCAUAGGAUGAGUUGGCAAUGAUCACUUUCGCUCUGGCUUUGACUGUCUGUCUCUUGCAACUUUGAUAUAUGGUUUUGGUAAAGCAUAUGAUGAAAAGUGGGUGUACGAAGGAAAAUAAUAUAUCAUGUUCUCUUUUAGAUAAGAUAGUGUGUGCAUGGAGUCCUAUUUAAUGACCUGACAUCCCACGUGACAUGUUAAGUGGUAGACAUAUGAGACAAAUCAUUCCUUGUAAUGAUGUAAUUGUUCUGAGACACACUGUAAUGGGUAUGGCAAAGUAUUCAUGUGGAAGCUCUCUUUCGACAGUCUGUCUGCAUCCAUAAAUAGGGGAAGAUCUCCGGCUUCCAUCUCUCUCUCUCUCUCUUUCUCUCUCUCUAAGACAAAUGGCAUCUGCUUCCGUAGCUGUCGUCCUCCCCUUUGUGGCGGCACUGAUGGGAUCACUAUGGGGAGGAGGGGCUUCGGCGCACGGCGUCGCCGCCUCGUCUUUCAACAGUAGCUCCUUCCCUGCUGGCUUUGUCUUCGGCGCGGCCUCUGCAGCUUACCAAGUAAGUAAGAGUAAGAGGGUGUCUGUGUGUGUUUGUGUUUUGGUGAAGUGGUUCUGAUGUUGGGUACGUAUGUAGUACGAAGGUGCAUUCAGAGAAGGUGGCAAGGGGCCGAGCAUUUGGGACACCUUCACUCAUCACCACCCAGGUCUGCCAAUUUAUUUGAUGCUGUCGUUACUUAGAUAUUUUCGAUGAACGAAAUAUUUUACGAGUCUAUGAUUUUUUCCGUUAUACUAAUUCACUUCUCUUAGUGUCGUUCUUGAUCCUAACACUCUUUAGAAUCUGUAAAAAAAAAAUAGAGUUAUAAGAAAGAUAUUGAUAAAGAUCGUUAGUGAAUACCGAUGAUUUCGACGAAAGAGAAAUGCUUUAAACUGAAUGCGUGAAUGAAUCAAAUAAAUUAAACGAGUGAAAGAAAGAAAGAAGAAUUAUUUCAUUUUUGACGGAAAAGAUGAUAUCACUGAAUCCACCUGACUGUUCGAAGAGCCUUUCCCAAUCUAUUCUUCCCACCCACUCUCUUUCCUUUAGUGUUGGGAUUUUAUUAGACAGAUCACCAUUUGAUUUCUCUUCUUAUAUUCGUCAUUUCCACAUGCCAUUCUUUGUUAGGUGAAUCCGAUACAUAGAAACAAUCAAUCUAUUGAUCGUUCAUAUUUUAUCUGUAUGUCUGAUAUCGACUCAUCAACCAAAGCGAAUAAAGAUAUUCUAUAAAUAUAGUGUGAAUAUUUAUUUUGAUGGAUUUCGUACAAUCUCUAUAUCUAAUUUAGUGUUUGUAGGAGACAGCUUUCGAUGAUCCGAAAUGAAAUGGUUGUCCGAAUGUAAUCAUAUGAUAAGAUAGUGAUGAGAUCCACACUGCUUUUUGCGACCAGUGCGAGUCAUGUCAAAUUAUUGGAUUUGGGAUUCGUGUGCUCAAUCUUGUAUUAUACUUAUCGUGUAAACAACUUUAAGCUGUGGUCUCGGGAUCGAUGCGAUUUGGUUCGGAUCCGGAUGAUGGGGAUCUUCCUGGGACGCUCCUCCCGAUUGCUAAGGUGGCCGAUCACGGUGUUCCGAUUGGGACAGGGUCGUUAUUCCCUCCGGGCAAGAACUCCUCGCCUACGCGUUCAGUGGGGAUCUUCGGCUUCGCACCUGCACAAAGGUCAGGUCGGGGAGCUCGGCCCGACCCCUCCGACGAUCAAGUCAGUGGGUGGUCGUGGGGGGUUCCUCUUUUUAGCCAAGUUGUGACUGCUUCUCUUGUGCCUCUCUUUUCACUCCUCGGUGUGCGAGGGUUUUUAUAGUGAGAAUUACCGUCGCAUGACGUGUCGGCCCGCAGGGAGUAGGAUCGUACUUCUGGUAACGUCUGACAUUGCCGUUAGCAUAGCGUGAGGAAUCGAGCCUGAGCAGGGUGCUAAUGUGCCUUGGUAGACGUUCCAGUCCGCUUUAACCGGAUGCCUCAUCAGGUCAACAGAGGCGUGAGACGUCUUCUGGGGCAGCUGAUGUCACGCGAGUCUUAUCGCAAUUAUUACCCUCAUCAAUACUUUUCAGCGAUACUCUAAUUGAUAUGUGUAUAUAUAUAUAUAUAUAUAUAUAUAUAUAUAUAUAUUAAUGAUAUAUUAGCAGACUUGGAGUUUAUUGCAAUGCCUUUUGUUUUAUGACGUUAUGGGCAGAGAAAAUAAUGGAUAGGAGCAAUGGAGAUGUGGCAGUAGACUCUUACCAUCGUUACAAGGUUGGUUACUUCAUCUCUGUCAUCCAACGUUUUCCCUCUCAGCUACUGUGGUUGCCUUGGAAUCUAUCAGUUUGAACUUGAGUUGCAGGAAGAUGUGGCGCUCAUGAAAGAGAUGGGAGUGGAUGCCCACAGGUUUUCCAUCUCUUGGUCGAGGAUCUUACCAAGUGAGAUUCACAUUCCAUCAACGAAACUAUUCCGAAUGUAAUUUUUAGUUGGGUAGAAUGAUGCGCCUGCGAUCUCACAUCUCAGAUGGAAAGCUCAGUGGAGGAGUCAACGAGGAAGGCGUCAAACAUUACAACGAUCUCAUCGAUGAGCUCCUGUCGAAUGGUAUUCAUCUCAGUACACUUGUGUUUCUACUGCUCGUCGUCGUUGCUCUCCUUUCUCUCAUCAUCGUCUGCUCCUAACUCUUGUAGGUUUGCAGCCCUUCGUGACCCUCUUUCACUGGGACCUGCCUCAGGCACUGGAGGAUCAGUACGGUGGUUUCUUGAGCCCGUUCGUCGUGUUAGUUCCACAUACUCGUCAUUCUAAGUGAAUGUGUAGCAUCACAAUGUUUCAUCUCUAGGAGGAACUCGAUAUGAUAACUGCUCUGUGAUGAAUCUGUUCUUGCAGCAAAGACUUCCGCGACUUCGUGGAAGUGUGCUUCGGGGAGUUCGGCGAUCGGGUGAAGCACUGGAUCACCUUCAACGAACCCCUGAUCUUCUCCACCAUGGGUUACGCUACAGGACAGACGGCACCGGGCCGAUGCACCCCCAUACUCGUCGGCAAUUGCACUGCAGGGAACUCAGGCAGGGAGCCCUACGUGGUGGCUCACCACCAGUUGCUCGCCCACGCCGCCGCCGUGAAGCUCUACAGGGACACAUACCAGGUAAUUAAGCAGAGCGAGCUUGGCCAACACUUGGGUGCCAUCACCCGCCUCCUCACGAAGAAGAUGCAUGCAGGGAUCUCAGAAGGGAAGAAUAGGAAUCACACUGACGACCACAUGGUUUAUUCCACUCUCCGAUUCCAAGUCCGACGUCGAUGCUGCUCAAAGAAUCCUAGACUUCAAUUACGGAUGGUGAGCCAUGGACAGGUUGAAGCUGGUUCGAAGCAGAAACCCUGACUGCUGUUUCUUCUUCUUCUUCUUCUUCUUCUCUCGACUGAUAGGUUCAUGGAUCCUCUAACCGGAGGGGACUACCCAUUCAUCAUGCGGACGCUUCUCGGGGAUCGCCUACCGAGGUUUACCGACGAGGAAUCCAGGCUGAUUAAAGGAUCGUUCGACUUCAUCGGCCUCAAUUACUACACUGCAAGCUAUGCUUACGGUCUUCCUCUCUCCAAAACCGGCGUUCAGAACUACAUGACAGAUUCUUUUGUCAGCAGCACCGGUAAUCUACUACGAUAUGUAUCAGCUACUUCAUCAAGGAAGAGAUGUUUAACCUAAUCUUCUUCCUGCAAGUGCAGCGGUUCGUAACGGAGUUCCGAUCGGUCCUCAGGUAACUCAAAUCACCUCAGUUCUUUGUAAGCUUGCCGUCGGCUGACCAGGUGAGAGUGUGCAGGCUGCUUCCAGUUGGCUCUACGUCUACCCGAAAGGGAUAAGAGAUCUCCUGUUGUACACGAAAUCCAAAUACAACAAUCCGGUGAUCUACAUCACGGAGAAUGGUAGGAUCCAUCUGCUCUGUCUUUUGAUACGGGACAGGUUGAACUAUUCUCACGGAGAGGAUGGUUUGGCAAGCAGGUAUCGAUGAGGUAAACGAUGAAACAGUGCCUCUCAAGGAAGCACUCGAGGAUAAGACGAGGGUCGAGUACUACAGGGGGCAUCUGCUCUACCUGCAGAGAGCUAUCAGGUCUGCGAACAUGAGGUAGGAUUCCUGAGUUGCCGAUGUUGAAACAUGACAGCUAUUUUGUGCAGGAGAGGAGCAGACGUGAGGGGAUUCUUCAUGUGGACGCUGUUGGAUGACUUCGAAUGGAACUCAGGCUACACUGUAAGAUUUGGACUCCAUUAUGUGGAUUUCAAGGAUGGGCUGAAGAGGUACCCCAAGAGAUCUGCACUCUGGUUCCGUGAGUUCCUCAGGAGAUCGUAGAUGAUGCAUCUGCCACUGGAAGAAUGAUGAUUUGACGCUUGCUUCUGCUUUCUUUUACUGCAAAGAAACUGGCUGUUCUUGUGGUGCAUGUCGGAGUCUCGAGACAAUGCUGUAGUGCUUGCAAUAAAAUGCUACUUGUUUUCACUUUGAUAUCUUGAUUCUCCCUCGUCCUACAUUGAUAGGAACAGCUUUCUCGUUCCAAUGGCAACCCCCACCUUGUUUUGCUUGUGACCCUCAUAAUACCAAUUGCUUUCCUGACCUCUCAUGAACAACCCUCUAUCUGUUCUCUUCUUAGAUGUUUCACAUGAUCAUACCAUGCAAGGAAUCAAAUUUCGAUGACGGAUAUCAAAUCAUAUAAAUUAAUAUCGAUCACCGCAUCUUAUGAUAUACCAACACUGCAAAACAAAUAACAAAGUGAGUUAAACCAUUGAUGAUAAUGAGGGGAUAACCCUCUAAAGCAUAAAACUCCCACUCUGAAGCCAAAUUCUCAUGAUGUAAAGAAAAAAAAGUCUCUUGUAAUCACCAAAUUUUUGUAGAGUUUUUUCUAUAGAAGAACACGUCCGUGAUAUGCAGCAGAAAAGAAAUAAUUCCAAAUGAACUUUUGGAUUCAUAUUAUACAAGAUAUGCUGCUCAACACAAAAUAAUGUCAUAAUGUGAUGUUUAAUCAGGUCUUAAUACUAUGUUGGAUUACUUUGGCUCAAAAACAAAACUGCCCAAUCAGAGGGAGCUAUACGGUUUAAGAAAAACAAUUAAGAAAACUAAAAGAGUGAAUUUUAAGGGCUAUACAAGUUUGAGACCCUGAUGACCAUGGUUCUUGGACCCAUGCAGAAAGAUGCAUAAUCUCAAAACUUGUAUCAGAAGAAACAAGAUUGGUUGCAGUCCCUACAAAUAUCAGACUGAGCAAUUAUUUAUUCUAAUUAAACAUAAAAGGAGUGUCUAAUCUCAGCUGGAAUUGAAUUUAAUUAGUGUCUACAACACUGGGAUUUAUGAAUGAAAAUUAAGGGGGAAGAAAAAUCCCCCUGGCCAGCUUUAGCAUCUCUUCUCUGCGUUUUAGGCUUCCACCUAACAUCACCCUAUUAAUGUUUUAGAUACCCAUUGAAAAUGUUAACUGAUUUAAGUGUACCUCCAUUCCCCGGUGACCAAGUAACGGAUAUUAAAUCAGUUACUAUAGAUCCAUGGCCAACCUUGAUAUAUAAAUCUUCAACGCUUCCUUUAUCAUGAUGUGGCUUUGGAUUUUAAUUUUUGUUUCUUGGAGUCCAAUGAAGCUAAAGAUGUCCCUAAUCCAACAGGAGCUUCAUCUUUGUGGCCUGACCCACUGGCAUCAGUAGCCCCAACAGAGCCAUCAGACACCCAGCCAUUACCUGCAUCCUUGGGUUCUUGUGCUUGGCCACUAUUUGGAGCAUCAGGAGUAGAACUUGAAUUGAUGAUGUUGAGCAGUUGUGAUAAUGGGGGCAACGGUUGGACAGGAGCUGCAUUCUGGCGAACGAGGAUGCCUCUGGCUGCAGCUUUCUUCCGUGCUUCUGCUACUGCUUGAGCUGCUCUCUCGUCAACUCUCCUUCCACGAGGAAGGGCCUCACCAACCACAGAAGUGCUUCGAGACUUAUUGACUGUUAAGCCGGCAUUCCAAGACCUGGCUGCAGUUUGGAAAGCUUGUACCAGUUCAGGAUUUGCCUGUUGAAGCAAAAGAAGAUAUAUCAAAUGCCAGACUUUGCAUAAGCAGAAGAAUGUGAUAAUUAAUGUGGGGAUUCAGAAUUGAACCAAGGAAAUUCAAGAACCACUGCAAGGAUUCUAGCUCAUGAUUUAUGGCUUGGAGAAAAGUACAAAGCAGAAACUUUCAGUAACGUGAAUUUAUGUCACUAGCCAUGCACCUAUAACUUAACAUGACUUUAACCACUAAUAAACAGCAUACAAAUGGUCAUCAAUAUGAUAAACUGCAGAAAAAAUUAAUGGACACCAUUUGAUAAAAAAGGGCAUUGUCUGCUUCCACCUAUGCAACAGUAGGUGCACAGUAGUGCUAAUAUAGAUGGUCAGGCACCAUGAACCAACCUACCCUGGAGGUUACAAAACAAUAAGCCAAUCCUUCCUAAUCAUUGUGUUUGUAUGAAACAAUCAGAUAAGGCACCAUAAAAAAUUGCAGUUAAUGCAAAAUAUAAUGUUGCAUUAACUGAUGGCACUAUAGCCUUUUACCCUACAAAUUUAUAGGGUCUUAAUUAGGAAAACAAAUGCAUCAACGUAUAGCAUUAACAUGAAGUCCAAAUCGUACAUGUCAUAGUUAGUAACUGCAUAUAAAGAAAACCAAAACGUAGCAUGUCACUUGUUUGUAAAUGCCAGGACAGACGGACACAAGGCCAUUCCAUACUUUGCCUAUUUAUAAAAUUCUCAUAAUAGCUAUGAAAUAUGAGUAUAAGUUAGUCAUCCAUAACUAGGAUGAAACCUAAAAAAUGGAACACUACUAAAAUUAUUUUUCCCUAGCUUACAUGAUCAAUUAAAGAUUUAUUCAACAAAAUAAACUAAAUAUCCAGAGACAUUUUAAUCAUAGCAGAACAUAGUGCCUUGGUGGCAUAUGAUUUCAUCUGGACUUCCAAUAUCAGGAAAGAACCUAACAGAACUAAUGUUUAAUGUCAAUAAAGAAACUUCAUUUAGGAGAUAUCAGGUAGAGGUACACUACCUUCAAAAUAUUGAUAGCCUUGAGGGCAGAAGCAGAAUCAACAGUUUGUCCUUUUUGCUUUUGUGCAUUCACCUGGUUCAACGAAAACAAAUAGAAAAAGAAUGUAACGUCGAGCACUGAAUAGGCUUGCAAGUGGAGCAAAACUCCCAUAUUCUUUGAGAGAACUGAUGGCAAUACUCAAAAAACUAUUGACCAAGAAUACUUUAGUGAACUAAAUUGCAGCAUGAUCUUUAAAUUUUCCUUUCAUGUUCUACCAGGAAAAUGAAUUAGUUAAAGUCUUACCUUACUAACUUCUACUUUCCCCUUUUGUUAGGUGUCAUCAGAGUUUGCUUUCCUAAUAGAAGCGCUAGAGCAACCUCCUAUGCCUUUGAUACUGUAAAGGAACAAUCAGCACAUGAUUCUCUUUUUUUUUUUUCUUAAUCUUUUCACAUCUCUUCUUGUGCCUGUUCUUUUCCCCGUUCCUUAUAUGGUGGUCUAUAGCAUAGAGCUACCUCAGUUUCAAUCAAAAUGUAUCUACACCUGGGGCCCAUGGCAGAAAACAAUUUCUCGCUCCACUGCGCAAAAAAUGGCCGACCUUCUGUCCUGUUUCAUCUAGAUUAACCUGAUAACUAUUUUCUCAGUUGCAAGAACAACCACAAACCACAAUUUCCUAACUACUUGGUAUUGGCUAGAUCUUCUCAGUUGCAUGGCACUAUAAUAUCUACCAAUAGGAGUAUAUUUAUCCAUUCCUACAAUAUAACAAAUUAGCAUUACAUCUUUUCCACAUUACUGAAACUUGCAAUUACCUGCUGUUCACGCAAUCUAAAUGUCUCCAUCCAACUUUCUGAUUCUUUUGUUCUUGAAUCUUCCUCUCCAAGCUGCUUAACUAGUAUAUCAUGAGUUUUCUUUUCAUGCUGCCAUCAGAAUAACCAGUAAGUGCAAAUUCUAGCAUCAUUCUAUAAGCUAACUCAACAAGUAUCACUGAAGAUACAUGCCUGAAUAGAAAGUCUGUAGGCACCCAUACAGUCAAAUGCAAUGGCAAGAGCAUGAUAACACACUGCAGUCUGAAUAUGUUCAGGACCAAGAAGCCUUUCAUUCUUUUUCAGAGCUUCUUGUAAAUACCGGAGAGCAGUUUCCAUGUUUCCGAUAUCCUGGUACAUCAUAGCAACAUUUAUGAAGGUUGCUGCAACAUCAGGAUGAUCAGGCCCUGAUGAUAAGCUAAGUAGAAGCAGUGUCCGAGACAUAUGACGCAGACCAAGUUCUGUCUGAUUUAGACCAUGGUAGAAAAGAGCAAUAUUCCCAUAGCUGAAAUACCAAAAUAUCAUAGACGCAUAUUCAGAUUGUGAAAAUUAAUGGUGGAAGAAUAUCGGAUAGAACGAAUGAAAAAUAAAAGAAGAUAAGCCACUACCUAUGAGCAGUGUCAGGGUGAUCUAGACCAAGGCAACGCUCAUUUAUAAUUAGUUCUUUAUGCUGUUGCACAAUUGCUCCUGCGAUGUCACCCGCAUGAUAUAAAACCAUUGCCAGAUACCUGAGAAAGGAAGAAACAAAAGCCAUCAAGGAAAGCAAGUUAUAAAAACUCCAGAAGCAAAAAGGAAUGACAAAAACAAAUGUGGUUUAAUAACAGGAAUAAUUAACAACUUGAGGUGAUGAUUUACAAAUCUUUUGUUUGUAUUUCUGAUGCUCAUUUAUUUAGAUUAGUUUGGUGCACUAGCCGCUCUUAUCUAUUGAUGAUAAAAGAUCGACGUUUCAAAAAUAUAUAUAUACAAAGAUCAAUGAUUAUACCGACAACAACUAGCCACAUCUCGGUGCAAAGGACCUGUAAUCUGCAACAAAUCAAUAAAACUAAGGAACUCCAAAUGUAAAAAAAUGAUUGGAAACAAACACAAAAAUGAAAAGAGCCUACUUGCUGAAGUAUGGAAAAGGCUUCAGAAAAAAGAGUGUAAGCCUCAUUGAGCAGUCCCUGAACGAAGUAGCAUCAUAUGUUACUUCAACAUUGCCAGCUUGCAUUAUUAACACAAGAAAACACAUCAAAAAAAUUUCCCUUCAUUAUUGGUCUUUGACAUGUACCUCAGAUAAUCUAGCUUUCCCUGAUUCCAUGAGAUCCUUUGCUUCUGAACACGUAGGAACCGAAUGUUUUACAACAGGUUGGAGAUUCAAAAUAUCUGAGGUUUGGAAUGGUAGUGAAGCACCAAGAUCAUACUUUCUCGCUGCAAUUGUUAUCCCUACCUGUCUCAAGCACAAUAAUUUGAUAAAUAAUCUUAACAUACUAAUUUUGUAAGCAGAAGCAGUUCAAACAAUUGUCCUGAAUAACACUAAUAACUUGCACCGAUCUUAAUAACACUAAUCUUGCACCAAAUUGUCCUGAAUAAUUAAUACAGUAUACAUAUAACUCUUAAUAGAUUUCUGACAAAAAACUUGUAGAUGGCUACAAUUGUAUGCUAAAGAAAAAAAAAUGCACAAAAAGAUCAAACCAUAAAUUAUUAAUGAAAUAAACAAGAGAUCAAUCUAUAACAACCAGAAAGUAGAUUGUAGAACUACAAUGACGUUCUGGUUUCAUAAUUUCGAAUCAGACAACAGAGUAUAAAAAUAGUCUUACUGGAAAAAAAAAAUUAGACAGUGAACUUCUAAUAAUUGGAGAUGAAGAUGUACGGUACAACCUUUUGGCACAAAUUGCGAAUAACUGCCAGCUUUUUUACCCGAGUCCUUGCAGCAUCUGGUAAUUCAAACUUGAAUAAAAAACAAGUCGAAACUGUUAGGUUUCGCAGUUUCUUUUUAUGAACAGAAAUCACAAGUGAUUGAUUUACCUGAUAUUUGAAAUUUGCAAAUUCCUGAAUGCGAGACCAUAAUCCUUCAGAGGUUAAAUGCAUAUAUGAUAGAUGAUUUUUAGUAGAAAAUUCUCCAUGGAGCCGUCUAAUUUGACCCUUCAUGAACUUAUGCUGAGAUUGGUGGCGUCCUUGGGCCUGCCAAAGAUCAUGUAAAAGAAUAAUGUAAUCAAACCAUCAAUAAAAUCAUCCAAGUUCAGAAAGAAAAGUUGAAAAUACAAGUUUGACAAGGAUGCUUUUCCUUUUUGAAUUUUGUAAGAGGCAAGGAAACAAUAUCAUAAUAAGUUGCAUUAGAACAAGCAGAUAUCCUAGAAUUACAACCAAAACUAACAAUAGAGCUUCCUUUUAAUUAACCUAAGAUAUCUAAGAAACCUCAGAGCACAUAAGCUGUACUGUGGAAUGCCUAUCCUUUUGUCCCAGGCAAGAUACAGAGAUUGCCGAAGGCAACUACUAUGCUGACAGCUGGUGAUGGGGAACGCUUAUAAGAGUUAAUGCUUGGUUUGAAUUUCUAUUACAUUCCAAUUGGACUAAUAAUGAAAAAUCACUUAACCACAACAUGAAAGCCAAAUUAUCACAAAAUCUAAAGUUGCUGUACAGGAGAUCAUCAGCUCACCUCAAUAUCACGUAGCGCAAGUAUCUACAUAAUCAAUUCCUAGUUGUUUUGAUCAAGCAUAAAUGGAAAAAAUGAGACAAUUUUGUGUCUGCAUGUAGAAACCAAUUAAUUUGUAUGUAUUUAAUGACUGGCACUAAAGAGACGAAUAAGAACAGGCAUGCUCUAAUGCAGGUAAAACAUCUAAAAUAUAUCAUGUACUACAGAUAUAAUUUCAACAGCGUAUUCUGCGAUACACGAAAACAGUAGGAAGGAGACAAGAUUUGCCAUACUUUCUUUUGGGUUUUUGACUGCAUAUUGUCUGAAUUGCCUUUUGCAGCAACAGGUGAAACAUGCCCAAUAAAACAAUUAAAGAAAUGUGUGAUGGCUGGCCCUAGAUCAUGAUCCUCAGACUCCCUAAGUAAAUCCUACAAGAGACAGAAAUAAGAAUUAACCCACAGGACAUAAAGCAAAUUAGCAAUAUAUAAUGGCAAUACAUAAGUAUUUUAGCAUGCGAAAUUUUAUUCCUUGGCAAGAUUUCUAGUUAAUGUGGGAAGCUCAUUGUAUCAACUCCUAUCAAGAACAAAGGAAUCCACAAAAAGAAACAGUAGCUAUCCAAUGCCUAUAGCUACUCAUGAUACCUUGAGUACUAAAAACAGGUUGUACAUGAAACGAUCCUUAUGCAAAAAAAUAUUGACUGCCAUCGAAUAUAACUACCAUGUAUGUAGAUUCAAAAACUAACAAUUCAAUAGCUAAUUAAAUUGAUUAAAGACAACAUGCUUGACAGCAUCAAAGUAAUAUCAAAAUACUUGCCAACAAGAAUAUCUGCAUAGAAAGAAUCCUAGAAAGCUAUAGAUGCAAUAAUUUUGGCAAGCUCCAGUAAAAUAAUGAUAAACUCAUCAACCUACAGAAAAACAAUAAAAAAACACAAAAUGUACAUUAAUAUAUGCAUAUAAGUAUGACCGUCACAAACUCUGACAUUUCAAAUUCCUCUUAUUAGGGGUAGAACCAUGAACCAGAUUCAAGGGAUCAGCCUAUUUAACAAACAAAACAUGGAAGCAAAAAAUCUUACUUGACGUUUCUGCAGCAGGAAUUAAAAUCAAAAUCAGAUAUAUGGUACACCACUCAACCACUUAAGGAAUCAUAUUAAAAAAUGUUACUGUAGUCAGGUUAUUACCCAUAUCUGAUAUUAUAAGGCAUACUUCACCUUCCCAAAGAUUCUGACCACGUCUUCUUAUAAAACAUCAAGUACGCAUGUCACUGUGGAUAAAGUAACAAAGACAAACAAUUAGCUGACAUGAAAAAGAAUACCUUUAGGAUGUGCUUCGUUGACCUAACAACAAUCUCAGUGGAGCAUAUAUCCCAUAGAUGAGGCAAAUGCUUGAUCAUAUUAGCUACCUGACAAUAAAACAGUGUGAAUUAGUAUAUGGAAAGCUCGAGAUAAACACCAAUUAAAAAACGAAGUAUACUUUUCCAAGAUAUCGAAUGUUUAUCCCAUGAGCAUGGAGUGCAUCAGCUAAUGUUUGGCCAUCCAUAGGUGAAAUCUCAAGAGUGCAAAGAUCUUGAACACAUUUUGGGAUAACCACAUCCACGAGAUAAGAACCAGCUUUCCUAACAACUGAUUCAUCAGCAUUAAUUUCCUAAUGAUAGGAACAGAGUACAGCACACAAAGAUCAAAUUAGUGCCAAAAAGUACAGUAAGGUGAAACCUAUAGUAGACGAUCAAUUAUGCAAGUUUACCUCUUGGUCACCGGCCAUUUUAAAAUCAGUAAACACAUUCGGAUUCAGAAGUAUUUUGUCAGAUGAGAUACCAAGCACAAAAGGCGCAGGAGCACGUUCUUCAUCCGUAUUUGAGCUGUCUUCUACGGUAACCUGCACAGAGAUAUUUUUUCAAUCUUAGAACCAUAGCAAAUUCCUUUCAUUUUUUCACAUAAACUAUUGAAAGAAAUGAUGUUUCCUUACAUGAUGGUUUUUCUUGUUAGGUAUAACACAGGCACAUCCCAUGACUAAAGCCUGGUAUGUGCCUGAUUUGACCGUAUAAAUUUGUUAAUAUUAUGGGCAUCUGCCAAAGAAACCAGCCUAAUGACACACGGCAGCAUAGCCAGUAUGAUUAAUCCACACUUUAGUAAAUAAUUCCUGUGAUUAAAGGACCUAUGAGGUGGAGCAUGAACAUUUGCCUGGCUUAACUGCAUGUGGUGGCAUAGCCAGCUUAAUUAACCAAGCUUUACUAUGUAAUUAUUAUACUGGAUGGACAUUUAAAGUGGAACAUGUAAAUUUUUCUUUUGACUUCUUAGUUAUUCAACCAUACGUAGGCCAAUAUGUGCACAUUUUGAGCAAAUGGUGGACAAAGAACCAAUACAAAACCAAAGAAUCUGAGAGAAGAAAGCACCAGCCCCUUUGCUUUUGUGGAUUUGGAUAUAAUGGUGAAAUUAAAAGUUAAGAGGUGCCAUCAUAGCAAAUAAAUUUUCAUACUAGCAAAAAUAAAUGUCACACAGGACAUAUUCAACUUAAAGAAUUCACUUGGCAACUAAAAUAAUCCAUCAGCAUAAACAAAAGAAUCAAGAUCUGAUAUUAGCACUCACCGUUACAUCGCCACUGCUAAUAUCUUGAUUGCACGGGGCUUCUGGGGCCUGUGUUGUUGUUUUAGCACUAGAUUGUGACCUCUCUGCUGCUUCAGCCUGUAUGAAAUAAAUAAUGAUCGACUUGAGAACGAAUCUCUGGAUUUCAUCAUGAGAUAAAUUUUCUUACUGAAAACAAUUUUACCACACAAAAUGAAGCAACAAGCUCAGGCCUCAAGACACAAAAUCGGUGUGCUGGUCCAAUAUAAUUUGCAUCACGCGGAGUCACUCUCAUCAAAUCCAAAAGAUAGUGCCUAAGAAUAUUGCAAAAUAUCAGAACAUAUACACUAUGAAAAGUCUGACCCUAGUUACAUUAGUCUAUAUUGAAUAAUUUGCAUCAGGGGGAGGCAAUAGAAUGCAACGAUGAAAAAACUGUGGGGUUUUAUUUUAACUUGAAAAAUGGCAAUCUGCAAAAGAAGGAACCUAGAUAGAAAGCUGCUAAAGAACCAUUAAAUUCAAAAAAACCAUCACAAAUAAAAAGGGUGAUAUAGAAAUUGAAGAAGUCGUUGAGUUAAACAUGAAACAUACCAAAAAGAAUCAAACCCAUUGGUGCACAAUCAGAAAGCCCAAGCAUGGACAGGUACAGCCAAAUACAAGGGCAUGUCCUAUUAAAUAUUCUAGGAUACUCAAUUCACCUUCAAAUGUAUCCAAGCAUACAGAAGCAUCUUUAAGGCUGCAGCUCUGUCUUUUUUUAUGCCUGAAUUCAUCUUUGAACUAUGCAUGUGUUUCUCUCUAAAAAUAAUUACACACAGAAAGAUGAAGGGUCUAGAUAUCCUAAUAAACCUCCGGAAAGAAAGGAAAUUAACAUUUGCCUCCAGUUUUGGAAGCAAAUGAUCAACAGCUCUGCAUUUUCAAUUUUGAGAGCAUAAUUAUUGUAAAGAGAAAGCAAUUGUCGUAGUCGAGUAACCACUUCACUGACAUUCAAAAAGGUUGAUAUUUAUUACCUGUCAUCACUACCCACAAUACCCUUGCAUUCUACUGGAGCAGCUAAUUUGACAGCAUUUCCCGAACCAUCCAACACCAUGUGUUCCUUCAAGUGGAGGCACUUGGCUGCCUCUACAACCUAGAAAAAACAUUAGAUGAUAUGUCAUAAGAUUGCUCAUGGAACAAUAGAAUCAAAUAACAAAGUGAUGUAUGCAAAUAAUAAAAUAAAGAAUUAGAACUUUGAGAGAGUCAGAAGUAUACAUUAAUUUUACAUGAAAUUGUAUAUCUGUGAGCAUUUCAUCAGAAUCAUCAGCAAUCAAAUCUUUAACUGUGCUUAAACAAUUUUCAUUAUGAGAAAAUUGCAAUAGAAUGAUGGAAAUAUCUAAAGAUCCUUAUUAUUGAAGACUAUUUUACAUGAAUUCCAACAGUCCAUCCCCCAUCAAGAAUCUGUGUUUAGCUUCUACCACUGGAUUAUUUAUGCUGCUAAACCAAUCUCAAUUGUCAACGUUGCAAGGGAGCUAAACUUGAUAGGCAACUGACUCAAUAAUCUAAGUGAAAGCAGGAAAAUAUAAUUGUAGAUUGACCUCAUCCUAAAUUGGUUGCUUUUGCAACUAUCUGCAGAUAAGGCAGCUAAUAAGAAUAUAGACAAAGAUAUCACAAAAUCAGAAAAAGGAAGGAAAAAAAGGAAAUUAGGCCAAACAGAAAAACCCAAUAAAUGUUAAUUGUCUAAAGAAUAUUAUUGGUGACUCACCUUGGAAUGAAAUGAUUCAUUCCAAUAGAUCUUCUUUCCAUUGUCAACGGAACCAUACUGUAGGGAGUUUGAUUUAUCUCCUUGAAGGAUACCAGGAAUAAUGCUCUGAAAUCAAUGUACACUAUUAGAAAACUUGCCCAAAUUUCAUAGAAAAUAAUUUAACAAACUGAGUGUUGUUAAGAGUAAAAAAAGUCAGUCAACACAUGCUAAUAUUGAGAAAAUGGCAAAACCUCAUUGACAUAAGCCUCUUGGGUGAACAGUGUAGUCAGUUGUACUACUGAGAAAUCUCGGAAUAUAAAACCUCUACUUUCCUAUAAACCUAGGUGUACAGUAAGACAUACAAAGUACAAAAUCAUAAGAUCAAGAGCUCUCAAUUCCAGUUGGGCUUUUCAAGAAUACCCAUCAUGAUAUUAUUGUAGUGUCUUUCCAAACACUAGUUAAACUUUGGGUCUUCUGUCUUUGACAUAGCCUUUCAUUGCUUGAUUCUUUUUCUUUCAUUUAGUGGCGGAAGUAAAAGGCUACCUAAGGGAUACAAUACUUGGUCAACACACAGACAAGUUUAAUACUUGUAAAUUAGCACUCUGGACGCUUUCAGAUUUAUGAGGCAACCCUCCCAAUCGCCCAGAAAAAGGUGAGAGAACUCGUUUCCACAAUUUCCAUUGGGCAAUUUGAAUAUGGAGUACACAAAUAUUUUUUAACAAUGGAACAUAAAUAUCACUAUGGUGGCAAACAGAGAAAAGUUGAAUAAUAAUUCCUUCAAGACAAAAAGGAGAAGAGAGAGAGGAGGUAUAAAAGGAGGGUCCCCAAGUGCACCUGUGCUACCACUCUAUAGCCUCUGUAAUCAACUAUAGCCAUUGCAAGAUUAUAAAGUCCAGGAACAUCAGCUUCCUGGUAGGCUUUGGUUCCUUUCAGAUCAUUAUUUGCAGAAGCAUAUGUGGCCUGCUCACUAUCAGCAAUCUGCACCUCAGCAGAUGCAUCAGUCAUGAGAUCUGAAACACCUUGUUUUUGUUCUUUAUCUGGGCUCGUGGACAUACACAUGCUGGAGUUGGCAGUGGCCCCAAACAACUUAUUACCAGCGGUCCUUGCCGGAGGAUUACAUGAUACUUUGUCCUCACAGUUUUCAGAAACAUCUCUAGAGUUCAUCUGAACAUUUGGUUCUUGACUUUUGGACGUAUGUCCAAGGUCAGCAUCCACAGCAAAACUGAAGAAAAUGUUAUUAUGUACAUACCUAUAAAAAACAGAGCACACAAGUUUGUUAAGAAGGCCAUAGACUUAUCUAGAAACAUGUUAUUAAAGAUCAAAGCUUUAAAUACAUGUGGAAAUAAAGACAAACUGGAUAAGAAUGUGCUGAUGCCUGAUAGAAAGUGCACUAGUUGAAUAGCAGUAAAAGAUCUUGCAGAAAUAAACAGAUGAUUCAUCAUAAUGAAGACUAGCAACUGAAAUUUUGAAAAUGCUUUAUUUAUUCAACACCACCGAGGUUCAGAAAGGAGUUAAAGCCACUGAUAAAAUAAAAUGCAGACCCUUUUGGGCCAAUGUUGACAGGGAUAUAAUAAAACAUUUGCACUUGAGAAUUUACAAUAGCCACAAUGGAUUAGAAUAAGAACACUAAUUCAAAACCCAUAAAUUUCUAGUAAAUAACAGGCCAGUGUUCAAAAAUUCUAUCGUACAAACCAAUUACAACUUAAUAUGAAUAAAAAAGACACUAAAGAUUGACAACUGACAUAAUUUGUUAUGCUAACUAAACAAUAAUAACUGGGAGUAUAAAGUUUCUCCAACUAAAGUAAAUUUAUUACAAACAUGUUGACCGCUUGGCGGAAACAACAAAAGUUGACAGCACAGAAUAGCAUAACAGAACCUAAUGCAUCAAAAUGAAUUUUAAAUGAUGGCAAAUUCAUAUUCACCUUCAAAAUCAGGCUGUAAAGUAACUCCAUGAUUCCUCAACAUUUUGUUUCAUAGCCCAGCAUCAGUAGAGAAACAAAUAGUGGUUCAAAAUAAUACAUCAGAAAAAAAAAUUAUCAUGCUUUGAAUCUUUUCGAUAGGGUUAUUCUCAUGCUUCAGACUCAAACGAUCAAUGUAUAAGUUGAAAAUUUUACUAGAUAAAAAACUCUCUUCCCAGUCUCUUCCUACAUGUCACCUAUUUACUACUUUGCAACAACCAAGUUAUUAAUAUGUGACUACCUUCCCCUGCAAAUUAACGUUGCAAGAAGAGUCCUACUUGAAACUCCCAUGGCAAAUUUAUAUCACUCAAAAAUUACUUAUUUGAAAUUAUGAUAACCAAAUAGUUGAAUAUUGUAUGUAAAUGACGACUUCUAUAACAUAUAUGACUAAACGAAGUGUGAGGAAGCAUUUUGGGUUGCAUGGUUAAAGCCAGUUCAGCAGUCAUUGGGUUAGAGGCUACCAAGUUGGAACAACAAACAACUGAUCCCAGAGCAAAUUUAGGAUUUCUGGUGUGCAAGUUAGCGGGUUCAGUAGUGAAGAGGUAUACAAGGGCGAUACAAGGCCACAUCUGCAAAAUGAUUUUGAACUAUAUUUCAUGCUUUGAUCAGCUAGUCGAGCAUUUGAGUGAGAUUGUGAUGCCUCGGUCCUCAUUGAAAGUUGGUAAUGGGUGGUAAGUAAAAAUAAGAUUAUAUGGGCCUACUAUCAGUAACUUGGAAUUAUGCAUUUCAUGUCAUAUGAUCUAAGGCCUGCUAGUGCAAGUUAUUGGGCUACCAGCUGAUAGAUUGUGACAGAAAUCAUGAAUCAAGAGUCAUUUGAAUCUAACAAGGUUGUUAAAAUAAUUAAUAUAGCACUGAAAAACUUCAAAAGAAGAAACAAUGGGUCCAGAUGGUAGACUUCUACAAAUUUGCUACCCAAGUACUUAUUGGUUAAUGGCAUACAUUCACACUGCAAAAGAAAAAAAAGAGUGAUGCAUACUAAUCUGAAUUAACUUACAUAUGAAAACACUCAGGAUCUGUUGGAUUAAUAGGGGGAAUACAUCUGCUGAUGACUCCUAUUGCACCCUCGAUUGCUGCAUCAACGAAAUCACAAGUCACUUUAUAAAGAGCCCUUUCACGCAAUAUCCUGAAACAACAUGUUAACUUUUAAGUCAGAGAAAACUAAAAUGAAUAUUUUGUUAUACAACUUCAUAGAAAACAGUUCUGAGCACAAGAUCAGAAAACAAGUUGCACUACAGAAAGGUGAAGAGGAAAUCAAGAAAGAAUUUAAACCUAAUCCUGUGUAUAUAUGUACUUGAGUACAAAACAAACCUUUCUUGAAGAGUCUUAUGAGGAAACUCUCGACAUGACUGUAAUUCUUCAUUCCAAUCCCUUUGCAUGCCGAUAAGCUCGCUUCCAAAUGAAAGAGAAAGAGAAUCUUCUGCCCUUGCUGGGUCCCUUUUAUGAUCUGCAAAAGAUCAUUGGGUUCAUCUAAAAGAACUAUGGGUAAAGUUUAAUUGCUGAGCACAUAAGGACAAGUUGUUUUGCAAGAUAAAUGGCACCAAAAUUUGAAUGAUCUCCAAAAUAGCCAUCAACUCAUGCAAUAAAGAAGGCAUGUUCCCACUAAGACAAAGAGGAGACAAGAUUGAUUAAAUGAGGGUGAGAAGUAGGAACCACAAAAGUUGCCUCUCUACUGGUGGAAAGUUGUAUAAAUAAUUUUAUGAUGUAUCUCUUGACAAAUAGAUAUAUUUUAGUAGUAGCCUCAUCACAUCUAACUGAAAGCUCAAUUUACUUGCCGGUCUUUUACCAGUCAAUUAGAAUGACAUUUUUCCAGUCCAGAUUUCUUUUGACCUAUUGUCAUAGACUUAGUUAGAAUUGUCUAAGUCAUGACGCACCCUUGAGGCAAUGUCACGAACUUAGCUGGAAUUACCAGAGUCAUGAGGCACCCUUGCGCUAAUGUCGCAAACUUAACUGAGAUUGUCUAAAUUGUGAGGCACCCUUGCAUUAUCCGUUCGCAAAAGGUCAGCCUAGUUGUAACCUCGCUUAGAUCCCAAAGGACCUGUAAAAGAGCAAACAGAUUAGUUUGAAAGCGAGCGACGGACAAGUCCUGACGUCCCGCAAAGAAGACAACUUUAUAAGCAAUUCAGCAAACGCUCAAUGUGCAAGAGAGAAAAGAGAGGAAGGAAAAAACAAGGACUUUAGAAGACAAACGAACAGUCGUAAGACUGCAAACGACUGCCACUCGAGUGUUGGGCGCGAUGGCAGGUUCCCGUAGGCUUAACGUGCAAACUUGUGAAUCCAAUCAAUGCCUAACACUACUCCAAACCCCCAUCAGCCCUAUGCCACCCAGGGGUUUUCAGGGUUCUGAGAUGGUUAACGUUUCGCACAACACCACAACAUACAAAAAAUAGGCCAUGACACCUAAAAACUAAGCCAAUUUGGGGAUGUUCUAUUAUUCUGGUGAGCAAUCACUCUAUGGCGCUACAAACUGUUCCUACUCAUAAUUUUCCAACAAAAUCAUACAAAAACACCACAAAACACGCUACCAAACAUAUGUACAAGAAAACAAAAGUGACGAAUGGCCCGUUGACAAAGAUGUUACAGGUGCACAAUGAUCAUUUGUGACAUUCUCCCCCACUUAACUAUCAACGCCCUCGUCGACGCUUGCUGCUAAGCUUUGAUGACUGCUUCUUCGUGUCCCAGGGCCACUUCACCAAGAACUCGAUCAUCACUUAGCAGUUCAUCUAACAGCUUCCUAAGACUAUCACUUAGCAGUUCAUCUAACAGCUUCCUAUAAGAUUUGCCAACUCUGGAGGGGCCAUGCGGUAUGGUGGUCUCGCUGGAGGCUUCACUCCCGAUUCCAGCUCGAUGUGAUGAUCUACGCCACUGCAUCAUGGCAAGGUUUUUGGCAACUCAAGUGGCAUAACGUCGGUGAACUCCUUCAAAACGUCCGCCACUAUAGCAGGUUUAUGAGUAACCUCCACAUCAAAUGGCUCUAGUUUUACCGUGGCCACAAAAGUUAGUUUGCCCUUUUGCACCAACUUAUUUAGUUAUAGAGCAGAUAUUUGUCGUGGAUCCUUGGUUUCUCCUCAAUAAACAGGAACCACGAAGGGAUCGUCACUGCCCAUCAAGCAUAAGGAGUUUAGGAAUGGCAUUGGCGCCAACUUCGUUAUGUGCAUGAACUUCAUUCCAAGGAUUACAUGGAAGUCAUCCAACGGAACCGCCAUCAUAUUUGUGCUUCAGUUCCAUGUCCCAAUCUUGAUGAGGACCCCCUUUGCCAAUCUAGAUAUUUGCUUAGCCUCCGAGUUCACAGCCUUCAUCCGAUUUUGGUUCUUCUCCAAGUUCAGCCCAAGUCGCUUUGCUUCUCAAUCGGCAAUGAAAUUGUGGGUAGCACUCGUGUCCACCAUCGCACGGGUUGUUCGGCCAUUUAGCUUGAUGUCCAUGUACAUCAGCUUGCUACUCCAUGCUUCGUCUUUAUGUUCUCCCCUACUUGACCCCGUAACGCAUUCAACAAAGGCAUUAUUCUCAUCUAGGGUCCUUACAACUCCUCAUCAUCGUUGUUGAAUUUCGAACUACUAAAACUAAGGGCGACGACCUUGCCCUUGUCCGAUCUAGAGAGUGGAUUGAUAUUGUUAAUGCAUUAAGUGCUUACUUUUAUGGGCACUCCCUCACCAUGUAUGAUCUUUUGCACAAGAAGUAUCUGUCAGGUUUUGGGGCAUUGCCUUUUGAGCUUGGCCCUUUGUGAAAACUUCUUUUCUUUUGCUUGCUUCUAGACUCCUUCCCUUAAGAAUACUUGGAUGAGCGAUUUUCCAAAGAUUGUUUCCUUUUCCCCAAGAACUCCGAGGAAACAAAGUCGAUGAGCCUUUCCACAAUUACAAUUACCUAAAUCACAUUAGUGAUAUUCCUUCGAUGCAGUUCCUGCUGUGCCCACGGCUUUAGGCUAUCAAGGAAGCUGAACAACUUGUCCUUCUCGAGCAUAUCUUGUAUGUCCAGCAUCAGUGCAAAAAAUUGCAUUGGGUAGUCCCAAAUGAAGGUACUUUGGUGAAGUUGUCUCAGAUUCCUUCUUGUGAUGAACUCCACAUUCUCGAGUAGGAACUGAGUUAUCAACUCCCGCUUCAAGUCCUCUCAUGUGUCCACUCAACGCCAACCUUGUUGGAUCUCUUCCUUACGUGUUCACCACCAAAGUCUUGCAUCCCCAUUCAGAAACAUGGUUGCUAUCAAACUUUAGUUUCUUCAGAAUCGGCCCUCAUAGUUCGACAAUACUGUUUCAUGUCAAACAGAAAAUUCUCGAGCUCAUUCGCAUCCCUGACACCCUCCUAGUAAUGCGGCUCGGGUGCCCUCAAGUAUUGUGCAGAGCAACGAGAGGUGUUGCUCCCUCCCACAUUAAGAGCCCAUGUGAGAAAUGUAAUCCAAGACAUGAGCUCUACCACGACUUCGUGUAGGUGUUACACUGAGUCUUUCGUGUCUUCCGUCAAUCGAUCAACUCAGAACUCGACCUUGUCGAUCCAAGAUCCUCCUCCUUUUGCAAGUUCUCUACCCCAAGAAACCUUAGUUGGCCUUGGUAGAGUUCCUCUAAACUCGCUUCAAGAACGUCAAAGUGAGUUUCUACAGUUGUAAGCCUCUUCUAAUGGCUUCUUUUUUCGAUUGGUGCUAUGGAUUGUACUUCCUCCGCUCGCGAAGAAUAGCUAACUUCUCGCUUGUCUUGUUCGUUGUCACGCUCCUCUUGAGUAGCUACAACAGCAUUAUAGCAAGUUUGCACUUGCAACACACCUACGACUGCUUGGGGCAAUGGUCCAGCUUGCCCCAUCUUGCUUGAUUCACCAUGAUUCUUCACCAUAGUAAGGUGUUGAGAUGGCUAACAUUUCGCAUUGCACUACAGCCUACAGAAAAUAAGCUACGGCAUGCGAAAAUUAAGCCAUUUUGGGGUAGUUUUGCCCAUUCUAAUGAGCAAUUGCUUUGCAAUACUACAAACUGCUCCUAUCAAGGAUUGCAGUUCCGACCUGUGCUAGUGUACCAAGCCCAGCUCGGUACGUAAUCAGUAUACUCAAAAUCAUUAAAAAAAAUCUCCAAAAAUACCUAAAAAUAGAAAGAAAUAAAUAUAAUUUUAGUAUAAUUUUAACAAAAAUAUAUAAAUUGACUAAAUAUCGAUAAAUUCUGAUUAAAUCAUCAUUAAAAUCACUAAUCACAGUAUUACAAAAACUUAAUUAAAACCUAAUUAAAUCUAUUAUACCAUCACAGUGAUCCAAUCCUUAAUAUUCAUGAUAUAUAAAGAUUUAACUAUUUAAAUAUCAAAAUUCGAAAAUAAAAUCAAUAUUAAACACACUAAUCACAACAUUAAAGGCCUUAAUUACUCCCUAAUUAAUACAUCUUGAUUAAUUAAAGUGUUCUUCCUCUUAUUCCUCCCAACUUAACUUCCUAAAUUUGAUACAAUCCACAAAUUGUAACUUUGUUGAGUUUAGAAAAAUGAAAAUAUGAGAAUAAGAGAGAGAUGUGAGUGAAAAAGAGUUUGAGAGAGCUUAAGAGAUUAAGGGAGUAAAAUAAGUUAAAAGAGGCAGGAGGAAAGGGCUUAAAAACCCUUUUCUAAGCCUUAAACAGUCAAAUUGGCCAUUUGACAUAGGACAAUCUCAACCCUUGAUCAAUAACGAUCAAAAUCUGAUUGUUAUCGACCAGUACUGAUCGAUAACGAUCGGAUUUCGAUCGUUACUGCCUAGUACAGACUCCAUAUCACCCGAUACAAGGUCAAGUAAUCGAUACCACCCAGUAAAGGGCGACCCGUGUACCGGUAUCCUGUCAGACCGAUACAUAUCGCUUAUACUGGGCAAUACGCAUCGGCACAAUAAACCUUGGUUCCUACUCACUGUUUUCAAACAAAAACACACAAAAACAAGGCAAAACACGCUGUCAAACAUAUGUACAAGCAAGCAAAAGCGACAAACAAUACAUUGACGAAAAUAUUCGUGACACUAUAGCGCAAUAAAAAGAGGAUCUCCUGGCUAUAUUAUAUUUAGAUUAGCAGUAUGCUAGCAUUUGCAUUUUAAAAUCAAAGACUGUCUUGAAGGUCACAACAAGGUGUUCAGAAAGCAAUAGCAUCAGGAAUUUCUCAAGAAAGCAAACUAACAUGACAACAAAUAGGAAAAACUACACCAUGGAUGAAAACUCUCUUGGACCAUGUAUUAGGAAAUAGGAAGCACAGCGACCAGGGUGUAUGAAGAUAAAUGACAAAUAGAAGCAAACUCUAUCUUAUCUCAAUCUAAUUAGUAAAAAACAACCAGACUCCUUUAUGAUCAUGAGAAAUGAAAGAUUUAAGAGUUAGCAGUCUGCUGAUAAGUAGACUAGAAUGCACAGGAGACAAGUUGAUUUCAACAUUUAUGAGUUUAACUGUGAUAGUAGACCUACAUAUCUAGAAGAAAUACCUAGGGAAACUAUACAUAGAAAAUUUAUCCGGAAAAAUAAUGCAUCAAAUCAUAGAGGAAAGCGGUAAAAAAAUAGGAAGCUAAACAUGCAAUAUGUUAAUAUCACUCGUUACUAAUACCUGGAAUAGGAUAUACUCCCAACCAUGUAUUUGGUGGCAAAAGUGAUUGAACACUUUCAAAAGGAUGUGUAGAUGCUUUUCGGUCCAAAAUUUCCCGAAAACCUGCAACAAUCCUAUUAAACUGAGAAUUGAGAAUAACACGUAAAACUUAGCAAAACACACACAAACAUGAGCUACCUUUCUUGAACUUGGAGCUGAUCUUUUGCAACAAACCAAUUAGAGUGCUUGUCUCAUAAGCAGGCUUUAAUGGUCUAGGAUCCAGAAUUCUUGCUGUGCUAGAAUUCACAUAAAAACCUCGUGUGGUUCCUGUGAUGCAAUAUGUGUUUCCUUCUAGUGACACUACAUCCAUAUAAAUCAGAUCUCCAACUAAUCUACAAAAGAGAGGAAAAUGCCAAAGCACAUCAAAGUUAAUAUAAAGAUCAAAUAUACAAGACUAAACUUGCUUGUUAUAAGUUACUAAAAAAAGGACUGAACAAAUAAAUGGUUAUAUACAUUUUGGGUAUCAAAUUAAAAUCGAUUGAAACAAGACUAUAAUACUGCAUAAAAACAAAAAACCUGCAACACAACAUCUUUGCAUCAUCUACACUGCAGAUGUAAAAAUAUCAUGGUUUAUUUAACAGACAAGAUAGAAGGUUUGUCUAACUAAAUAUGGUAGGCCAUUAUGCCUGUGUAAAUGCAAAACAAAGUAAAUCUCAAGUACCAAUUCCUAUUAGUUCAUCAUAAUUUAUCACAUAAAGUUUUACACUUUAUGCAGAAUAUAGCCAACACAUGUUCAAUAUCUCAUGUCUGUUCUUUUUAGUUAUUUUUUAUGGGAAAUACAAAUACAGCACAAAAGUGGGUCCAAGGAAGAAAAUACCAGGAUACAAUUACUAUGAUUGGCUAGAGUCCACAAAAGUGAAAGAAAACAUCUCAGAAAAAAAAGGCUGUCUUGUUAAUCAUAUAGUGGAACAUUCCUAGAUUACACCAACAGAAAAAAAUAAAUUUUGAGAAAUCAUUAAUGUAUAUUUUAACAGAAUAUAUCACAAUAAAUCUGAAAUUUAUGUAAAAGCUAGGCAGUAAAAUAAGUCUUUUUUUUAAUUUAAACUACUUUGAAAAUCUUAUCUGUCUAUGCAGACCAUGAAGUUGCAUAUGCAUAUUUCAACUGCAAUUCUAAUGUGUACUGCUAUCAGGGGUACACAUGUAAUAAUAGCAAGGUCUUCAAUUUCAAAUAAUAUCGUCCGUACCGGGCGGUACAUACCAGUCCGUCAGUAAACUAAUACACAGACCACCUGCUACCUGACAGUAUUUUUUUACUUAUAAUAUAUAUAUAUAUAUAUAUAUAUAUAUAUAUAUAUAUAUAUGCGACGUCGCCCGACGUGGGGAGAAGAGAGGCGGCGUCGUUUUUUUUUACUUUUAUAAAUAUAUAUAUAUAUAGGCGACUUUGCCUCGUUUUACUACGACAUCGCCCCACAUGGGAAGAAGAGAGGCGAUGUUGCACCUUUUUUUCCACUUUUAUAUAUAAAUAUAUAUAUAUAAGAUUAUAUAUAUAUAUAUAUAUAUAGAGGCAACGUCGCCUUGUUUUUCUACGGCAUCGCCCCGCCUGGGGAGCAGAGAGGCGACGUCGCCUCGCUUGGGGAGAAGAGAGGCGACGUCGGCAAAAAAAUUUUAUUUUAUUAUUACUAUUAUUAUUAUUAUCGACGGUAUACCAAGCGAUAUAUCGCUCAGUAUACAAUAUCGUACCGUACCAAGCGAUUGUCGAAACUCCAGUACGAUACAAUAUUUCAAUCCUUGAAUAAUAGAAAAUUUAAGGUUUGCAUGUAUGUCGCUGAAAAAUGAUAGAAGACAAAAAUUAAAUCUGUGAGGAAUCUACUUCUACAAAACCUCAUGUUUCAAGAAAGUAUGAUGCAAUUUUAAACUUCUGCAGAGGUAAGUAAGCAAUUUUUUGCCUUUAUCUUUUUUAUCCUUUUAAUUAAAGGUUCAUGAUUAUAGAAUGUACAUCUAAAGAAGCAAAAACCAAGAGUUAAAUUGAAAACUAAGUAAAGAUCAAUUAACAAUUAGACGGAAACUCAACAAUAAAUAUUAGAAAUACUAAAACAGAACAAAGAAGGUUAAACAGAAAGCAAUUUACCUCCUGUAACUUGGAGGAGGGUUAAAAGUGGAGAAAAUGAUGCUCUCAACACAUUUGAUCUCCUUAGGUGAGGGCGAUGACAGCAGAUCAGAAAGGGCACCAGUAAUAUCCUCCAUGAAUCCUGGUCGAUCAGUCUCUGCAGAUUCCACUUUCACAGCAUCUGUAUAACAGAAGAUUUAUAAUCAGAGUAAUGAAAAAAAUAAAACAUAGCUGCAUUGGAGAAGAAUUCUUCCACACAGGGAAUAUAUGAUAAAAAAUAACAAACAUAAAAUAGAUACUGAAAAACAAGAAACAACCAACAAAACAAAACAAGGGAUACUCCAACAACUAAAAAUGGUGACCAGAAAAAGUAAUAUUACAAAUGCUGGACAGCAAUGCAGAAAUACAGACCUGAAGUUUUUUGUUGUGUGUUUUCAUGCUGCAAAGCCAGCAAUGUCGAUAAGGAUGGCUGCAAACUUGCAAGAGAGAGCAAUUCCCGGCAACGAUGGAUAUGAGACCGGAUGGAUCUGUCAUUGUAUAAUGCUGCAAAAUAGAAACAAUUGUCACCCAUUAGGCUGAUCAACUCCACAAAAAUCAAUGAAGAAAAAACAGUGGUAACAAUGUCUACAUCAAGCUUUAAAUAGUGCUGCAAAAUAGAUCAAUCGUCACCAGUUGGGCUGACGAACUCCACAAAGGCCAAAGAAGAAGAAACAGUUGUAACAAAGUCGACAUCAAGGUUUAAAAUUCACGAUCCGAUGCUGAUACUGGUCAGCAGCCAGGCCAGAACGGUUAUCAUAUGAAUCAAUGUGCUGACACUCAGUAUAAAGUCAGUACUGUCAGCACCACCCUAACCAAACAGAGAGGGAGAGAAGAGGAAAGAGGAAGAUAAGUAGAAGAGGAAAGAGGAAGAGGACUAGGAGGAGAACACAACGGAGGACGAUCAUCAAUCGAAAAGGUGAUGGUCGUGAUGGAGGAGAGGCAAAGGAAGUGGCAUACCAGAUGUUGAGUGAUAACGAUUACGAGGAAGCAACAGUGACAGCGACGAGGAGAAAGAGCAGGGGAAACACACACACACACACAAAACACAUGAGAGAAAGAAAAGGAAAGAGAGAGCACACCUCAAAACAGAAAGAAAGGAAAAAAAUAAAAGAAAAAGAUGGUUCUCAUAAGUUAUCAAAUAAAAAAAAAGAUAAGAGGACUAGGCAAUAAGCCUCCCGCCUGAUAUGCCCAGUUCCAAUGGUCAAGACCAGCAAUAUGCCCUGGACAAUAAUCAUACCAGGUGGUAAGCCCCACACAAAUAGGUUCUGAGCAAAACUCAAUGGCGUGCUUACCAAUUCACAUUUGGAACGGUAAAUACCAGAUAGUACCUACCGGUAUUUCUGAUUUUGAAUGCCCUAGUCUAUAUACCUGCAACCAUCUCUAAGGAGCAACCACCGGCAGUAAUAUCUGCAACUUCAGAAAUUUCAUUGUAGUCUUCUAAAUGAUGACUGGAACCAUCUUUUGUAUGCAAAAACAAAUCAUAGCAAGUAAAGAAACAAGUCUCUGGAGCAUCAAGAAGGAACUGUCUGACAUCCAUCACAGAAUCCCCUGGGCUUAGCUGAAAUUCAAAACCAAAGUUGCUGUGUGAAGAGCUAGGCUUAGCUAAAAUUCAAAACCAAAGUUGACAUGUGAAGUGCAAAAUGACAAAGAGAAAUAAUUUUAAUUUGCCACACAGUCGUCAAAAAGGUGCAUGAAUAAGCUGAAUUUUGUCACCGAAAGCAACAUAAGAGACAGCAUGACGGCAGUAAGAAAAAAACAAAUAAUCUACUUUCAUUCCUAUUUGGUGUAAGCCUAAUAAACAUUGCAAAGAGCAAAAUUUUCAGGAUUACAAGCCAGGUUGCAUCUUUUAACAAUCCUAAAGUAACAUCAACUCUCAUCAGCAUGAGGUUAGCUGUGGUGCGCAAUGCACACUAUAAUGCGGUGCUCCAUAAAAGGUUCACCAGAGUCUCACAACUAGUAAUGUCAACCCUCUAACUGGUUCCAAAUCCUAAGCAAAACCAAUACCAUUGAGGAGCUAGGAGCUCACCAGAUCACUAUAUGACAAAUUUGCAGGAAGCAUGAUCUAACAUCAUUUGUAGCAAGUUUGAGUUCAUAUAAACAAUAAAACAGAACAAAACAAACACCUCAAAAGGCAUCAUACUUGAAUCGCUUUGAAUUGUUAUAACAAUGUUAAAGACUCCCAAGUUAUUUACAAAAAAAUAAGCAUGUCCAUCCCUGAAGACAAUAAGAAAUUGUGUGAUGCACACACAAUCUAGCAACAUGGAUGUUCAUAUAAUGGAAUGUGCACUAAACUAUCUGCAAGUGUGAAUUAGAAUGCCAAGAACAAAGCUACAAUAGUAGAAUUAUCAAAUAAAGAAAUAAAUUUGGAAAAAUCUAGUUCAUUCAGUAGUUGCAUGUCAUUCCAAAAAUAUCAACACGUAGCAAAAAGAAAAUGGCAACAGCAUCUAUCUUGAAGCAACUAACCUGCAACUCUAGUUUCUCACCAGAAAGUGCCUUGACUGGCACAGGGUAGAGAUGAAGAUCACCUGCAUAGCAGAGCAGGGAAAAGGUAAUUGCUAACUUCAGUUGUAAAGCCCCAGUAAGAAACUAAUUGCAGUGGCAUUUAGGUGCUUGGAAGAACAUAUCAAAUACAUGUAUCACAUGUUAUAAACAAGUUCAAUUUAACAAGUAUAGAGUAUAACUUAUUUGUUACAAACAUAUCAAACAAGUAAAAGAAUCUGACAUAAACAUCAAAAUAAUAAUUUUCCCAUAUGUUACAUGCCACAAAAUCAGCUAAGCAUUUUGGCUAUAGAACAUUUUUGUGCAGACAGCAAGUUGCUUUUAAUUAAGAAAACACAACACCUUUGCAGUCUCUAACAACCCUCACCUACAUUGUGGUCGUGGACAUCAACGAGCAAACUGAUGAACACGCAGAAAUUGCUUCUUUUUGACAAAAAAAUCACUUGAUCUCCAAAAAAAAGGCAAGGAUAUAUGAAAGGAAGCACUUCAACAAAUUGAAAAUAAAAAAAUACACCUUCAGCCUGCUUUGUAGCUGUUGCUGGAGCAUCUCCCUUCUGUGCCUUGUCACCCACACUACCAUCCGUUGCAGGAGUUCUACUUGCCCCUUCGACUCCAUUGGCAUCACCAUUAGAUGCUUCCACAGCACCCGAACCAUCAUGGGAUAAUGCCGAUGAAUCUAGUGGCUUCAGUUGUGAUUCUGCUGAACUCAGGGAAUCGGAAUUCAAUGUUCUCCCCUUAUUCUUUCCCUUAGAUUUUCCAGCCAUCUGUUUUGGUGAAAUGUCAAUUAGAAAACAUGUACUAGUUUAUUCAGUAAACUCCCACUAUAAUCAUGAUUCCUUGCAGGGGAAAGAAGAUGAUAACCAACAAUGGCACAGAAACUCCUUGCCUCAGUUAAAAAAAAAAGACCACACAACUCCUCAAAGAGCUACCGAACAGAACGAGAAGAGAAGAUAUAUUUGCAAAAGAUCACCCAAAAAUGGAAAAAGCAAAACAAGAACAGGAAAGAAUUCGCAUUCAUACGAAUACACAACUUCUGCAUACUAAGUUAAUGGAGACAGUGUUUCCAUCGGUCAUACUUCGGCAUGCCAAACGCGCCAACAAAAAAUCCAGAGCAAGUAAUUAAUGGAUCGAAAACAACAAAUUAAAUAAGAGUAGCAGUAGCCAGACACUUUCCCACAAUACAGCAGGUGCCAAAAGCGCUCCUGACUGACAUUCGAUCAGCAGACACAACCAUUUGGCGAUCACAGGAGUUCACUUAAUGAAAAACACGAAAGAAAAGAUCGAAACCCAAAUCCAAUGGAGAAAAAGAAAGGACAACAAUAGGAGUGCAAUAUAGAAACUCUUGGUCAAUACUACUGGGGUAAAUCAAACCAAUCCCACUAAACAAUUCGGCAAAGCAUGCAAAGAAAACGUACAAUAAUCAGAACACUUCGAUUGAGCUACAUGACUCUAAAAAAAAAAAGAACGAACGAUCGGUGAGGAAACUUCUUCCAGAAGGGAGAGCGAAAGGGAGGCAGAAGAUUACCGAGAAGCUAAAGAAACAGGAGGAAGCGAGGAUUAGUUGGAACGGGAGAAAGAUAGGGAAUUUUUGGGAGAGGGGCGGGCGUAGGGGAGAAGAAGAGGAGAAGAGAGAGCGGGAGGGGAAGAGGCGGCGGCUCCGAGUGAAAUGAUGAUGGAAGACCUUCCUGUGUCUUUGGUGUUUUAGGGGAGGGGGGCCGUUUUCGAAAUUGGCCCAUCCAUUUAUCUUGCGAUCAACCGAACCGUCCCCGACGAUCGCACCCAUAUCGCGAUUGCACCAGGCUGCGGUGGCGGGUCCCACGUGAGCCCCGCUGUUUAACCGGCUUAACCACGCCGAUGGUGCAACACGUGGGAGUAAGCAGCAAAAACUGGGUUCGGAUGUGCGUAGGCUUUCCUUCGCUUUGCACAAGGUUUUGUGUGUGGCCAUGCUACCCGUUCGGGGUGCACUCCCUCAAUCACCCCUGGAACCUUUCCGGGGUGAUGUAGUCUCCCAGGGUGGGACGCUGACGAGUCGUUUUCUGCCACAUGGAGUUGCCCCACACGAGACAACACUUCCAUUGUGGGGCCCACACGAGUGGGGCUGCGGGAGCUGGAGUCGCGUCACCCCUGAAGCAUUACGUUGCACCAUAAGAAGUCAUACGCAUCUCGGCUCUUUAAUAUGCCACCCAAAUCAUAUCAAUCUUGCUGUGCUAAGCCUGUUUGAUGUUUCUUGAAUGUCUGAUACCAUUUGCAAUAGUAUUAAUAACGUUAUCCGAGAUUUUAUGUAGGGAAAGGGGGAUAAUUCUAGUGGCUUACAACAGGUCAUUCAUGCGAAAUAGAACAAUUUUCCUUGUGGAGUGUUCAUGCGAAAUGAAAUCAUGUUCUAUCAGACUAAAAAGACACUAUCCAAUAUUGCUACUGAGGAAUGACAGUCUGUGAAGAGAAGCCCUUCAGGCAGGCGGUGAGGGACGGCCUCAUAUUUACAUGGGUUAGAGACGCAUGCUCGCAAAACUGGCAGCAUCAUCAUCAGCAGCAGCAGCCCGAGACUAAGCAGAUGAGAGUGGUGGCUAAGAAGGGGAAACGAAAUCUUCCGCUCAUCGCAUCGAGAUGAGAGUGCGCUUGGCCCGUUUCGCAGGCGGCAUCGGCGACCUCUUCAGGUUCUCCGUCACAAGCCUCUCCAUCUCACCGAUAUAAAUCUCCAAGUUCUUCUCGUAUUCGGUUGGUUGAUCGGGUGGAUCCUCCCUAGGAGAUGAGGCGUUGGAAGACGAACAUAUCUGGGGUGGUUGCUCCGUUGCAGAAACGGAGGAACUGCCGGCAGCUGCAGGGAUGGAAGAGGAAUCGAGGAGACCCUUCUCAACUGCUGCUGGUUCAGGGUCGGAGGUCCUUUGCCGGGCCGUAGCAGCAGCCCUUACACGCAUCCUUCUCCGCUCCAAAGCAUUGACGAUGACGGUGAUAUCGCGGAGAGGCGUACGAGGAUACCACUCGGGCAGAGGACUCUUCCUCGUCCGGCCACGGCGUCGCGCUGCCCGCGACGGGGUGACGUUCUCCUUGUCGUCGGUGGCGAACACCACACUCUGGACACGCGUUGAUCUCGAUCCCGUCCUCGACGCUAGGUAAGCAGCCCUCCGGAUCCAGAACCCCAGGUUGGUGGCACUUCCCGUGGUCUCCCUGCCCCGAUUCACCCCCUGCCUCGUCUCGGCCAUUCUUUCCACCACUGCGACCGCACACAGAUUCCGCCAUUAAAACCAAAGAAUUAGAGGAGAAGAUCACGUGUAAUGGCUUUCACUCAUUGAAACCCCAACUCUUACCGAAUUAGCUUCCGAUUCUUCUCUAUUUCUUUCUUCUUUCCUGCCGAUCACAGAUAACACUCAAGAUCCUUUUCUUCUCUUGGUCCCCUUCAAGUCCCAAACAAGGAGAAAAGCCUGAGACAAACUAACGAACAAAGAGCAGCUUGCUAAGUAUUAUUUCUUACCAAAAAAGGCUUCAGAUUCUCCUCCUUUUACUCCAAACUCCCAACUCAACACAAAAGAGACCAAAUCAGACCCAGGAAAGGCAAGAGAGAUGGAAGGAAAAGCAUUCAAGAAAACUGCUUCAGAUCUCUCGCUUCCUCUUCCUCUACCCCUUCCCCGAUCUCCUCUUCUUCGUCGUCCGAGAUGGUGAGCGAGAUAAGAUCCGGAACUGGUGGCGUCGAGAUCGGCGAUUGGUCAGCGGCUGGGUAAGUAAGAACAGACGGGUUCGAUAUAUGUGGCGGACUCCAAACUACGGCUGAAAUGUUGUGCGGGGUGGGUUACGAUCACCGCGCGGUCGAGUUCCGCCCCCAUUUCAAAAUUUCAAAAUUAGGGAAUGGGCGGUGACCAGAUUUUGUCGGGUGGCAGACGCGCCGAAGUACAACUUAUUCAAGUUUACUAAAGAUGCUACAGGAAAACAGCCGACUAAUCCAUGCCAUUGACCUAAUUACUCUAUUUUAUUCUCAAAGAAAGAUAACAAGAGAGAGUAAUUCUUGGGUUUUACUGAACUAAUUACGUAUUAUUUCUAUAAUUAGUUAUCUUUAAUAUCUCGAUAUCUAUAUUUACAAAGUAAAUUAUUUAAUUUUAAUAUUAUAAUAAAUUUUUUUUUAAUUUUUAAUCUUACAUAAGAAUUUUAAUAUUUUAUUUUCAUAAAUAUAAAAUAUAAAGACUCAAUAUAACUUUUAAAUAAUAUAAAAAUAAGAUACUAAAGAUAACUAAUUACAAAGAUAAUAUAUAAUUAGUUCGAUUUUACAUGUCUCUCAAUGAUCAGCAUCAAUAUAAUAACAAAGGAUUAUCCUAUAAAAUAUUCUAAAAUAUCGAAUGAUUUAUUAUCUCAGUAUUGAUAUCAAGAUAGUAUGUCAUAGCUUAAUUUCAUUAUUUUUUUGGUUCAUCAACAUCAGAACAUUAUUGUGUCAUUAAUAAUGGAUUUUAAUCUCUUGAUCAACAAAUAAUGUUAUUAUAGAGAACACAAAUAAAUGAGCUUUAGCCACGAAAGAAUUGUAGAUUUAGUACUGCAUGCGAUUCACAUAUCAACUCCAAGCAAUCCCAUCCGACCUCUCUUUCGAAACCACGUAGAAAGAAAGAAGGCAGACCGGAGCUGAUGACACUCACAGAAGAAACAAAGCACAAAUGCAACGUGAAAUGGAUCGCAAGCAACGAUGGCUGCCCUUCCGUCCUCCUCCCUGUGGGGUCACUGCAAGUAGAAGGCGAAGAAGGAGAGGAGGGAGGCCCCGAUGGCGGCGCCGACGGCGGGGGUGGCCGCGAAGGACGAGCUGGUGGGGGAAGGAGCCGGGGCGUCGGCCGCAAGGGCGCCGGCGGCAGAGGCGGCCACGACGAGGACGGCGCAGGCGAUCUUUCUCAUCUCCAUUGCUGGUGGCGAGAAAGAGAGGCUUAUUCUGAUCUCGUGGCAGCUGCUGCUCCUUCUUCUUGGUGUCGUUCACAUGCCUGAGGAGGGAUUUAUAGGGUGCGGGAAUGGCUGGGAUGGAUGGGCAGUCGGAGAGGCUGGAAGAAGGUUUUGUGGCCUUCCCGUUGUUUAAGGGCAGCAUGCGGUGGAUAUGUGCUGUAAGGUAGGGUUGGUCUUCUCCUUUUUACGUGCAGGCAUGUGCAUGAGAACCGGACACUCUGCAACAGCCAAGAAGGCUUCUUUCUUUUAAGACUGCUUUCAUUUGACACCCUCUUAGGGAAUGAUUUCUGCCAUUGGAAGCUUUUUUUGGAAGCAAAAAUAGUCUCUGGUGCACCUCAACAAAGAUGACAAGUACUUCUAUAUUACUCUUAUGAUCAUCAUUAGUAAAAACAUCUUUAUGUAGGAACAAUUUAUUUAGUUUGUUAAUAAUCCUUAGCUGGUAGGUGUGCAAGCAAGGAAAAUAAAACCUUAGCUGGAAGAACACCAACAGAUCAUUGUGUUUAUCACCAACCUGAUCACAAGUCACAUGCAAUUAUGAUUGAUGGUCACACUAAAAGACAUUAAUCUUGGUAGAAUAAUUAUGAGUGAUGCUGCCUGGUUUUCAUGUGUAGGAAGGUGGAUAAGCUCAAGCAGAGGUUGAGGAACAAAAGAAUCAAGUUGUUCUCUAUAAAUGAUUGAGAAAAGAAAUGCACCCUCCUAUUAUUAUGAACUCAACAAAAGAUCAGUUCAACUAUGAACUGAACCAAAGUCGAACCUUAGGUUUGAUUGACCGAAACCAAGUCACAUCGAAAGAGUUCGAUUAGACCCAAACUCGCUCGAUCGUGUAUGAUCACAUCAUCGAAGAUAGUGAUAGAUUCUGUCUGCCCUCGUCUUCUUCUUCUUCUUCUUCUUCAGAUACCUGCAGGGUAUACGUGGACGGAUGUCCUGUGCGAGGGGUCGUGUGUGGCUUUCAGGCUGCUCGUUAUCCAUUCGCUCACGUACGCACGAACGCAUCAUUUUGAUCUCUGUCUACUUCUUCCUCUUCUUUUUUUCUCAGUGAAGAACAAAGAUUCGAAGCUGUGGCUGUCCUCCUUCAAAUGAUGCCCACCGCAGGAAUCCUCUUAUCCAUCAUCUCCUACGCAUCCCCCCUCGCCCUUCCUCGUCUUCACAUACAAACCGCUGCUUCUUCUCCUGGCCACUCCUCCUCCUCCUCCUCCUCCGGCGCUUGAAGCAGUAGUAGAAGGGUACAUCCCUCUCUCUCUCUCNNNNNNNNNNNNNNNNNNNNNNNNNNNNNNNNNNNNNNNNNNNNNNNNNNNNNNNNNNNNNNNNNNNNNNNNNNNNNNNNNNNNNNNNNNNNNNNNNNNNNNNNNNNNNNNNNNNNNNNNNNNNNNNNNNNNNNNNNNNNNNNNNNNNNNNNNNNNNNNNNNNNNNNNNNNNNNNNNNNNNNNNNNNNNNNNNNNNNNNNNNNNNNNNNNNNNNNNNNNNNNNNNNNNNNNNNNNNNNNNNNNNNNNNNNNNNNNNNNNNNNNNNNNNNNNNNNNNNNNNNNNNNNNNNNNNNNNNNNNNNNNNNNNNNNNNNNNNNNNNNNNNNNNNNNNNNNNNNNNNNNNNNNNNNNNNNNNNNNNNNNNNNNNNNNNNNNNNNNNNNNNNNNNNNNNNNNNNNNNNNNNNNNNNNNNNNNNNNNNNNNNNNNNNNNNNNNNNNNNNNNNNNNNNNNNNNNNNNNNNNNNNNNNNNNNNNNNNNNNNNNNNNNNNNNNNNNNNNNNNNNNNNNNNNNNNNNNNNNNNNNNNNNNNNNNNNNNNNNNNNNNNNNNNNNNNNNNNNNNNNNNNNNNNNNNNNNNNNNNNNNNNNNNNNNNNNNNNNNNNNNNNNNNNNNNNNNNNNNNNNNNNNNNNNNNNNNNNNNNNNNNNNNNNNNNNNNNNNNNNNNNNNNNNNNNNNNNNNNNNNNNNNNNNNNNNNNNNNNNNNNNNNNNNNNNNNNNNNNNNNNNNNNNNNNNNNNNNNNNNNNNNNNNNNNNNNNNNNNNNNNNNNNNNNNNNNNNNNNNNNNNNNNNNNNNNNNNNNNNNNNNNNNNNNNNNNNNNNNNNNNNNNNNNNNNNNNNNNNNNNNNNNNNNNNNNNNNNNNNNNNNNNNNNNNNNNNNNNNNNNNNNNNNNNNNNNNNNNNNNNNNNNNNNNNNNNNNNNNNNNNNNNNNNNNNNNNNNNNNNNNNNNNNNNNNNNNNNNNNNNNNNNNNNNNNNNNNNNNNNNNNNNNNNNNNNNNNNNNNNNNNNNNNNNNNNNNNNNNNNNNNNNNNNNNNNNNNNNNNNNNNNNNNNNNNNNNNNNNNNNNNNNNNNNNNNNNNNNNNNNNNNNNNNNNNNNNNNNNNNNNNNNNNNNNNNNNNNNNNNNNNNNNNNNNNNNNNNNNNNNNNNNNNNNNNNNNNNNNNNNNNNNNNNNNNNNNNNNNNNNNNNNNNNNNNNNNNNNNNNNNNNNNNNNNNNNNNNNNNNNNNNNNNNNNNNNNNNNNNNNNNNNNNNNNNNNNNNNNNNNNNNNNNNNNNNNNNNNNNNNNNNNNNNNNNNNNNNNNNNNNNNNNNNNNNNNNNNNNNNNNNNNNNNNNNNNNNNNNNNNNNNNNNNNNNNNNNNNNNNNNNNNNNNNNNNNNNNNNNNNNNNNNNNNNNNNNNNNNNNNNNNNNNNNNNNNNNNNNNNNNNNNNNNNNNNNNNNNNNNNNNNNNNNNNNNNNNNNNNNNNNNNNNNNNNNNNNNNNNNNNNNNNNNNNNNNNNNNNNNNNNNNNNNNNNNNNNNNNNNNNNNNNNNNNNNNNNNNNNNNNNNNNNNNNNNNNNNNNNNNNNNNNNNNNNNNNNNNNNNNNNNNNNNNNNNNNNNNNNNNNNNNNNNNNNNNNNNNNNNNNNNNNNNNNNNNNNNNNNNNNNNNNNNNNNNNNNNNNNNNNNNNNNNNNNNNNNNNNNNNNNNNNNNNNNNNNNNNNNNNNNNNNNNNNNNNNNNNNNNNNNNNNNNNNNNNNNNNNNNNNNNNNNNNNNNNNNNNNNNNNNNNNNNNNNNNNNNNNNNNNNNNNNNNNNNNNNNNNNNNNNNNNNNNNNNNNNNNNNNNNNNNNNNNNNNNNNNNNNNNNNNNNNNNNNNNNNNNNNNNNNNNNNNNNNNNNNNNNNNNNNNNNNNNNNNNNNNNNNNNNNNNNNNNNNNNNNNNNNNNNNNNNNNNNNNNNNNNNNNNNNNNNNNNNNNNNNNNNNNNNNNNNNNNNNNNNNNNNNNNNNNNNNNNNNNNNNNNNNNNNNNNNNNNNNNNNNNNNNNNNNNNNNNNNNNNNNNNNNNNNNNNNNNNNNNNNNNNNNNNNNNNNNNNNNNNNNNNNNNNNNNNNNNNNNNNNNNNNNNNNNNNNNNNNNNNNNNNNNNNNNNNNNNNNNNNNNNNNNNNNNNNNNNNNNNNNNNNNNNNNNNNNNNNNNNNNNNNNNNNNNNNNNNNNNNNNNNNNNNNNNNNNNNNNNNNNNNNNNNNNNNNNNNNNNNNNNNNNNNNNNNNNNNNNNNNNNNNNNNNNNNNNNNNNNNNNNNNNNNNNNNNNNNNNNNNNNNNNNNNNNNNNNNNNNNNNNNNNNNNNNNNNNNNNNNNNNNNNNNNNNNNNNNNNNNNNNNNNNNNNNNNNNNNNNNNNNNNNNNNNNNNNNNNNNNNNNNNNNNNNNNNNNNNNNNNNNNNNNNNNNNNNNNNNNNNNNNNNNNNNNNNNNNNNNNNNNNNNNNNNNNNNNNNNNNNNNNNNNNNNNNNNNNNNNNNNNNNNNNNNNNNNNNNNNNNNNNNNNNNNNNNNNNNNNNNNNNNNNNNNNNNNNNNNNNNNNNNNNNNNNNNNNNNNNNNNNNNNNNNNNNNNNNNNNNNNNNNNNNNNNNNNNNNNNNNNNNNNNNNNNNNNNNNNNNNNNNNNNNNNNNNNNNNNNNNNNNNNNNNNNNNNNNNNNNNNNNNNNNNNNNNNNNNNNNNNNNNNNNNNNNNNNNNNNNNNNNNNNNNNNNNNNNNNNNNNNNNNNNNNNNNNNNNNNNNNNNNNNNNNNNNNNNNNNNNNNNNNNNNNNNNNNNNNNNNNNNNNNNNNNNNNNNNNNNNNNNNNNNNNNNNNNNNNNNNNNNNNNNNNNNNNNNNNNNNNNNNNNNNNNNNNNNNNNNNNNNNNNNNNNNNNNNNNNNNNNNNNNNNNNNNNNNNNNNNNNNNNNNNNNNNNNNNNNNNNNNNNNNNNNNNNNNNNNNNNNNNNNNNNNNNNNNNNNNNNNNNNNNNNNNNNNNNNNNNNNNNNNNNNNNNNNNNNNNNNNNNNNNNNNNNNNNNNNNNNNNNNNNNNNNNNNNNNNNNNNNNNNNNNNNNNNNNNNNNNNNNNNNNNNNNNNNNNNNNNNNNNNNNNNNNNNNNNNNNNNNNNNNNNNNNNNNNNNNNNNNNNNNNNNNNNNNNNNNNNNNNNNNNNNNNNNNNNNNNNNNNNNNNNNNNNNNNNNNNNNNNNNNNNNNNNNNNNNNNNNNNNNNNNNNNNNNNNNNNNNNNNNNNNNNNNNNNNNNNNNNNNNNNNNNNNNNNNNNNNNNNNNNNNNNNNNNNNNNNNNNNNNNNNNNNNNNNNNNNNNNNNNNNNNNNNNNNNNNNNNNNNNNNNNNNNNNNNNNNNNNNNNNNNNNNNNNNNNNNNNNNNNNNNNNNNNNNNNNNNNNNNNNNNNNNNNNNNNNNNNNNNNNNNNNNNNNNNNNNNNNNNNNNNNNNNNNNNNNNNNNNNNNNNNNNNNNNNNNNNNNNNNNNNNNNNNNNNNNNNNNNNNNNNNNNNNNNNNNNNNNNNNNNNNNNNNNNNNNNNNNNNNNNNNNNNNNNNNNNNNNNNNNNNNNNNNNNNNNNNNNNNNNNNNNNNNNNNNNNNNNNNNNNNNNNNNNNNNNNNNNNNNNNNNNNCUCUCUCUCUCUCAUAACAUAGACAUGUUUUAUAUGUGCAUAGAACUCCAAAAGUCUCUGGGUUUGGUUCUAAAUUUCUCCUUCGUUUUGCACUACGAACACCAUGCAUGCAAAAUGGGGCUACAACUACUUCUACUCUUCCUUCUCAUCGAAUAAGAAAUUUCUUAGGUGUCUACACUGAUAGAGGAAAGAGAUGUUUUUUAUAGUCCGAAGCUGUGGUAGAAUAUAAAAGAUUUAUUACGAUCUCUUCGACGACGACGACGACGACGGAGGGUCAGAAAAGACAGUGAAAAGAGGAGGAGGAAGAAGAAGAAGUAUAAGUGCUUGCAUGUCUGCAUGCACUGCCCAUGCAUCACUGAAGCACAGGAAAUGUCACACGGCUAACCAUCCUUGUGUUCUCUCAGGUGAGCAGUCCCCUUCGUCACCAUGGACUUCGUCUAUGGACCAGGGAAGAACCACCUCUUUGUUCCGGGGCCGGUCAACAUCCCCGAGCCAGUGAUUCGAGCAAUGAACAGGAACAACGAGGACUACCGCUCCCCUGCCAUCCCUGCCCUCACAAAGACCCUUCUCGAGGACGUCAAGAAGAUCUUCAAGACAACAAGCGGCACCCCCUUCUUGAUCCCAACAACAGGCACAGCAUCGUCCAUCCAUCCAUCCCUCCACUUGUACUACUUUGCCGUUACCGCAUCGGCUUCCUUCUAACAACGGGUUCUUGGAUCAGGUACUGGUGCCUGGGAAAGUGCCCUUACCAACACUCUCUCGCCUGGUGAUCGGAUCGUCUCUUUCCUCAUCGGCCAGUUCAGCCUCCUCUGGAUCGAUCAGCAACAACGCCUCAACUUCAGGGUUGAUGUCGUAGAGAGCGAGUGGGGGCGAGGUGCCGAUCUUGAUGCCUUGGCAUCGAAGCUGGAAGCUGACCGGUCUCAUACCAUCAAGGCUGUUUGCAUCGUUCACAACGAGACCGCAACCGGAGUCACCAAUGAUCUGGCAGCCGUCAGGAAAUUGCUCGGUACGCAUCUAAUCUAUUCGAUGAAAUUACUGUGAUAAGUGUGCAGAAUGUAAAUGUGCAUCACAUCCCAAUUCAUAUGAAUAAGUAUCUCCAUUUAAUCUUCCUUAAUUUUCUUCCUUAUAAUUUUGUGUUUGUUUUUUGUCAUCAGCACACAAUCUUAGAACAUGAUGUUGGCAAUUGUUCUUAGUGUGCUUCUCUGUAUCAUAUUCUUCUCCUAAGUCCCUUAUCAUGCUCGAUGUGUUGACCAUAUGAUUAUAAUUUUGCAGAUGAGUACAGGCAUCCCGCAUUGCUGCUGGUGGAUGGGGUUUCAUCCAUAUGUGCUCUUGACUUCCGAAUGGAUGAAUGGGGAGUUGAUGUUGCCUUGACAGGAUCACAGAAAGCUCUUUCCAUGCCUACUGGGAUGGGCAUUGUGUGUGCAAGUCCUAAAGCCAUGGAAGCUGCUAAGACGGCCAAAUCAGUAAGAGUGUUCUUCGACUGGAAUGACUACUUGAAGUUCUACAAAUUGGGAACUUAUUGGCCCUACACACCCUCCAUCCAACUCCUAUAUGGCCUUAGAACUGCUUUGGAUCUUCUUUUCGAGGAGGGUCUUGACAAUGUGAUUGCAAGGCAUAGCCGUCUCGGAAAGGCGACAAGGUAAACUCUUAAGUUGAUGUGUAUCAAUCCUCGUCUUCCUCUAUGUAGCAAGAAGAAUAGCAAGGAAUUCUCAUACAAGAAUUCCACAUCUACAUUGUUGUUGAGAGAAGAUAAAUGUGCAGACUUGCUGUGGAGGCUUGGGGGCUGAAGAACUGCACACAAAGGGAGGAAUGGUUCAGUGAUACUGUCACUGCUGUGGUAGUGCCAUCUUAUAUCAAUAGUGCUGAUGUUGUGAAGAGAGCAUGGACAAGAUACAAUUUAAGCUUAGGGCUGGGACUGAAUAAAGUUGCAGGAAAGGUGUUCAGAAUAGGACAUCUAGGCAACCUUAAUGAGGUAUGUAUUUCUUCCUUCCUUGUUUGAGCAAACUAUGAGAGUUGGUGUGAUUACCUUUUUUUUUUUUCCCUAACAAAUUUAGAUAAAGCUACUUCGUUUAAGAAAUAUGAUGCAUUUGUUUUUCUUUUCCUAAUAUAAACACCAAUUAUGAGUAUAGUGUUAAAUUUUCCUUGUUAUGUUUCUCCCUGAUCUUUCAGUUUAUAGUAAUUUCAUAGUUUAUUUUUGUAGAUUCAACAUCUCCACUUGUGCAAGAUGUAUUUCUUUGUACUUACAAAAACAACAAUAAAGUCGUAAUCUUUUGCCAGCACUGAGUUUUGUAAUUGGUUAUAUAUCCUUAAUUAAAUUAAAAAAAUUAAUUUUUAAUCUGUAGUUUUAUAAUUAAAUCUUUCUCUGUAUCUUCUCGCAUUAAUUGUUUUACUUCUUUUGACUACAACAUCUAGAAAAAUCCUUAAAAUAUAUCUCUGUGUGCUUGUACUUUAUGAUUUUGUUUUGUUCAGGUGCCAUUGUCAAGCUUGUGUAGUUGCAGAAUUAUAUUCUAUUUGUCUUAUGGUUGUAGGACUCACAAAUUUAUGUGCCAAAAAAAUCAUCAGUCCUUUAGUAUUCCUUCUCCCAGAAUAUUCUACAAUCACAAAAUCAUGAAUGUGAACAUAUCUUUAGCAUGUACUUUCUUUUUUUGUCUAAAUAGAAUAAAACUUGAUUUUGAUUGAAAUUAGAUUAAGAAAAAUGUGUAUUUGACAUCUUAGCUAAUUCUUGCCUUUCAAUUUGUUGCCAGGCAUUCCAUUUUAAUCCAUGUAGAUUAAGUGGAUUAUGGCUUAACAAAAUCAGCACCUGGGAUUAGUUGCAUGUUUCCAAUGUGCUUUACCAUUUGUUUUCUUAAAUCCACCAUGUAUUUAAUUAUCUUGCUCAUGAGUAAAACAAUUCCAUACAAGAAAUGUUCUAAAAGUAGGUAAAUGCUGCCAAUUGCUAUUCUGUUCUGCUAACCAUCCUUGUUUGAGUUCUGCAGCUGCAAUUGCUGGGUUGCCUGAGUGGUGUGGAAAUGGUACUCAGGGAUGUAGGAUACCCAGUCAAGCUUGGAAGUGGAGUAGCUGCAGCAGCUGCAUACCUUCGGAACUCUACCCCUAUGAUCACUUCUAGGAUAUAAGACUUCUCUGGUUGGGCGUUCCAUGAUUGAAUCAAGAAGUCGUAAAACCGAUGUAUAUUGGUAGAAGUAAGAUAUCCUUAUUUCUCAAACUGUUCCAAAUUGUAAUAAUCUCAUCUUGGUUGUUUGUAUUUACCUCCGUUUCCUUUUUGUCAAAUUGUACACUGCAUAUGCUCACAGAUGCUAAAAAAUCCUUUCUUUCACAACCUGCUAAUAUAGGAAAAGCUGUAAUCGGUCAGUGUUAUCUCAAACAUAACCAGUAGAUUAAAACCUGAUUUUCUACAGUCUCUAAUAGUUUGUACUGACUUACAUUAAGUUUUCUUGAUCCCUAAUCCUACUUUGAGUUGCACAGAGUACUGCAUCAUGUCUGUUCCUUUCAUCGGUUAGUUUCCACCUAUAUAGUCAUGAUAUACGCCUUUUUGUAACUUGUAAUUAUGUUUGUGAGCCUUUGGUUGCUGGUUAAUGAUAGAGAACAGGAUUGAUAGUUCACAAAACAAAUAUAGAUGUCAACAGAGGAGACUGUUUCUUGUGGAACUCAUUCUUGGGGGCUUAUGAACCAUUCAAUGUCGAAACAGGUGCUGCAACCAGCAGAGUGGUUUUCCUCUCUAAAUCUUUGACAGGAAAAACCAAAAAUGAUAUGAAUUGGAAAUAGAUCCAGCUUUGAGCACCCAUUUCAUUGGGUUUGUGUUUACAUGCCAAUCUGGUGCUUGACUCAUUUGGCUCACUGAGACAUCAAACAGUGAUGACAAACCUAAUCAACCAACUUACAUUUAGUCAGAGCUUGUCACAUUUGUCUCUUUCAUCACCUCCACAUAAUUUGAAGUUUUCUCUAAGAUAACUAUUCUAUUGAAACUAUUUAAUCCAAUUAUCGAGACAUUACACAUUGGCACUUUGUUUACAUUUAAUAUAGCAAAAACAGCAAUGAAAAAGGAUGCCCUAGAAUAUGUCGUACCAAAUAACGACCUUUCUUCUUUGACAUAAAAAUGGAGAAAUAUGUUUUCUUUUGAAGGAAAUAAUUACAGAUGAUCAUGAAUUAACUUUUUUGUUGGUACAAAUUAUUCUUUCAGUGCGGAACAAAUCAUCAUACACACUUUGUACAUAAUGUACUAAUUCGUUCUGUUCUUCUUCUUGAACAUUUUCGCUGAACAGUCGGAUUAAUCUCCCUUUCCAAUUCUUUUCGUGGUAGCUCACACUCAGCAAGCAUCAACCUCAUUUUAUCUCAAUCAACAAAUAUCAAUCUCGUUGCUUGUCUCCACAACCACUUCUUCUUUGAUUGAAGUCUUUGAUCAUCCACUGGAAUGACUCAGGGUGGCAGUUCCAAGCAGGUCUCCUCAACUUCACUUGCAUUUUCUUUCUUCAUAAGAAAAUUCCUUAAUCGACAGGAUAGUUGUAAUAUCAGAUCAUAUGUGGAUGGAUGCUCACUUGCUAUUAGUGAAAACUGAUCCUGAAAUCUCAGCACCCCUUCAACCAUCAAUUGCCAAAUCAGAGCACCAACUCCAGCUCGCCCCAUCUUAGUUGACUCAUACACUUUAUCAUAAACUAUUUUCAGUAGUAUAUUUCUGUCAUAUGUCCCAUUUCUCUUGACAUGCAAUUGGGAGCCAACCUCUGCGAAGAGGACUGGUUUCUUCAGCACAUGCUCACUGUCAUUGACAUGAGAAUCAACCCAAAUUGACAGAUACUUGACUUUAUCUUCCAGGCUUGCCUUUGGAAUCCUACAGGAGAAGGUGAUGAUGUCCUCAAUACUAAUAUGCAAAAUAGCAAGCAUCAAAUAAUUGAAUUAAAUCAAGAAGGUUACUGACCAGCUAUCUGGAUAUGCAUGUUCCAAAGAAAAAUCAAUGUUCUUGGCUGCUGAGUUCUGUAUAAAGUCAGAACCAAGUCAGGCUGCCCAAGCCCCUGGAUUCACCCUUAACCGUUCUGUUCUUCGAAGUCCAUAAAAUCCUUCAAGCCCAACUGUGAUGAGAUGUUUCCCAUCCAGACUAUUUAUAUAGGAUGCCAUUUCGGCAGUCCAAGCCUGUUAGAAGUGCUUGAUGAAGUUAGACAAGCUGUUAGUUUUCAUGUGCCUUUCUCCUUUGAGAAAUUUAGAUACUGGUGGGCAGGAGGUGGGAGAAAACAACUUGGUAGACAAAAAGGUUGCAGGUUGUUGUAUUACCUGAAGAAGAGGACCAGAUGAAUUGGAUUCACAUCGAGACUCGUUUAUAAGCUCCCAAGCAAAUAUUGCAGGCUCAUCAGAAUAUCUGACUCCACUAUAUGAGUUCUUUCUUGUUAUGAUUGCCUGCAUGCACAGAGCAGAAAAGCAGAACAGAUGAACUGUACCUAAGAAGCUGUUAUUCAGAUCAUCAUAUUUAUGACACUCUAAUAGAUAGCAUUUAUAAAUCAUCGACCACCUUUUUCUUUCAUUUUUUUUUUCUUUUAUGGCUGAGAUAUUAAAAGGUAAGUUUUGUUUAAUGAAGAAGAAAAGAAUACAAAAUAUAAGUGAAAAAUGACACAGAUGUCCACAAAACAAACUAAACUAUGAAAGAAUGAAUUUGAUCUGUGAUAAAAAAGGCCUAGUAGCAUAUUUUUGCAACAAUAUGAAGUUUCAUUCGAGCGAAAAGUCUUUAAAAAUCCCUAGCCAUGUUGAACAGCCACCUUAAACAAGAUCUCAACCACAGUCCACUCAUGAUUUCUCACAGUUCUCAUAGUAUAUCUCAUCAUAUCCCAUAACAAUCACAAGAGAUAGCCUUGUGACAGUAUAUUGAAAACUUUACCUUUAUGAGAAGAAUGUUUCAUUAGCCUGCCUAUUGAAAAAAGGGUUUCCAAAUUACAGUUUUUGUUUUUCCAAUAUAAACUAACACUAGCAGGUUAGACUCGUCCUGAAUGAACACAACAGGAUCGAUCAACAAAAUCACAUGCCUCCAGAAAAAAGUUGGGAUCCAAUGAGAGUAGACAUGAAAAGUUACGUUGUGCGGUAGAAUAUAACUUAUCAUCAUGCCUAUUUGAACACCAUGAUUCAUUUUCCAAUUAUUUGUUGCAUGUUUGCACCAGCAUAAAUAGGAGUGUUACGUAGCACCCCUGCACGAUGCACUUAGUGCACAACAAAGGAAUUUAGCAUCUUAUUCAAAUCUUGCUCCAAGACAUAUAUGCUACAACAGUAAUAAUUACAUCCACCAGCAUACCUUAACAUAAUCCUUAUGAUAGCCCUUGAUGGUUGGAUGUGAGAAAAAUGAAUCUGUGGAAGCUGACACACAUUAACACCAGCAGCUUGUGCCCACAUGACAUACUGAGCUUUUCCCCCAAAUGGAUUGAGAUUAUUUACAGGAGAAAGAAUUAACCUGAUGUGAUGUCUCCUAGCUUCAUAUAUGACAAAAUCAAGUGCCUGAGACAAAAUGGAGUUUAUGAUAAACACCGUCUUUUCAAACAUUAACAAAAGGCAUAAGCUGAUAUUACUGUAUAAUAGCAUGUCUACAGACUUGGAUGCUGAUGAUGGUAAAGAAACAAGUAAUAUUUCAUAUUUCUAGUAAAGAAUCUAAUUAUCAGAAACCCCACAAAUUAAUUCCAAAUUUGCUUAUUUUCCUAUGAAUAGAAGUAUACUUCAUAAGCAUCAUUAGCUAUGAUGGUAAACAAUUAGAGAGAAGUAUCAAAUAAGAGCAGCAUCUUUCAGACACUCUAAUAGUAUUGAUUGCUUCUUUCCUUGAUCUAACUGUUUGUGUCGAUGUUGCUUCUCAUGACAAAAUUCUAUGUGCAUGAAGAUAACAUGGUAAGAUAUCAGUUAGUUUGUAUCUUAUAAUCAGAUAAGAAGACUCAAAACCCAACCACAAUUGCACUCUAUCAGAAAUAAAUCAAGCUUAUGCUUUACAAAAACCCCAGACAAGAAAGAAAGAGUUCAGAAGAAUGAAAAAUGGAACUAAUGAAGGGAAGAAUAAUAGAACAUGUUCUUUCUCAUAUUAAAAAAAAUCAGAUACUUUUAGUUUUUCCUCAUACUCAUUUGAGAAAGAAAAGGAUUUUAGUCAAAAGAUUUACAAAGAAAACUAAAAAGGGAAAUAAAAUCAUAUCAUCCAUGUUUGAGAAAAUAACAACCCAUCCGAGUUUAGGUUCUUCGAUCGGGGUUGAAGUCGAAAAAGGGUCGCGAGCAUCCAGUUUUUAACUUUAACCUAAUUUUGCUCAUCUCCUCCCAAGUAUCAUCUAAUGUGCAUUUGCCAUUCAUGUAUUGAAUUAAACACUAGGCAGGUAACCAAAACCCUAAAGGUUGAGCUAAUCUCAGAUAGCUCAAGUAUCACCUUUUAAGCAACAAGCAGAUAAUAUGAAUUCAGCCCAAAUCAUAUGCAAGGAAGCUGAUAUUUUAAUUUCUCAAAAUUAAAUCCAAAUUUCUGCUUUCCUAAAAAUUAAUCACUUUUUGUAUUCUCCUCUGCAAUUUACCAUCGCAGGUUACUAUUCGUAUCGCCCACCGCCAUCAUUCAAGAACCAAUAAAUGGUUUCCAAUUGGGAACUUGUUUCCCCCAAUCUGAAGUCCCUCAUUCCACCCAAAGGUUCAAACUUUAGAGAACAAGACAACAGAUCAAGAGAGAUGAAGCGUUAAAGAGCAGAUACAGAAGAGCCACAAAUCGAGAACCUGGAAGAUCCGUUCGUCGAAGCGGCCGGGGGAAAUCUGGAGCGCGUUGGCGCCGCCGUCACUGAACGCCCAGGUCUGGCACACCGACAUCCCCAACGACCGCCCGCGCCGGAGCAUCUCAACCACGCGAUCGCCGGAGUCGGAUGACAUCAGCCAGUAGGAGUUCCACCCGUUGACGUACACCGGCGACCCGUCGCGGAUGUUGACGAACCGGGUACCAUUCCGGCCCACAAACCCCAUCCUCGGCAAGAGCCAGGGGAUCGGUAUCGGGAUCCUUCUGCCACCGCCGCCGCCGGAAGACCAGUUGAGGUAGCCGAGGGCGACGAGGCGGACGAGGCCGAAAAGUGUGUACAACCACGCCCCUUCGUCGCUGCUCCCCCGUUUUACACCCGACCAGGAGAUCCACACGAGAACGAGAAGUAAUCUCUCACUGUCACUUGCGGAUCCAGUGGGACCCGAUGGGUGAGCGACGGGGUUAAUCGCUGGGAAGGCCCUUUAUUAUUACUCGCUCUCCAUCUCCUGCCAGUGAGUAGUCGUUGGGGAAGUUGGCCGUUGCUUUGGAAGUUGAAGUGGGUGAUGCCAAAUAAAUAGUUUUCUCCAUUUUUUAAUGUAUCAAUUAGUUUAUUUGGUGAUUUAUUGUAUUCUACUUUACAAAAUCAUUCAUGUUUAUUGUCUGUAAAAAUAUUUAUAUAUAUAUAUAUUUAAUUUGAAUUAACACUUCUAAAUAUUAAAAAUAUAAAUUAACCAUAUGAUAAUCCAAUUAAUUCAUUAACUUGAUUUAUCCAUUGAGUUAUAUAAAUCAACAUAGUUUUCCUCUUGCAUGUAAGAUUAAACUAAUACAUCAAUCAGCUUUACUUUCCCAAUGUAUAAGGCUUCAUUUCAUAAAUACACAUAAAUAAACCACUAUUAGAUUAUAGCAAAAGACUAAUAAUCAUAAAACUCUCUCUUAUCAAGAAAUUAAUGGCAUUCUUUCAAAAUUAUGCUCUCUUAGACUCUUAGCAUAGACAUAAUUUCCAUAAUGUCCUCAGUUUUCCUUUUUAUUAUCUCUCACUUUUUCUACAUAUUCAUUUUCCCAACAUUUUAAUUAUAAGAAAUUAUUUCAAUGGAAACUUCUCAAGAAAUUGAUGUGUAUUCUCAGAAGUUAUUUGUAGAGAUAAUUCUCAUGAAUCUUUCCCAUUUUUUCUGGUUUUUUUAUUGUCGUGUUUCUAAAAUUUCAAUUAAAAGAUUUUUUUUAACCCCUUACAACUUAUAUGAUGAUUUAUUUUUUUUUUAUGUAAAUCGUAAGCGAUGAAGAAGAGAUUUGAUCCAAAAACCUUGUUAUAAAUUGUUUUAAUACAUCAUUACCAAACCAAUGUUCCAAGUAUAAUGUAUAUCUUGUAUGACAAUUCAAUGCAUAUUAUUUUUCCAAGUAUAUUCUACACAAGAAGUCACAAAGCAUACUAGAGAGGAAUACAAGCUCAUAAAACACCAGUAUAGAACAACAAUAAAAGUUCAUAAGAUAAUGAUUAGCAUGAUUUAUAACCCAAAUUUCAUCCAUCAAUUCAUCUUGUCAGAUAGGAAGAACAGUGCCAUUGUCCUAUGUGAUGAAAGAUUAUGAGCAAAUGAGAUGGAGGUUUCAUUGAUGUCAUCUACAACCUGAUAACAUAUUGCUGCAUGCAUGCAUGCAAAUCCUGUAGCUGCCAACUCUGAGAACGAUGGGGGAAGUCACAGACUUCCGACACUAGCUUUCUUCUUCUCCCAGCCUCGGUGCCUCAUUGAGAUCGAAGUCCAACAGUCCAUGGCUUCCUCCCUUAUCAGCUUCGGCCUCUUGCUGCUCCCUCUUGUGGUUGCUCGUCGUCGUUGCUGCUGCGGCUUCUUCUUGUUCUUCUUCUUUUUCUUCUUCUUCUUCGGGAUGAUGAUGACUCCUGAUCUUAUUGUGGCUUGCUCGGUGUCCUCCCAGCGCUUGGUGAGAAGAGAAUGUCUUGGAACACACACUGCAUCGGUACCUACGGCCACGAUCAGACGUACCGGGCUCGUUCGCCAGCACCACCUGCUCCGUCUUCCUCCUCUUGAUCAUCUGCUUGUAGCUCGAUAGCGGUUCAUCUUCAACUGUGUCGUCAGAACGAGCGUCCCUGUGCUCUGCAUCAGCCAGGUGCAGCAGGAUUCUAGCAGCCGUAAUGGCUUCGGGAUCAGCGGUCACGGCCUUCCGUUGUCGGCCUCGCUUCGCACUCGGCCUCUUGGCCGCCGGAGAAGCGCCGGACUUCCUCCUCGCCUCGGGCGGCGGGUUCACUCCCCUGUAAUCCCUCUCCGGGUGGCACCUCAGGUGGCCGAACAGUGACUUGUCCGAGGGGAAGCUCUUCCCGCACUCCGGGCAUGUCGCAUGACGACGCCUCGAGCUGCCGUCGUCCUCAGCGGCGGCCGCUCCAGCCUCCGACACAGAUUCCUCGUCGUCACCACAGCGAGACGACGCCACCUCCUGAGCCACGGCUUUGCCGGGUUCUUCGGCGCACUCGACUCGAUUUCCAAGGCUGUUAUCCGCUCCCAGCGCAGCGUCCUCGGUGUCGCAAUAGCUUCCACCUUCCACGAGACGAGCUCCCAUCCCUGCGUAACAGAUCACAGAAGCAUCAGAAAAAGACACUACAAACCAUUGAGCUCAUCAAACAGAUAACCCACUGUCGAUCGACGGCAAGAAGCUUCUUCUUCUCGAUCUCUCGGUUCCCGAAAUCCAAAAGCCCACACCACAAACCUGAAACCCAGCUGAAACGGGAGAGAAAGGAAGCGCAGAACACAUCAAUUCCGACCCCAAGCAAAGAAAGCUAUCAACAAGAAACCGAAAUGGCACUCGUAGAGAUCCGGAAAGGAACCAACUUUCGAGAAGGCCGAAUCCAAAGACGGGAUUUUUCGAACAAAAAAGGGAUUUUUGGAUCGGGAAAGCUAAAGAGACGCAGAGUUCGAGCGAAACAAACCCCGAACGGAUUGGUAGAUCAAGUAAUCCACAGCUGGCAACACCCUGUUGACGCCCCCCUCGCUCGAGUCCUAAAGGGCGGCCCUUUAGAGAAGGAAACAGUGACGGGAGAUCGAAAGAAGAAGAAGAGGAGGAGGAAUCCUUCGUUCGCGGCAAUAAAUCUCGUCGCCUCGCCGAUCUCUCCAAUGGUUCCUAUGCGUUACACUCUGCUGGUGUUGUGUUUGCUUCUUUCUUCUGGGUUGCCAUCGCCGUUUCUUUCGGAAAGGAGAGGGGGUGUGAGACGUGAUGGGGAAAUCAGAGCCGUCGGAUGGUGGUUGAGAGAUUGGGAAGGGAUUUAAAGUGCGAGUUUCCAUUAAAGAGAGGAUUAGAUUUGUUAACAUAAUCUCCAUCCACAUAUAUAUAUGUAUAUUAUAUUUUCUUUCUUCCAUUUCAAUCUUUAGCAGAUAUGGUUAGCAAAAAGAGAUGGAUUAAUUUGAGAGGUUAAUUCCGAUCAUCCUUCUAAAUUACAUCGAAUAAACCAUUUGGUCAAAUAUAAGCUUAAAUGUUUGAGAUGUUAGAAUGCUCCACUUUAUUACUAUCACAUAAUUUUCUAAUUUUUAUUAAGUUAAAUAUUUAGUUAAAUCGAGCACAUAUUUAGUUCAAUCGACCGUCAAACUUAACAUGAUCUAAAUUAUUAAAUAUAUUGAUGGAAUCGAUAUAAAAAAAAUAUUUACUAUCGUGUUAAUGUGUAGUAUAAUGUAUGAGUUUACGAUCUCAUCUGAAUAUUAUUUCAUAUAACUCCUUUAUUACUAUCACCUAAUUUUCUAAUUUUUAUUAAAUUAAAUUUUUAGUUAAACCGAGCACAUAUUUAGUUCAAUCGACCGUCAAACUUAACAUGAUCUAAAUUAUUAAAUAUAUUGAUGGAAUCGAUAUAAAAAAAAUAUUUACUAUCGUGUUAACGUGUAGUAUAAUGUAUGAGUUUAUGACCUCAUCUAAAUAUUAUUUCAUAUAACUCCUUCAAAAUGAUCUAUUGGGUUUACCAGUCAAUUCAUAUCUCCUAAAAUCUCUAAUCUAUUGUCAAGUCAAAUAAGGUCUAACCCAUCAAUUAUAUUAUUGGUGGAGUCAAUAUAAAAAUAUAUACACCAUAAUUUCAUGUGUUGGAUACUUUUAUUAUCUCAUCCUAAAGCUCAACCUAAAUUAGUAUAACCCAACCUCUAUCUAAUUAUAUAUAUAGUAUUAUCUCUAGGAUACUUAUCCUAACUUUGUGGAGUAUAUAUUCCAUCUAACUCAGGCUGGUAUGAUUACUGGUCAUUUCAAAUAAAAAUCUUUGACAUAUAGAGUCAUUGAAAUUGCUACAACAAAAUUUUAGAGUGUUUAAUGCUGAGCUAGACAGAUUCUUUGAAUCUGAAGUCAACCUUGGUCAGACCCAUGAUGGGAGGAUGGAAUGCAGCAGGGUGGGUCAAAGUUUCCUCAGUCCAAUGCACACAAGUUUUUGGUAGAGAUUAAGGUGGCUUUCCCAUGACAAACACCAAUCCAUCUCCUCCCAUGUAAGUGAGUCAAUUAAGGAUCUCCAAGUGUUCCAAUGACCAGUUUGAGUAGGACUCAGGGAUGCCAGGCUUCACAUACUCCUAAACCUAAUUGCCAUCUCCAGUUUCUGCACCCUAAGUUUCCCAAAAGAUGUGGUUUUGGUAGCACAUGCCACCUUCUUGACUCACAAAAUGGAAGUCAAAAUGAGCUCUUCGAUACUUUCUCCUUUGAUGUCAAUCAGGCAGGCAGCAGCAGAAGCUUGGAGGUCUUCUCCUACCUGCUGCAGUCUACUCCCAGAGAACAUCCAUUGGCAGAAGACAUAACAAUACUGUGUCAUCACUGUGAAGGAGAAGUGUGGCAUCUGCAAUCUCCAAUAAAGAAGGCAAGGAGUUGCAGCAAACCAUUCCUAUAAUUUCAUAGAUGAUGGUAACCAAGAACUAAGACUCAUCUCUAACUCAUCAUGUUUCGAUAUUUUGUCCUUUAUUCCAACUUUUGUUGUAUACGAGAUACAAAAAAAGAAAUCUCCAGCACAUAAUUAGAGAUUCUCUUGACUUUUAUUUGGGUGGAAUAAAACACAUAAAUGUGAAAUGCAUGAAUCCGAAAGUGUCAUGAUUGGCAAGUAUUUUUAGAGUUCUCAUCUCGGAUUUAGAUUACUUGAAACAUGAGCUUACUUGUAGGAUAAGAAAUUCAAAUAUGGAAAGCUCUUACUGAUUAGGGUUUAGUUACUUAAUAAAUAUCCGAACAAGUUUAUUUGGAGAAUAAAAAAUUUAAGUACAUGGGGGACUUAGUUACAUUAUAAAAACACUAUAUAUUUUGAAGUUAUGAGGAAAGAGAGACAUAAAGAAUAAAAUAUGACAUACGAGAGUUUUUCAUGGUAUAUAUAUGAGAUGACGUAUGAAUGAUUAUACCAAAAACUUAAUUUUUACCAAAAACUUAGUUUUUCAUGGGAAAGCCACCUUAAUUUCUACCAAAAACUUGUGUGCAUUGGACUGAGGAAACUUUGACCCAUCCUGCUGCAUUCCAUCCUCCCAUCAUGGGUCUGACCAAGGUUGACUUCAGAUUCAAAGAAUCUGUCUAGCUCAGCAUUAAACACUCUAAAAUUUUGUUGUAGCAAUUUCAAUGACUCUCUAUAUGUCAAAGACUUUUAUCUGAAAUGACCAGUAAUCAUACCAGCCUGAGUUAGAUGGAAUAUAUACUACACAAAGUUAGGAUAAGUAUCCUAGAGAUAAUACUAUAUAUAAAAUUAGAUAGAGGUUGGGUUAUACUAAUUUAGGUUGAGCUUUAGGAUGAGAUAAUAAAAAGUAUCCAACACAUGAAAUUAUGGUGUAUGUAUUUUUAUAUUGACUCCACCAAUAUAAUUGAUGGGUUAGACCACAUAAGUUUGACUUUGAUCUUGACCUUAUUUGACUUGACAAUAGAUUAGAGAUUUUAGGAGAUAUGAAUUAAUCGGUAAACCCAAUAGAUCAUUUUGAAGGAGUUAUAGGAAAUAAUAUUUAGAUGAGGUCGUAAACUCAUACAUUAUACUACACAUUUAACACAAUAGUAAAUAUUUUUUUAUAUAGAUUCCACCAAUAUAUUUAAUAAUUUAGAUCGAUUAGGGAUCUUUGACCGUCGAUUGAACUAAAUAUGUGCUCGAUUUAACUAAAUAUUUAACUUAAUAAAAAUUAGGAAAUUAGGUGAUAGUAAUAAAGUGGAGCAUUCUAACAUCUCAAACAUUUAAGCUUAUAUUUGACAAAAUGAUUUAUUCGAUGUUAUUUAGAAGGAUGAUCGGAAUUAACCUCUCAAAUUAAUCCAUCUCUUUUUGCUAACCAUAUCUGCUAAAGAUUGAAAUGGAAGAAAGAAAAUAUAAUAUACAUAUACAUAUAUAUAUAUAUAUAUAUAUAUAUAUAUAUAUAUAUAUAUAUAUAUAUAUANNNNNNNNNNNNNNNNNNNNAGACCAUCCGACGGCUCUGAUUUCCCCAUCACGUCUCACACCCCCUCUCCUUUCCGAAAGAAACGGCGAUGCAACCCAGAAGGAAAGAAGCAAACACAACACCAGCAUAGUGUAACGCAUAGGAACCAUUGGAGCGAUCGGCGAGGCGACGAGAUUUAUUGCCGCGAACGAAGGAUUCCUCCUCCUCUUCUUCUUCUCUCGAUCUCCCGUCACUGUUUCCUUCUCUAAAGGGCCGCCCUUUAGGACUCGAGCGAGGGGGGCGUCAACAGGGUGUUGCCAGCUGUGGAUUACUUGAUCUACCAAUCCGUUCGGGGUUUGUUUCGCUCGAACUCUGCGUCUCUUGAGCUUUCCCGAUCCAAAAAUCCCUUUUUUGUUCGAAAAAUCCCGUCUUUGGAUUCGGCCUUCUCGAAAUUUGGUUCCUUUCCGGAUCUCUACGAGUGCCAUUUCGGUUUCUUGUUGAUAGCUUUCUUUGCUUGGGGUCGGAAUUGAUGUGUUCUGUGCUUCCUUUUCUCUCCCGUUUCAGCUGGGUUUCAGGAUUGUGGUGUGGGCUUUUGGAUUUCGGGAACCGAGAGAUCGAGAAGAAGAAGCUUCUUGCCGUCGAUCGACAGUGGGUUAUCUGUUUGAUGAGCUCAAUGGUUUGUAGUGUCUUUUUCUGAUGCUUCUGUGAUCAGUUGCGCAGGGAUGGGAGCUCGUCUCGUGGAAGGCGGAAGCUAUUGCCAUGAACAUGAACAUGAACAUGAACAUGCAUUGAACUUUGAUUAUUAUCAUUUUAUAAUAAAAUAUGAUAAAGAUCAUCAGAUAAAAUACCAUUCCCAACACAAUCAGAUUUAUGUAAUAAACGAAAUGAUGUAUCUUUAAAAUUAAAGGAAUACCCAAAUGGUACGAGUCUGGAAACAUGAGAUACUUGGUACAUAAAAGGUUCUUUCCAAUUUUAAAACAAAAUCACUACUUAAAGUUAAAAUACAUGUUCCAAUUGCUUUCACAUGUGAGCUCAUCUUAUUUCCUGAUAAGAUGCUUUGCUCACUUCCCACUGACUUCCUUAGGUUUUGCAUACCCUGCAAAGAGUUUGCAAUAUGGAUUGUUGAUCCAGAGUCAAUCCACGAGGUGUUAAUAUUAACAUUGACCAUAUUAGAUUCAUAACAUACAUAUGAGGUAAACCCUUCUUCAUGUGUUCCUUUCUUUUACAAAAGAAACACCUUGCAUCUUUUUUGAUAUCAGCUUGGGGUGGUAUUUUAUCUUUUCCCUGCUGAUGAGCUUUUUGAUUGGCUUGAUGUUUGUCAGUUUUGUUUUUCCCUCGAGUGGUUACUACCAAUGCACUCUCACCGAAUUCCAUCAUUAGCCUCUCUUCUUCUUGAACACACAUGGUCAUUAAUUCAUUGAUUGACCAUUUGUCUUUAUUUGUAUUGUAUGAAAUUUUAAAAGGGCUAUAUUGAGGUGGAAGGGUGUUCAGAAUAUAGUGCACCAGGAAGGAUUCUGACAUAUUAACCUCAAGUUUCUUAAGUUGAACCGCUAUAUCUCGCAUUUGCAUUAUGUGCUUACGCACACCCUUUAUGUUGGUGAGUCUAAGAGAUGAAAAUUUCAUAAUAAGGGUACUUGCUAGUACCUUAUCCGAAGUGAUGAAUUAUUCAUCAAUAGCUUUUAGCAAGUCUCGGACAUUUUCAUGCUGAUCAACAGAACCAUGUAUGCCAGCAGUCAUCUUAGUUUUGAUAAACAUCACGCUGAGCCGAUUGGAUCGCUCCCAUCACUCAUAUAACGUGAUCUCAGUUGUAGUGCUGGUAUUAGUGACUAUAGGUGGUUCGUCUUUUCUUAUAGCAUAAUCGAUAUGCAUCCACCCUAAAUGGAGGAGAACUCUCUCCUUCCAUAUCUUAUAGUUAUCACCAUUAAGUUCGGGAAUAUCACAUCGAAUAUCAGAGAAAUUAACAGUUUGAGAAACUGCAUAAAAUCAAACAUGCUUAUGUCAAAAUUUGAAGUUUAACAGACUAAAUUACAUGUUUUACCAAUGUGAAACAUGUCAAAAAUAUGAAUCUCAUGACAUAAAAAUUGCCUGUGGCCUAAAUUCUUAAUUCAAAUAGAUUCAUAUAGUCUUUAUGAUAAAACUCUUAAAUUAUAUUCUAAUUCAUAAUCCCUGUAGGUAAAUUAUGAAAAUAAUCUGAUAUUUUAUCCUGAUUAAUUAUAUUAAAUAUAAUAAAAAAUCAUGUGGGAUAAUAAUUAUCAUACGAAAUAUAAUCAAUCACAAUAUGAUGUCUAAUUACUUAUGUGAUACUUAUUUUAAUUAUAUAUAUAAUUUUAAUUAAUUAAAAAUUAAUUAAAUAAUUUUUCGAACAAAAAGGGGAUUUUUGGAUCGGGAAAGCUAAAGAGACGCAGAGUUCGAGAGAAACAAACCCCGAACGGAUUGGUAGAUCAAGUAAUCCAUAGCUGGCAACACCCUGUUGACGCCCCCCUCGCUCGAGUCCUAAAGGGCGACCCUUUAGAGAAGGAAACAGUGACGGGAGAUCGAGAGAAGAAGAAGAGGAGGAAGAAUCCUUCGUUCGCGGCAAUAAAUCUCGUCGCCUCGCCGAUCGCUCCAAUGGUUCCUAUGCGUUACACUCUGCUGGUGUUGUGUUUGCUUCUUUCUUAUGGGCUGCAUCGCCGUUUCUUUCGGAAAGGAGAGGGGGUGUGAGACGUGAUGGGGAAAUCUUUAAAGUGCGAGUUUCCAUUAAAGAGAGGAUUAUAUUUGUUAACAUAAUCUCCAUCCACAUAUAUAUAUAUAUAUAUAUAUAUAUAUAUAUAUAAUAUUUUCUUUCUUCCAUUUCAAUCUUUAGCAGAUAUGGUUAGCUAAAAGAGAUGGAUUAAUUUGAGAGGUUAAUUCCGUUAGCUAAAAGCAGAUAUGGUUAGCUAAAAGAGAUGGAUUAAUAUGGUUAUAUAUAUAUAUAUAUAUAUAUAUAUAUAUAUAUAUAUAUAUAUAUAAUAUUUUCUUUCUUCCAUUUCAAUCUUUCUUCCUUCUAAAUUAUAUAGAAUAAAUCAUUUGGUCAAAUAUAAGCUUAAAUGUUUGAGAUGUUAGAAUGCUCCACUUUAUUACUAUCACCUAAUUUUCUAAUUUUUAUCAAGUUAAAUAUUUAGUUAAAUCAAGCACAUAUUUAGUUCAAUCGACGGUCAAACUUAACAUGAUCCCUAAUCGAUCUAAAUUAUUAAAUAUAUUGAUGGAAUCGAUAUAAAAAAUAUUUACUAUCGUAUUAAUGUGUAGUAUAAUGUAUGAGUUUACGACCUCUUCUAAAUAUUAUUUCCUAUAACUCGUAUUGGGUUUACCAUCAAUUUAUAUCUCCUAAAAUCUCUAAUCUAUUGUCAAGUCAAAUAAGAUCAAGAUGAAAGACAACCUUAUGGGGUCUAACCUAUCAAUUAUAUUGGUGGAGUCAAUAUAAAAAUAUAUACACCAUAUAUAUAUAUAUAUUACGAGUUACCAAUGGCAGGGAAUUAUCAAUAGCAAGCUUCAUUAUCUUUUCCUCUCCUUUUAAGCUUGAUGAUCAUAAUUACCGGAGCAAGCAUCGAUUAUACUCAUUGGUUGGACCGAUAGGUCAAUUUAUUAGAUCAUAAACGUAAUAAUUUUUUUAAAAAAUAAUUAAUUAUAUAUUAUAUUAUAUUAUAAAUAAUUAAACAUAUGAUAAUAUUAUAAUAAUAUUAUUUUUCAAAAUGGAGCAAAUAUGUCAAAGAAACGAGGGAACAAAUAUAAUAGGAUUUUAGCAUUUUGAAGACUCAAAUGACCAAAACUAGUAAAGAGGAAAAUAAGGCUUAGGUUUUCGAAUCUUGAGGUGUUACUAUAUACACUUGACUUCCUUAAACUUAAAAAGUGUAUUGGAAAACAAAAAAGAGUUUAGGUUUUCAGUUGAAUUGUAGUUCCAACACACAUUCAGGUAUAGUAGAAUUUACAUGUAUUUCUAUCCAAUGUAAAAAAUACAUGUAUUUUUUUUAUUGGACACUCUUUUCAUUUAAGUUGCUCAAAAAACCCAAAUCAUGGAUUGCAUUGGCACCCACUACAAGACAAACUGAUUUGGAUCAACAAGAGAUCUUCAUGGCUUGAGCAUAUGACACUGAGCUUACAAAAAGAGAAGACUUGCUUGAACCUCAUCAACAGACUUUGGUUCAAAUGCACUCAUGGAAGAUUGAAUCUGUAUCAUGACACACAAUGUGUAGGAAACACUGUUACAUGUCACAUGAAGCAAGAAGGUUAUUCCUCCUAUACAGAGAGAUCAACACAGCUUGUCGGAUGGCGGUGUCUACUUGUGCUACAUCCAAAAGCUAACUUUAAAGAGCAAAAAUCAUAUAUGUUACUUUCAAAGUCACUAGACGAAGAAAGGGUGAUGUGAGGAUGCCAGGAUCUGUGCCAGGAUCUGCACCAUUCCCAUCCCCGAGUACCGAAAUAAGGCACACAACUUUUGGAACUCAAUAAUGGUAGUAAAAGAAUAAACGAGGAAUCGUUCUUUUUUUUUUAGCUUUUCCCCCUUUCCGCUCCCUCUUGCCUCUGAUCUCAUGCUGCAAACAAUCUGCUCGUAAAAUUUUGUAUGCAGCUUUCUUGCAUCAGUCCAAGUAAAAGAAAAUAGAACAUGAAAUAUGGUAGGAAGCGUUCUUCGCUGCAAAUUUAUAGAUAUCUCAUCCAUGUACAGCUACCUCCACUUCAGGAAUCAACAAAAUUUCUUCGGCAAAGAUUCAUAAAGCCAAACUUAUAGUGAUUGGUUUCCUACCAAAGAGACGAGAUCGGAACUGUAAGUUCACAGGUAACUUAAAAUUUUAAUCUAAAGAAAUUUGAAUGACCAAAAUGAUACAUGUAGAUAUCUUGUUGCAAUAAAUACAAGAAUCAUUCCUGUACCGGCAAAAGGCAAAGGUGAACCACAGAGUAAUGUUUAUAGUACUGUGAAUAUACAUGGAGAAAACAAGAUUCAGCAAUUUGUGAAAAUGUCCAGUAAGUUUGCCAAACUGCUUAAAUAUCUUUUUUAGCACAAGAUACACAAGUUAUUUCCUAGAAAACAAUUUUACCUUAAUAUCGGAGUCUUUUAAAGCUUCUAAUGUUGCUUCAAUCUCCAUUUGCUUCAUCAAAGUUGCUUGCAGGACCUGAAUGAAGAAAAUGUGAUUAAAGAAAGUGACAAGGAUAUAACAUAACAAAUCAAGAUUGACAAGGAAAACAUGCAUAAGGAAAACACAGUUUUAUCAGAUGGUACAAAAGUCAGUGAUUUGAGCCUGGACCGAUGAGAACUUGAUCGAGUCAGUUAGCAGCUUUAUAGCUCAUAUAUCUCUGAGAUUAAGAUAGUGUAUGUGCAUUAAAAAGAAACAACAAGACAGAUUACGAGAAGACAAUAGAGAAAAACGUCAAAAAUAGGCGACAAGGGUGACAAAUCAGCUAAUGAACCCAGUAGUCAUUUAAUAGAUCAAAGUUCUCAUGUGAUAUGACAUAAUAUCAAGCAUCACCAUGGAUUCGAUGUGAGCUUUCAACUUGCGCUAGUACGUGAUCUAGAGCACUGGGAGUACCUAGUGACUUCAUGAAUCAACAAAUCCAUAAAAUUAAAGCCCUCAUUCAAAAUGCUUAGACUGAUGUGUGUAACCAAAAUAUAUCUGACUGAAUCACUAUAGAUUAUAUGUGGUCAUCUCACAUGAGAUAAAAGACUUACUUUAUUUGUCUUGUGAAUAUCAAACUCGACACACUUUAUCCUGUCCAUUGAAUCAAGGAUCAUGUGCUCUUUUUCUCGAGGAAUCUCAGCAGGCUUGUUGCUGAGCUCAUUUAACAUCAGCUCAAGCUUUUGAAGACGUUCCAUGCAAGAAGUGACACAAUCUUCCUUGAGAGCUUCCGUAGUUGAAUUUUUAUUGCAUGCCAAGUCCAAGGCAUUUGAUAGAUGAACAUUCAACCUCCUAUCCUGUCUAGACCAUAAGAUACGAAAGAAGGACAGCAUUUUUAUGAGAAAUGCAACCAAUGUUCUUGCAAAAGAGUCCAACUUUCCUUCUGUAUCAUCCUUGAUGUUGUUGUGCUUACCAGCAAUAGAGUUACCUGAAACCAUCAAGGUAAAACAAAUUUUGACUGAUAAAACUAUUACAAAGAAACAGGACUAUGUUGACAAAAGGGACAAUUAAUAUAAAGUUAUAACUAAACCUUGGCAGAGGAGCAGCAAAGUUAUAUCUUUAAUAUGAGACAAAACUCUUAAAAUUGUAGUUUGAGAGAACUAGAAGAACAAGAGAAUUGUAUUCCCUUUUAGCAGCUUGAAUGCCAAGAGAGACCAUGCAAACAUGACAGAAUGGAACUGUUUAGAGAGAUCUUGGACUCUUCCUAGAUAUGUUGUGGUUAAACUAUUCUUUUCUCGCCGAUAGAACCUGGACAAUUACAACUUCAACUUGCCCAAACUUCUGUUAGUAAAAUCCAGAGAUGAACCACUUUUUCCCUGUGAACUUAGCCUUGAGCUUAUGAAUAAGAAAUACAUAAGCUACAGCCUACAGGAAUUAUGAAGAAUGGGAAAAAAAUAUUGAGAUCUUACUGCCUGUAUAAAUCUUUUAUUUCAGGAGAAUUUGCCUUAGAUAUUAAAGGAUGAGAAAUUGAUUUAGAUGAGACAAUAAAUGACCACCAAACACUACGUGAAUUGAUGGAAUCAGAUAAAAUCUAUUAUUAGGUCAUACAAAAAAGGAGCUAUUGUAGCAAAACUUUAGAUGUUGUCUCCGAUGCAUCACCAAUUUAAUUUACCAUGCAGUUCAAAAGUAUAAGAAAUCUAUUGUGGGUACCAAAACAAAAUUGCAACCUAUCAAAGAAAUACAAAAGGAUUUCUUGACAUUUCGGAAAAACAAAUAAUUGCAAUCUUGAUUCAGGCCAUUGAGAGACAGAGCACAUCAAAGUCAUCAUUGUUCUGUUUAUUACCAGCAACAGGCUAGCCAAUUGACUAUCGUAUUAUUCCAACUUAAGCACUCUUAUUUCCAUAAUGAUGUCUGCAAUAUUAGCUUCUAUUUCACAGAAAACUCAGAUGAAUAUCUCCAUAAGUGUCAAGAAUUUUUGAAUUAUCAACUAGAACAUAUCCCGAGGAUUAGAAGAAAAUAGCUCUAAAGGCACAACUUAUCAGGAUCUUUGCAGUAAUCUAAGUGAUCAUCUGACGAAAAGGGUAAUCGAAGGAUUUACAGGGAUAAAUCAUCACAACUAAUUAAAGAAUAAUGCAGUAGAGAAGAUUAAAAGUCAAUACCAAAGGAAUGUGGGGCAGCAGUUGCAGAGGUGUAGUCAAGAUCUUUUAAUUCUUUGGAUGCCUUCACAGCAAAACCAGAUCCUCUUCUACCAUUAUCUACAACUUUAUCAACAGUUGCAGAAUGGUCAUCACAGCUCUGAUAAGGUGUAAUGUCUGCUUCUCUGACCUGCCAAUCCAACGAUCGAAAAAUGAGAUGCAAAAAGUGUGUUUAGUAAGGGAUUUGCACUAUACAGUCAUAUUGUUGUUAUUAGAACUCAGCCAUUAAGAGACAAUAUUCUAAAGGAGUUAUGAAGUUCCUAAAUCUGCAAUGUUCAGGACAGGUAGACUGAUUUAAGCCAGUGAAAUAUAAAACCUAUAAUAAGCAUAGACUUUAAACUUUCAAUGCAGAUCAGAUUUUUUUUUCUUUUUUUUUCUUUUUCUUGCUUUUAUUCCCUUUUAGAUGUGGAAGUUGGUAGACAAAAUUGUAGGCACUUUCUUGUAUUUGCAACAGCUCAAUUAUCCGUUGAUCAGAUCUUCCAAGGAGGAGCUUUGUUCUCUUUGUUUCUAAUUGUUGGAUGGAUUGAUAAGGAAUUGAUAUAGCAAUCUGAAGAAGUUAAAAGUCUCAAUCUUUGAGCAUAGAUGACUUCUUCAUAGGCCUAUUCAUCAUUAAUUAAUAAUACCAUCUUCUGAUACACCUGCUUGCAGAUUCUGUUUUCCCUAUUAUGCAAUUAAAUUAGGCUGAUAGUGCUUGGAACCAUACAAUCAUGACCAUCGUCAAAGCAUAACCUUGUAUACUCAACAUAAACUAUGCAAAAAAGGAAAAAUUAAAGUAUGAUGUAUGAUAUUCAUGUACUCCUUCACUGAACAUGAACAAAGAUAAUGUAUCACAGGAUUAUCGGCAUGCUUUGAGCUCACUUCUUUAUAAAUUGGAGACAGACGAGCAUUAUCAGCAGUCACUGGUAUUACAGGAGAACAAAGAUCAUCAGCAUCAGAAACUGAUUCAGCUGCAGAAGUUUGACUAGUCCUUCGCUGCCAUUAAAAUAAGCACAGCAAAUCUGAAUAUGAGAAAAAGAUUAUCUGUAAAAUCAACUAGGGCUACAGGUUUAAGAUUUUAAAAACUUGCCUUUGAUGAGUGUAGUCUUACACAAGAAUGGCCUAUUUUUUCUCCAUCAGAUGUAUGUCUGUUUUCCCUCGCAGAUGUUGUGUCAAUGCCUUGUACAAACUACAGGUGAAAAUGACAAUACUAACUAGGUUGAUAAAGACAGCCACUGACCAUGGUUUGAGUAAAAUUUACUGGAUACUACCACUUCUCCAAUUAGAUAUGAGAUAUAUACCUUCAAAAUAACUGGGUCAUUCCAUGGUCCUCUGUUAGAUCUAAGACAUCCUCUCUCAUAAUAGCAUGUACAUGAACCACCGAGGAAUUCUGGCAAUUGGCUGAAUGUGCAUAUACAUAUGCAUAUUAUUAAUAUGAUGAAUGAAUAGUCACAAAGUAGCAAAAGGAGAUUCAUGAUGCUAUAUGCCAGAGACAUAAACACACAAACCUUGAGUCAAUUGCCUCAAGAAGUCUACUCUGAUAUUUGGUUCCAAGAACCUGCACAAAAGUUCUAGACAUCAUCCAUAGAACCAAGAAACCAAGAAUCACUGUAUUUCUUCUAUGGACGCUUUAUCUUACAUGUAUCUUUGAAGUAGUUUUGGGAUCAAGAAAUCCUUUCACAGUAUUCCAGAGAAGCUUAAAACCAUGGCCAGCAUUAACUACAAACAUUUGAUGUAGUGUCUGUACAAAUAAGAAGUUAGAACACCUACAUGCACUAACAGCCACAUGAGAAGCAUCUUAAACGUACCUCAGGAUAAUAAUCACCAUCAAUUUUCUGCAUAUUGAGCAAAAGGUCCCUUGCUGUCUUGCUGAAAUUCUUCAAGCCCUGUAUUCAUGAUGUCAAACUUCGAUACAUGCUACUGACAGUUUGAAAUAAAUGAUCAAACCCAGGAUAUAGCAGGGCAAAAUCCAGCAAUUGUUGAUUAUAAAUUUUAUACAAUGUGUUUCUAUGUGCAUCAUAAUAUGUUAAUACAAUAUAAAUAGGAGAGAAACAAGCAAAAUACCACGCCUUGUACAUCCAAUAUCGUGGUGGAGGAACCAAUGUGUUUUUUGGCAGCAAUAGAGCAUGCAGGAAAUUUCUCAUUCAGGGCUCUCUCAAAUUCUUGUACAUGGUACUUCAAAUAGCGCUCUACUGUAGUUACGUGCAUAAGCUUAUUUGGCUCAGCUUUCCCCAGUCUCUCAAUGUAGACAGGCCUUCCCUCCUUGUCAACUCCAUGAUAUCCUUGGGGAUAAUAGCGCAGAACUUCCUCCAGCUCUUCAAAUUCAAAGUCCUACAAUCAAUGAAUUAGAGCACUGUGGCAUGUCAGAUAACAUCAUUUAACAAUGAAUUUGGUUAUAUAAAUAAUAAUAUUCUCAGAUAUAUGACCAUGAAUACUGCUGAAACAGACAUUUGCACUUCAUUGAUAACUGCUAAAUGCCGUACACCACUAUAGAUUAAUGUGGACUACAUGGAUUGCAGAAUACUGCAAGGGUAACCUUCAAGGCCGCUGAUGAUUUAUGACAGUGCUCAACGAUCCAUAAAUUGAGGUAGAUACUGAGCAUCCCGUUUUUAGUUACUCUUUAUGCAUGUUCAAUUUCUCAAUCCAGGGGUGCUAAAACCAAAAUCAGCCCCAUAUGUCACCAAUCACAAGAAGUUCAAGCAACAUAUUUUUCUUCCAUACAUGCUUUCAGACAAAAACUAAAGUGCCACCAUUUCUUGAUUAUUCAAGACACAUCAGGCCACCUGAUUCUCGAUGUUACUUUUGUGCAUGCUAAAUUGCUACAUAAAAUUUAACAAUGACUUUACCUCCAGAAUUGUGUCCGUUCCAAAUUCUUUUCUCCAUUGAAGCAUCUCAGCCCACAUGUGGGUUGCUUUCUCAAAGUCAAAUUUUCUAGCCUUGAGGAACCUGAUCGAAGAAAAAAGUUUAGCAAACCCCAACUUAACCUAAGCAUAAGACUUAAGUAAUGAAAUCUGGCCCAGUAGAUGCUUGAGGUAUUGGAUUAAAAGGACCAGAAAAUUUUUAAAUCAUUCUAACCUAAGCAAUGUGUGAUAGUCAUCAUGUUUAUUAGGCAACAAGUCCUUGGCAAUGAGUUGUUGCCGGAAGGAAGAGACAGCUUGCUCCUCUUCAGCAUCUCUAACAUCCUCGAUUGGAACGGAAGGAACCCUGAAAUCAACUCUCCUUCUCCCUCGUUUCUUCAAAGAGUGUGUAAAUCUACUCGAAGCAUUCAACGCUUUUUUCUUGAGAGAUCCGAUUCUCGUUUUCCUUCUCUCGUCCUCAGAGUUCUCCACAUCAGAUCUCCUUUCUUUUCUCUCCUCAUAACUGUACGACCCUUCAAGGCCUUCUGCAUGGUAGACUGCUAGUUGUAGCAUUUCGGAUGUAAGAAAAAGAACAAUGAAUUCAAAGUGUUCAUUUCAGAGCCAACUAUACAAGUUAUACCAACUACCUGACAUUUCCUUCCGAGGCACAAGACCUUUUGCUAGGACCUCAAGAUUCAAAAGAGACGAGCAGCCACUAGAACAAGGAACAAGAAACAAGGUUAAUCCAUGAACCCAUUUACAUUCUCUGAAUCCAAAAGAUUGAGAAAGGAAAGGAUAAAUAUACCUGAACGAGGGAUUCCAGAAUGCAGCAGCACAGAUGCAUAGAACUCAGCGAAAGAAGGAGAUCUCAACAACUGAUAAAGACCAAAGAGAAAAUCUUUAUAAUCAAACUGUCUUUCUGAAUCAUCUUUUCCAGAUGACAUCAAGUUGCCUUUUUUUAAAGCAUCCACUUUUCAGCUUAACAGUGUAAACCAUCUUACGAGGGUGAAUUCUAAAUCUAAUAUGUACCAAUAAAAACAAGGGAGAUAACUGACAACUCUAAGUUUGCAGAACUAAAUAAAGAAACGUAAUUGUUACAAAAAUAGGACUCGAAGGACCUGCAUUGGUUCAAUUGCUUUUAAUUGAUGGAAAGAGGCUUCGCCUCGAUUCUACUAAAGGUUCGACCUUUUAUUGAAUCCCGUCGAUAAAAUCUCCUCUACGAGAUGAAACCGCCCUUUAAAGAUCCAUUAUUGAACACCCCUCACCUGAAACCGUUUCGAAAAGCUUCUCACAAAGAUCGGAACAAACAGCCCGUCCGUCCGAACCAAGAAGCGCACUCCAAUAUCCAGUCUUGCAAGCCCCAACAAGGCGAACGCGAUCGAACAAUCAGAAUCCAAACGCCAAGAAAAAAAGAAGGGAACCGAACCCGCGCCUGAGAUCACCAAACCGACGAGGGCAACGCGAGACCUCUACCCCGUCCAACACCUCAGCCAGCAGCGAUCUGAGCGCCGAGGCCGGGACGAGAGAAGGAAAGAGAGAUCGGUUUGGGAAACCGUGAGGAACUCUCUAUCUCAGAGAAAUGACGAAGAAUUCGGAUCCCUUCUCCUCCUCCUCCUCCUCCUCUUCUCCUCUCCGCCUACUUUGCCCUGGAGAAUGGGUUUCGUCCGCCGUGGUCUUCUUUUCUUGCUUUGGAGAGGGAAAGAGAGAGCGGAGGAUUCGAGGAAGCGGGUAAAAGUCGAGAGCUCGCUGGCUGUCGUCUUGCUGUUGCCGCUCCUCUCUCUCUUUCACGCUUUCUUCACACUCCUUCCACAUCUCCUUCCUUCGCUAUUUAUUCAUCCCCUUCUCUUCUUUUGCUUACAUGUAUAAAUAAAUAUAUAUAUAUAUAUAGAAAAUGAUUUUACAUUUACUUUUUAAAUUUUAUAAAAACAACACAUGUAAAUUCAUAUUAAUAUAUCAAUUCUACUAAUUUCUUAAGCAAAUGCUACCUAAAUUGACACAUAAUGUGAUUGAUUGAUUUAGGUUGCUUUUUUCGCUUGGGUUGGCAUAACCAAGUAAGAUUUAGGGGCUUUUAAAAGUCAAAAUUCAUGUGGAUAAAAAAAAGCAAAUAUAAAUAUAUUUUUACAACUUAACAAUUAAUUUAAUAGUAGGUGGAUGAAAGAUACUAUCCAAUCCUUAUGUAUAUGGCUUACGUUAUCAAUUAUAAUAUUUUUGACGUCUUCAACAAAAUAUUAAAAAUAAAAUUAUUUUUUUAAAUAAAUAACAUAACAAUAAUCAAAUAAAAAGAUUUAUAUUAAUUAUGUUAUUUUAAAAAGACUAUAAAUAAUAGCACGAAGGAACUUCAUCGAUUAUAAUAAAUAAAAAUUAUCCUUUCAAAAUUAUGAAAAAGGAACAUUUCUCUAAAAAAAAGAUUUUUCCAAAAUUAUCUCAUAAAUAAAACUUCCAUGAAAAAGCAAAUUUAAAAUAAAAAUAGCCUCCAUUUAAUGAUGUUCGUCAUGCUAAUUGACAUGGUUGGUCUAACCAUGUUGACCAUAUCUACUUCGAUUGAUUAUUAUACGUGUAUAAUAUAACAUUAUAUAUAUUAUAUACAAUAGACACGUAGGAUUCUAUGUUGACUAUGACAUUACGACUAUCGCAUGAUUAUUUCGGAGACGUCGGACGUCACGUGAUUUGAGAGAUUCCAUGGUGUACGGUUACGAAUACGGUUGUCAAUCCUACGAGAUAUAUAUAUAUAUAUAUAUAUAUAUAUAUAUAUACAUAUAUCUCGCCUACGUGUCGCGACGUCGGGACCCACUGUUGGAUGGACGUGGAGCAAAAGUAAACGCGAGGCAUCGACAGAGACGGGAUCGUGCUUUGAGAUGGUUGAUUGGCGUCUCUAUGAUUCGUGCGAACCUGAUGCGGAACGCCCUGUGGAUGACACAUGGAACAGAUCACACCUCCAUAUCUAAUUGUCACCCAUGCAGUAAUCUCAAUUAUUCCAAACUAAACAAAAAAGAAAUGAUUCUUUAUUAUUAUUAUAAACUAAUUUUGAAUCCAUUUAAAACAUAAUUUGAACGAGUAUAUGUAGUAGCAUAAGACAUCAAAAUGUGUGGGUCCAACUGCUGCAUCAAGCACUGGCUUGAGCUCAGAAACGAUCCAAUCGGCACACAAUUAAUGCACGCACACCAACUUGUUGGUCUCAGUACUUGCACUGACAAGGACACAUCCAGUACGUCGCUGCUGCUACCCGAAGGACACAGAGAGCGCGAGCAUCGUGUUAUAGAGAUCAAAGAAAUGUUACCGAUGACACAGUUGGGAGAGAAAGGGAGAGGGGGAAGACAUUACAGGGACCACUGGUCCAUGGGGGGGGGUGGUGGAGGGAUGGGGGAAUGAUACCAAUGAUGGAAGGGAUUGAAUGAUGAAUCGGGUUGGUGGAUUUCUCGUUUGCUGGUGAGUUUGGAUGUGUUCCUGACAGAGGAAGGAGGAGGAGGAGGCGUGGGUUUGCCCUGCUGACGCGGUCAGGUCGGUGUGGGGGGUGAUUCUGACAGCGACUGUAGCAGUUUUGGUCGAUCGACGGAGAGUGUCGGCAUGUAACGGAGAGUUGUUGACGGCGGGCCGACGAAGGACGAGCAGGAAGCGAUGUAUCAGUUUAAUUUUCCCUUUUUUUUCUUCUGAUAAUUAUUUUCUUGUGGUCUCUGACGAGUCUUCUUGUCAAGUCAUUGGCGUCGAGACAACAAAGAAGAAAAUGAAAGUGAAAGAUUAAUAAUUGAAGGACAAAAACCAAGUUUUUUUUUUUCUUCCAACAUUUUAAUCCAGUUUUGUUGUUCUAUUUUAGCCACUUGGGACUCUGAAUGAUGAACAGAUUUUGGUAAUACAAUUUGACAGAAGAAUAAUUCAAGAUUGAGUUAAUAAUGCUGUUUUCUAUAUGAUUGACUCAAUCUUAAUUUUUUACAUGAAUUUUACUAGAUCGAGUCAAAAAUCACCUCUUAGGAGGUUAAAUUAAGUGAAAUUUGAGUAGGAAACUUAGGAAAAAACUGGACUUAAUCUUGAUCAUUUUUCAAUAAAAAAUUUGUCAACUUCAAAGCCUCCUAAAAAAUGAAUAAAAUUAGAUGUGAUUUCAUAAUGUUUGGAUAUUAUUUGGAAAGGGAAAGUAUAAUGUUUUCUGAAAAAAAAUCUAACACACUGAGGUCAGAUCUAAGAAGGCUUAGAUGCCUGAUAUUGAUGUGAAUGAUCAACCAAAGUUUAUCUACUGAAAGGCCUCCUAACAAAAACUGAAUAAAGCUGGAUGUUAUUUCAUACUGUUUUGACAUUAUUUGGAAAAAGAAGAAAAUAAUUUGAUGGGAGAAUACAUAGCACACACACAGGUCAAAUCUAAGAAGGCUUAGAUGCCUGACACUGAUGUGAAUGAUCAAAGAAAGCACUCUACUCUUGAUGAAGAGAUGUCAAAUGCAUCUGUCUACCCGAAUGAGAAAUGGAAAAAGAGAGAUGUGGCUCUCAAGAAUAUUAGGAUGAGAUUGUGGGACUCUCCCACCAAAUUAAAAUGAUUAGUGCCUUUCAUCAGUUGUUUUCCUCAGCAAUGGCUUAUUUUAUGGGUACAAAACUCAAGCACUGCCCAAUUUAUACAUCCAUGAUUCUUCCAUCCAUUGUGAAACCAGAGAGGAGAAUGUGGAAUUUAGCAGUCAUUAAUAACUUGCUUUUGUGGUACAAAACUCUGUUAAUAGCUCAUCGAUCAAAUGGGGGAAUUCCAAACAAAACUGUCAUGUCCACUGUCCACAAUUCUUCCAUCCACAGUGAAACCCCAGAUGAGAGAUCAGAAAGAUGGGUCUCUUGUUCCAUCAAAAGGUGAUCCCUGUCACAACCCAGAUGGGUCUCUUGUUCCAUCGAAAGGUGAUCCCUGUGGGAGACUGGGGAAGGGAUGGACGGGCAAUGGACAGUGAAAAGGAACAGAGGUUGCAGCAGAAGGUACAAAGGGUGCUGUAAAAAGCAGGGGCAAGUGCUCAUUUGUAGGCAGUGUAGGGAAUAUGGUCUCAAGCCUCUAUCUAUGAAUCAAUGAAUCCCAUCCUUCUACAAAGUAAAAAGAAACUAUUCUUGCUUAAACUUGUGUCGACAAGGUUGGUAGCUUGUCAAGGCACAGAGCCAGCACCCCAUGGGACCAUACAGCAGGUAAGAAAUAUUGGGUCUCACAUGUGUUCUUCCUCUACACUUGCACCAUUUAAUGGCCACAUCUCACAAUUUGUUUUAUUGUAUGUAAUGCAUUUAAAGCCACAUGCAAGAAAACCAGUGGAAUUCAAGCUACUUACUUGCACUCAACUUUCUCAUUGUAAUUGUGAGGGCAUGAAGGGGAUGUAGAUUGGCUCAAUCAUGUGUCCUGUCAUCUUUUCUCCUUGAAGAAUCUGUUUAUAUCAGUCACUGACUUCUCCUAGCAGAAGCAAUGGAGAUCUACUCCUUUUGACAGAGUCAAAGUUACUAUAACUAUAUGUUGGGAUUGGGGAAAUUUUGUACUACCUUGUGGCUCUUGGAAACAGUGGGGUAUCAGGCCUGGUGCUUGCACAAUUUACCCACUUGAUGUGACAAAUCAGAGAGAAAGCCCCCCACCUGUAAGAAAAAGAGAAGGCAAGUUAAGCUCAUGGCUGUUUUGUUUUAGGGUGUUGGGAAAUCAUACCUUGGUGAUUGCCAGGAAUGUGGUGUUGGAAUGAUAUAUAAUUAUUAUGCCUAUGACUUGUGCCUUUGACUGAUGGGUAAUGUGGUACUAAAGUGUGUAGGCAGAUUCCAUUAUUAUGAUGGCUAGGACAGACUCUGCACCUUUGGACAACCACCUCAUUGUGUGCAGGCCUCAAGUGAGACCCAGUACAGCCCCUCCAGUAAAGAUUAGGUCUUGUCUGAUAUGAAACAUAUCCAUUGUGCAUUUAAAUUCCCAAAUUAUAGCAUUUGUAACAAGAACAAUUACUUUCUAAUUACUUUUUUAAAACUAAAAAUGCACUAGUAAGUAAUGCCUAAUACAGAAGAUUCCUGGCACAGAAAACUGGUUAGCAACUCAGGCAAAGUGUCACUGCAUUAAAAGAAAGAAAUAUUCUUCUUUUUUCCUUUUCAAAAUCAAUCGACUAUUUUCAGCAACUUUGUUGACCUCCUCAUUGAUGGACAAAAUGCAUGUAUCUAAGUACAUUAAAUGUACACCUUUCUGAUUCCCUUUUUAUGUGUUUGUUUCUCUUUCUGUUUUGGGUAAUUAUCAUGAUUUACCAUAUUAUUUUUUUUAUUUUAUGUCAAACAUUUAUUGGGAUGUAAUGAAAUAUGCAGAAGUGUAUCUUCCUAGAAUAAGACUGAGAAUGUCAGAAUUGCACAUGAGAGAAGAGGGAAAGGUGGAAAAAAUUUUACUUAAGACACAAAAGGAUAAUAAAGAGGAAUUAGCUCCAUCAAGGAAUCCAUUAAUCCAACCUCAAAAGACCAUCCUGCCAGUAAAAGAGUGUCAAAAAAGUAGAUGUAAACACUGCAAAAAUGCAACAGAUACUCUGUAAAGAUUGUCAAAAAGUUUGGUGUACAUAUUACAUAUAACAAAAACAACACCAUAAUGUUGAUCUGCUAGAUGUACAUAUUACAAGAAUGUAACAAAUAUUCCGCUUGUCCUUUUCAUAGUUUUUAUUUAUGUUGUCAUUUUUUCUUCCCUGCCCUUGUCCUAAUUGCUUUGGAUCAUGAACUAGCACACUCCCAAGGGGACAUGAUCUAUAAAAUGUCAAAAUCUGUCAACAUUCCAGAAACAUCUAAGUGACCCAUAUUUCUACAUUGCAUGCAUAUUAUACUUAAAUUUUGUUGUUGGUUUGUUCAUUUUUAAUAUAUUUAAAAUUCUAUUAUACUCAUGCAAAACUAGAACCAGGGGUUUCCAAAGUAAAGAAUAACUAAUCGAGGUUAAAAAUGUUGAUCAAUAUUGGUUUCAAAUCUUGUCGAACCAAUACGAUACAAAUAUAUUAAGCGAGUGUUCUGACAUAGCUGAAAAUCUUGAUCAAGUAAAUUAUGAAGUAUUACAAAGAGAAGCCAAAAUACUUGCAGAAAUAACUUUGCUUGGCAAUAGCAGCAUAGACAGCAAAUGCAAAAUGAAACAAAAAACACAUUUUGCCAAGAAAAGCCAAUGCCAACAUGGUCAUUCUCCAUUACCAAAAGAAGCAAAAAGUUUGCAGAAAAAAAUUUGCUCACUAGUAGCAGCAUAGACAACACAUGCAAAAUGGGACACAAAACACACUUUUGACACGAACAGCCAACACUAACAGUCAUUCUAUAUUACAAAGAAAAGCAAAAAAAUUUGCAGAAAUAACUUUGCUCAGUAAUUGCAGCUUGGACAAUUGCAGAAGACACUUUUGCAAAGGAGAGCCAAUGCCAACACAGUCAUUCUCCAUACAGAAGCCUACACAACCUUACUAUUCCUACCAAUAAAGUGCAGAAUAGCAACAAAACCUUAUCAAAGGAUAAGGAAUUUAUCCCAUGGCACAUUUCUGGUCCAAGAUCAGGUGGUUGUUUCAUCAAGAUUAGGGUCUGUCAGAAGUGAACUUAAGGGAUAGCAGCACAUAUAAUGUAUCAUCAUGCACCAAUGAGCUUAGAAACUUAAUAAUCAGAGUCAAUACACAAAUUUUAAAUGGUAAUAUUAUUUACCAAGAUAUUGAUAUAAUUACCUCACAUCUGUGACUGCUGUAUGAUGACAACAACAUGCACAAGAAUCAGAUUUGGAUCAAAUCAGAUUUAGAAGUGUAGCCAAGCAUCUGAUUCAGCUAGGAGACAAUGUAGAAAUAUUGAGAAGAAAAAAUAAGUGUGACUAGUAUCAUAUUCUGAGAAUGUGAAAUACAAGUUCUUUAAAAGACUUAAUAUCACAAAAAGAUUCACGCAUCUUAUACUGUUAUGUCGAUUGAGAUUGUAACUGCAUGAUUAAAGAGUUAGAUAACUCAACAGUAAGAAUCCAUGUAACACCAUAACCAACCCAAUCUAUCCUAGCCCAACUCUCAGACCCAAUGUAAACAGGCAGGACUCUGAAAGAAAACAAAUAGGGGUACUUUUAUAGCUUCUUUGUUGUUCUGAUAGAUUGCUCAAGACCGUCCCAACCUAAAAAUCUCCAUGCAGAUUUAAGUUCUGUGACACUACGAAACAUGUAUUUCAGAAGGACAUUUAGCAAGGAAGAUCCUUAUUUAGACCUGCCAUAGAUUACUGCACUAUGUUUUCAACACUUGGAUUUAUAAUUUUGAAGAUAUAUAGUCUGCUCUCUUGACUGCUACCUGAAUAUUCUGAGUGGUAUUCUUCGGCGGCACAAGCCUUUCAGUGUACAAUUCAAUAGCAGCUCAAUAUGUAAACUAACAAAUCAACCUAGUUUCCCAGUUCAUAAACAGGUUGCAGAUUAUAGUUAUGAAAUUAUUGAUGUGAUUACAGAAUAUGAACUCAGGCAAGUAGGUGGAAUUUAAAGCACCUGUAACAAUUGGGAACAAAGGUGAUCAAUUAGAAGUCCACCAUGCAUUUCAGAGUCGAACUUGAUGGCCCAAUUAACCCAGACACAACCAGCACAAACAAUCAAAUUAGUUAAACUGAUGUAUAAAAUCAGUAACAAUUGGGAACAAGCCUACAAUGUAUAAUCACAUGCAGUUUCCAGGACUGCAACAUCACUGAAUUUGAACAACAGUUUUCAAUAGAAAUCCAGAAUUGAUGCGGUGCACAUGCAAACAGUAUGUUACCAUUUCACCUUACAUCAGAUUACAGAUCCAGUUGCUUAUAUGUGUCUCGUGAGUUUCAAGAUAGAAUUAAGGCGAUGGCUUCGGUUGCUACCCUUAAGGGAUUCUGCUAGCAGCUAACCUGAUUAGUACUUCAGUCGCAGAGAACCACAAAUAGCUUCAUACAAAAUACUGAUAUCCAGUGCCGAAGAAACCUAAUCUCUGAGAAAGAAGCAAGAAUUAUGUGUAAGCUAGUGUAAAUCCUUUGGGAUUCUUUUAUGGGAAAAAUUAUGAUCUAACAAGAUCCUACAAUCACUAAUUCUUUCAGAUACAAAUAACUUGUUAGCAACACAGCCAACGAAAAAAAAACUUCCUUUACUAAAAAAGGUAAACUGCUUGGACAAAUGAACUUCAAUGGUAACUUGAGCAAGAAACACUUACAAUAUUUACUUGCAACUCGUAGUGAGAGUUACUUUGAAGUUCUGAAGUUUGCCAGACUCGCAAGUACAUCUGCAAUAGCUCCUUCAUUCUUAUGCUUAUUUGUCUGAAAAUAUAUAAAACAAAAAAUUUUCAUGUGACAUGUUCGAGGGAUCUGACGGUUUAAAAGGAGUAACUCCUCGAAAGUAAAACCAUGACAAACAUACAACUAAAUAAAAAAGCGCUAAGCGCUCGCCUAGGUGCCCACCAAAGCGAAGCAAGGCGCUCCCGAGUAUUAUAAUUAAAAUCAUAUACAACUAAAUAAAAAUAUGCUAAGCAUGUUUAUGAAGAUUUGUCUUAAAAUUAAACUGCUUUGUACACUUGUCAUUAAUUCUAAAACCUAAUAUAUAAUUUUAAAACAACAAAGAUUAGAGAUUUAACAAUCUAUUAUUAACAGUAUAUUAUUUAAUGUUAACAAUAGUUAGAGAGGAGAAAAAAACCAUUAAUAGUAGCAGAGGGGGGAGAAAAAAACAAGCUAGAGAAAAGUGUCACCAAUAGUUGACAGUAGGGAAGGAGAAGACAGCGGUGACAGAGGAAGCUGUGGACGACAGUAGUAGCGGUGGAGGAAGCUGCUGAUAAUAGUUGCAGCAGCGGAGGAAGCUACUGAUGAUAGCUGCGACAGCAGCGGAAGCUGUGGACAGCAGCGACGAAAGCUACGGACGACAACGUCGUGGAUAAAGGAAGCUUCCGAAGUAUAUGUCAGUCGUGGAGGAAGCUGCGAUCCUCUCCCUCGACGGUAGGAAUUGCCAACGGCGGUGGAAGGAAGCUAUGGACGAAGGCUAAGCAGUCAGAUCUGUUUGUCAGCAACAGAGGAGGCUUCGGUCUACUGCGUCUGCAGCGGAGGCAACGGCAAAAAGCGUUGGCGACGGAGGCACGAGCGCUCUCUAGGGUUGAUUGGUCGAGGUCACACGGGCGUGCGAGGUGGCUUUUGCAGGUAAGAAAGUGGUUAGUUGAUUCAAUCGAACCAAAUAACCACUAUUGAAUCAAACUAGACUUAAAAAGUCUAGUUCGAUUCAACUAUUUGAACCGAGCGCUCGCCUAAGUCAUCCUACGCCUGGGUUUGGGCAAGCACCCAAGCGGCACCUCAUUGAAGCGCGCUGCUGGUGCAUUGUUGAGGAGCUUGGGCCUCGGCUCACCCAAGCGCCGAGGCGAGCUCCCAAGCGCCCAUUUAAAUCACUGGUAAGUGGCAAAGGCAUAAUUUGAUCCCAAGAUCUUGCUAUCAACAAUCAAGGUCAGUACUUCUAGCUAAGCUAGUUGACAACUUCUAUAUAUGCCUUUUUGAUCAUGUGGAAUGUGAAGGAUAUGUAUAUACUAAAUUACCCAUGCAACUUCCAAAACCAACUAAUUCCUUUUUCCACAAGCAAAGAAUAAAAGUUUCACUGUGCAGCAGAAGCUUCAAUCAUAUUUUGUAACAUAAUAUGUUCUUAGAAUUCUUAUCAAGCAUCAUGGCUAAAUAAACAUAUAUCUAUGUUUAGUAGCAACAUUAAUCUUAGAAAAAACAAAACCAUCGAUAUGAUAAUCUUAAAAGAAAUUCCAAUUUACAUUAAAAAGACAGAUCUGACCUUUAAAGAAGGUAUUAGCGCAUAAACUUCAUCAAGGGUCUCAGGAUCAACAUUUCCAAUCAUGCAUAUCUGUAUCAAAAUUGAAAAGAAAACCUCAGAGGGCAUGACACUGGGUCAAAAAAGGAGGAGAAGAAGAAGGACAAAGAACAUUAUAGUUGAGCUCCAAACCUCGCCAUCAGUAACCCCAUUCUGUUUCAAAGUCCUAGAACUUAAGUUAAUGGCCAAACAGGCAGUUUGUUCAGUUGGGCAAGUGACAAAGUACACAACAUAACUUACUAAAGCAAGUUCAACCAAAGGAUACUCUAAAACUUGUCUCACGGACUGAACAUUCGUGUAGUGAGCAUUGAUUUUGGCAUACUGCAAAGCUUUGCUAAAUGACCUGAAAGAAAAAAAACUGAUAUUUAAAAAGUUCUUUACCAGUAAGAAAAAUUAGGAAGGACGAUGCCUGAAGAAGAAAGUUAAAAUCUAAUUCCUAGACCAUUACUCAGGCAUUUUUAUCUUUGGAUCAUCUGAUAAAACAGUCAUGUGUCCCUGGAUUUCUUGUAAAACUUCUGCUGCUUCGCAAUCCAUCAACAAUCUAGCCCCCUUUAGAAGUUCUGCAAGUCAAUCAACAAAUAAUCUAUAUUUCUAGAAGUGUCUAGCUGGGAAUAGAUGUUUAGAAUAUCAACAGUAAUGACAAAGUUCCAACUUAAAAUAAACUAUCAGCAUAUGAUUAAGUCUGAUGUUCAAACAGAAAAAAAAAGGUUAUUAUAUAUCUCUUUUGCCUGAUUGAUUCAAAAUCUUUUUCUAGUCCAAUAUUGAUAAGUUGGAUUUGUGGAACCAAAAACUCCAAAUUAAGCUUACAAGCAUCAUUAUGUUUUACAUCAUCAAAAAUAUAUACUAGGUGCAUUUAUGAAGCAAGGUUACUUCGACACCUACAUAACUAAUCAGCUUUGGAUAAUGCCCUAUAAUGCUUAGUAGGACAUAAUCUGAUUCCAUAAAUAGAAUGUCAACUUCACAUUAAAAAAAUAUUCAUGAUAGCAUAUGUUUUGAAGCCAAAGGGAAUAAUGUAAAUCAAUUUACCAGUCAUGGCAUAAUAUAAUGACAACUAUGGAUGGUAAAACAAACCUAGUAUUUUUCUUAAUUAAAUCAUUUUAGUUUCUACUUUAAAAAAGUGAGUUAUAUAUAUGUACAAAAAAAACCUCAAUAUGAAGGAAGAUAUGCAUAUACACUGUGGAUUGUUCAUGGUUUCCUUCACAAUAUAUGUAUGUGUACGUAUAAAACAAGCCUUGACAAGAAAGGAGGCUACAUACAUGCUUGUAGAUAACAAGCCUCGAUAUGAAUUGUGAUGGAUCCCUUCCUAAGGUUCUCUUCGACAGACACCUUAUAGUUCAGGAUUGUGGUAAAAAGAACAUAGAGCUGACAAUUAGGAAAAAACAAUAGCACCUGACCAAAUAAGGUUGGGAGUCUGAUUGGACCUUGGUUCUAUGGUGGCUUAAAAUAGAAGAUAUGGAAAGCACAGAGUAUAGGUAAACAUGAUGUCUAAUAACUCCUAAAGUUCCCAAUAGCUAGCAGAAAUCAAACACACUAAAAGCAUUAAAAAAAAGAGAUAAGAACUGAAAAAGAUAGAACAACUUUGCUGAUAACAAGAACCAACCUAGUUCAAGUUUCAAUUCCACUUCUGUAACCAGGGGCUUUAUUGGUGUUGCUUCUGGUAUACUACCCUUUCCACCAGCCUUUCCUACACUAAAACCUUUUCCUCCUUUUCCCAAGUCUCCUGCAAAGUUAAACAUGACAAAGAACUUAUUUUCACCUGAAAUUGUUCAAGGAAAGUAGAACAACACCUCCUGAGAUUUUGUCAAUAUGUGACAUGAAAAUUUAUAUAAAUAACCAAAGAGGUGCAAAGGCAAACCUUUAGCAGUUGGUGUAUCAAACGAUGUCUUCCCACUUGAUUUCAGACUUCCAAAGGAGACUUUCUUCUUACCGGAUUUCUGUUCAGCUGAUGAUUUUUCAUUUGCAUUUAAAGAAGUUGGAACUUUUUCUUCAACAAAACCUAAGAAUUAAUGGCCAAAAGUGAGCAGCAAAUAGUUUUAAGUAUACAUAUAAAUUGGUCAAUGCUAUUUGGAAAAUUUCCUACUCCUCACUCGGUUGACACGAUCUGAGGCACAUUACUCAUAACCAAAGAGCAAAAACUUUUACAGUUUACAUUUUGCCUUGCCUUCUGUUAUUUGGCAAACAUUCAUACAACUUAUUUUAUCCAAAUUGCCACAAGUUGCAACACAAAUCAGGCCUAUUAAUUGAAUGAACACUGCUCAGGAUGUUUACCCAUAAAGCAGAUAACGAAAUCAGGACAUGUACCCAGUGCUGAUCAACAAACUAGGAGGCACCAACUUGGUAAGUGUGAUGUGAAAACAACAAAGAUGGAUUACUAGGAACACAUCCAACAUCACAUAAUUUUAGUUUCAACUUCCAGCUAUAAAAUCAGUGGUUAAGUAAAUUUAUAAAUACUUUAACCCAACUGGUUUGCACAAAUCUCUCAUUUCGGACCAUAAAGUAUUAAUUAGAACCAAGAGGAUUUCAAUUCCGAUGAUAGUCUAUUCUCCCUUUCCCAAUGAUGUGGAGAUGGUCAAAACCAGAAUGUUGUAAGAUAUAUGGCCCUAUCAGCACAUGCAAGCACAUUGCUAUGCUGGACAUUUAAGAUACUGAAUAGUUGAUUAAAAAAUAGCAAAUGCAUUUUGCACUAAACAAAGAAAAACUUUAUAUAUAAAUGCUGUUAAUUUCCUUUUAUUGGAUGUGUCAUUUUUUGAUAUCCAAGAAAUGAUAAAAUGACAUCAAAACUAUGAACUGUCACGGACAAAACUAUAAACAGGGGGUUUAAUGUAAUGCUCAUGUAUGUCCGUGUCUUUUGGUUUGUUCACGCUUUGCGCAACAUGUAGCGGGACGGUCGAAGGCUUAACAACCCUAUUUUAGUUGGGUUUGGUAGUCGUUUUAGGCUUGUAAAUAAAUAUUAUGUCAUGUGAACAUUUGUGAGAGAUCUCGGUCUAUAAUGGAUCAUUUUGGAUCCUUUGUUGUGCGAUCGUUCAGAGCUUGUGAAGUCUGUUUGUAAUUUGUAUUGGUUAUGGAGUAUUUUCUUGAAUGUUUGCUUGUGAAUCUCGAGUGAGGCGUUUUCUCUAACCUGUUUUCUUUUUGUAGGUCCUAAGGGACCAUGGGAGGUUUCGAGGGGAUUGACCUUUGCGGACGGACAUGCAAAGGUGCCGCACGACUUAGGCAAAACCAGUUAAGUUCGUGACAGAACGGAAACUUCAUCCAUCAAAUUAGCCCUUCGAAAGGACUAGAGGCAACAGCUUGACGUGUACCUUUAGCUGCAAGGCCCUCAUCUUGCUGUUGAGAACAGGAAAUUUUCAUCCCAUUUACUAUCGCAACUAACAAACAACAUUUGUAUUUAUCCUAGUUAGAGAAAAUCUACAUAAAAAAUGAAAACUAGAGGACUGGAAAAAGCAAAAAAAAAAGUCAUCAACCUUCAAGCUCAGAGUCCGAGGAGUCAAUUUCAAUAUGUGUUGACUCGUCCAUAGCACCACUGUUAUUUCCUUUGAGUGAUCCUGCAUGCAAAAGGUUGCUUUAGAAAGUGUCCAAGCACAAGAAGCUCAUCUCAAUCAAGGCAGAGUCCAAGUUAAUGAAUAUUCUCACAGGUCAAGGAUCAUAGUACAACUCCAAGUAGAAGGUAGUCAUAUACGUACAAAGGAUCUUCCAGUAAGAGAAACUACACAAUACAUAAUCACGUCAUGAUAGAUUUCAUAUUAAGGAAUUGACCAAAGCAUACAGUGACAAGGGCCACAAGGAGGAAGGGGUGUGCAUAUCUGUACUCCAGACUGUUAUUAUGCUGGAAAAUUUUACUUUUUCUUUAAGAAAUAUAACAGCACAAAAAGCCAAAGGAAGAUUCUUGCAAGGCUACCUUCUCAAGAUGACAAGGAAUACAUUGACUUCUCAGUUAAAGUGGUUUCAUUACAGAGAUAAUAGUUUAAUUAUAUAGAGAAAUAAGUAAAACAAUUGUAUCCUUUCAUCAAGAAGACAAUGGAACAUCAACCCAUUAUUUAGCUAACAGUGGCUAUCAACUUACAAAUAACAAGGUACUAACACUGAAGAAUGCAGACAGGAAGUCAGCUAGCUUAUGAGAUAGAACAAAUCAUAGAGAUAAAGCACAAGGUUUAAUAGUUCUCGACGACCAACCACUGGACGAAAAGGAAAUAAUAGACUUAGGUUUAAUAGUUCUUCCAACAUAACCUGAUUCGGAAGCAAGCAUACGUAAAAAUCGGAUCGGAUUGCUUCAAUCUUGCUUCAAAAUAUGACCAAGAAAAGUACGAAAAGGAAAAUGUCCGACCUUGCUUCAAAGGCGCAGCAGCCUUCCCUCUCGGGAGGGGAGACCCAUUUCCCCCUUUCUCUGCCAUCGAUGUAGAAAGAGAAAGGGAUUCUUCUCCGGCUAAGAAAUAGCGCUCGAUCUGAUCUCGGAGAUGAGGGCUCAACCAAUGCGGCGAAGGAUCCGAAUCGAAUCGAAGACCGGUGAAGAGCGACUCCUCAAACCGUAGGGCUCACUUCCGCCACCUGCGUCCACCGUGAGAUGAGACAGGCGUGGCUUCUAACGAUAACAGAGCGAUAUAUAUAUAUAUAUAUAUAUAUAUAUAUAUAUAUAUAUAUAUAUAUAUAUAUAUAUAUAUAUAUAAGGUUAAAAAUAAUUAAAAAUACAUUCAUGUAAUUUAAGUUUCACAGUGAAAUCAGUCAAACUUAUUAAACCAAAUCGGUCAACGAUGCUACAGUAUUUCUAUCAUUAAACUAACAAAUACUAUAUCAAUAAUAAUUAACUUAAAUUCUCGUAAAUAUUAAUUAUUAACUUUAUUAUAUGUAUUAAAUAUUCACAAAAUAUUUCAUUCAGAUCUUGAAUGGAAAUUAAGAAUAUUUUGAUAUAUUUCAAAACAAAAGGAUGGUAAAUCCUUUUUUUUUACAUGAUAAUCAAUAAUAAAAUUUUAAAAUUUUCACUUUGUCUUGAAUUUAGAUGUAUAUAUUUUAUAAAAAUAUUAUUAUAAUAAUAAUUAUUUGUUACGAACCAAUGUUAGUAAAAUCAAAUCAUUUUUUGUAUUGGUAUCGUACUAUCUUUCGUUUGUUCAUACUCUAGUAACACGUUUGUUUAUAGGGAUCUUUUGUCAUCGAAGGUAAGUGAUGAAGGAGAGGAGACAUGACUCGUAAAUUCAUGGAGCGAGGGCAAUCGUCAAUUUAACAGAAAUAAAAUAAAAUAAUACUUUCACACGAAUAUUAUGUGAGAAUUUUUAAAAAUUAAAAAUAUUAUAUAAAUGUUUUUUAAAAUUAUAUUUUUUGAAAAUUCAUCCAUAAAUCAUUCAGUGAAAUCAUACCAAGCAGUUGUCAGAUACCACUGCAGAAUUCUCUGCUCUGUGAUAAGAUUCUUCAUGCAACCCAACAACUAAAAUAUAAUAUAUUGGUUGUCACUGCUACAAGUUUAUCUUUCAAUCACAGUCUCUCUGAUAAGGACAUAUUAACUCCUAAUCUCCAUCUUUUUUGGUUUCUUGUACUUAUUUGUAGCUAUCUACCUUAUUACAUCUUCACCUCAUGUGUUAUUAAUUAGUCUCAAAUCUCAUCAAGCAUGCAGUGAAACCACCAUAGAAGCAUAGAUUUCUACUCCCACUAAUUUAAUCUGCCCUGUAGCAACAUUAUCUUCUGCUUAAUCAAGAUAUAUGAAGCUCUGAAUGUCAAGAUGAUCAAAUUUCAAAAGCAAUUAUCUCCAACACAAACACUUCUCCAAAUCUAAUUGCCAAUGCACACACAGUGUUGGUAAAAUGAUGUGCUAUUCUGCAUGGAGACAAAUGGUGCAGUGAACAUGAAAAGGAAAUCUUUUGACACAAUGCACUGAGAGCUUUCUGUCUUGACUUGAACUGCAGGGGAGAAAGCAUUCAUCACAGGAAAAGAGCCCUGCAACUCUCACUGUCACUGGAAGAAGCUGUGACUUUGCAGGUGCAUGGCCACCAAAUCACCACCAUUCAUGGUGCUUUAAGAGCCACAUGGAUGAAGAUCUGAAGCACCUGAGCUCAGGAUCAUGAGCCAUUAUGAAGAGGGAGAGGGGAAUUAGGUCAGACCAUUGGUUGGCAUGCUUGCUUCCACAUAAGAACAUGCCUUUUUGCUGGACUCUUCCAUGAUCACCAUGACCUUUUCCUUCACUUCAUUUGUAUUGAGGCCUCGAGCUGAAGAAUGUUGUGUGGCUCAACUGGCAAUAAGCAUCCCUUGCAAAUUAAUGUACAUAGUAAAGAGAGUUAAAGAGUUUUUUGUUUUGCUACUUAAGUGAUUAGAUUCCAAGUUAUAUAUUAACAUUCUUUUAAUCUCAAUACCAUUUAAUAUUGAAUGAUUUAUAUGUCAGAUAUUAAAAUAUUUUGUUUUUAUAAUAUUAAUUAAUAUAUAGUAUGAUAGGAGGACUAAUUAUAUAUUACCUCAUCCAGUUAGUUAUUUUUAACACCUCGAUCUGUACACUUAAAAAAAAUUAUAUUGACAUCAUUAUAAUUACGAAAGUAAAAUAUCUAAAUAUAUUUAUCAUAAAUAUAAUGUUUAUAUAGUUAUAAUGUUAGGAUAAAUGGGUUUAAAUAUUUUAUUUUUAUAAUUAUAAAGAAUAUAAAUAUAAUUUUUAAGAUAUAAAAAAUAAUUAACUAAAAAAAUAUAUAUAUAAUUAGCAUCACAUAGGAUGAUCAAAAUCUGGAAAGGUGGAGCCCUUGCAAUUUAAGGUGGAGUCACAUGAAUCUUAACCCAAAGCAAUGUGGUUGAGUCAACCACAAAAAAAGAAAAGCUUCGAGAUUAAGGCUGUGUGCAUAGAAGCCAACAAAAGGAGCUCAUUUACCUCUUGCGACUGCCCCCACAGUGAACUGUGAAUGCUAUGCCACUUUGCCUCUCUUUUACCUCCCACUAUAAAUACCUUCGCUUUCUGUUCCGCCUCCUGUGGUGUCUCCCUGCCCUGCUUGCCCUUCUCCGCCGGCUGAUCCUGGAUUGCCCUGGGCCAUCGAGAUCUCGCCGGGAUCCGUGUCGCCGACGACCCGAACCUGGCCGGAAAUUGCCGUCGAUCUCGCCGGAACCAUGGCUUCCGGCAGAUUCAUGGCCUACUCCCCUUCUCCCUCCACCGCACCGCACUCCCCCCACAUCCCUGGCAUCCGCUCCGCCACCGGAGCCUUCGCCGAGCAGGAGAAGUAGGGCGCCUCCUUUUCCUCUCAAAAUCCCGGCUUUUGUUGGAAAAUGGUUGCUCCUGACCUUGUUUGGUCUUCGAUCGUCUCCUUUUUCUUGUUUCAUCGACGAUCCAUCCAUAGCCUCGAACUUCCUCUUUCUUUUGUCCUGAUCCUUAAGGGCUCCUCUUAUGCGGUUUUUGGACGAUCGGAUAUGUCGCUAACCAUCUUCUAGAUUUCUCCACUCUAAAGCUGAGAUCUUUCAGAUGCCUUUUACAUCCUUGUUUGUGGGUUGGAUUCUGGAUUAUCGUCAAAUAUGAUAAAUUUUGUUUAUUUCCGUGUCCUAAUGUCUAUUUACUGAGUUCUACAAUUAUUUGCAUUAUUUUCCAUGAUCCUUCGGAUGUCCUUUCUUUGCAAGAUCUGUUAAUUUCGACUAGGAUUAUAGUGUAGAUUUUCAGUUGACGGGUCGUUCUUUUUCUGCAUAAAGGAAAGUGUUGAGACUCCCAAGAUCGUGACAAAGGGCUAAUUGAUAAUUUGCAGGUAUCUCUCAGAGUUACUUGCUGAGCGUCAAAAGCUGAGUCCUUUUGUGCCCGUGCUUCCCCAUUGUUAUCGUCUACUGAACCAGGGUGAGAUUCAUAAUUUAACUUCAGUAAUUUCAGAUGCAUCAGGAUGUUGCUUUUGUUCUUCUUGAGACCUUUCAAUCUUCCUUUUCGAAAUGCCUUGCUUAUUGCUCUUAAGAGGAUUUUGUCUGAACAUUCUGAUGGUGCAUUACCUUAUGAGUUUGUUUAUUCCGUAGUUCUUUGCAUUUCUUUUGGCUUCAUUGCAUGGAAGGACACAACUGACGAGUCUCGUGUGUUAAUCUAUUACUAAAUUCUCCUUCAAGAUCAAAAUCAACUAAUCAGUAACAAGUUAUUGUGUGGUGGUAGAUGUCACGCACACACAACCUCACUCGCUCAUACGUAUUCUUACUUCAUUUUGCUUUUAGCAUCUUUGUCCUUCUUUCAUUGCCUGAAAACGCUUUGUCUUCCUGAAAAUUUACUUGUCACUAGAUCACUUUGCUAGCCUGUUUAUAAGUCACUAUAAUCAUUGGCUGUGAGCUGUGACCAAGUUAAGAAAGCCAAGGUUCAUUAAGAUAACUUAACCAAUGCAGAGAAUUAUUAGAAUUGUCUCUUUCAAUCAUAUUAAGUUGUCAAUAAUCAGUACCUUUUGCAGCAGUAGAACCUCCAAUGGGCAGGCCGAAAUUACUUUGGGACCUUGGCAUGGAAGCAUUGAGGUCAGGGAUUACUAUCAUGUUUGACAUAAGAGACACUCCCAUAGCUUUUUGGACAGUGGCCUCCAAAUUGAUAUGAGAUGGCAUGGAAGCUUAAGAUUCCUUUUAGAAUAAAAGCUGCAAGCGUACUGUCGGUAAAAAAAAUCUUGCCAUGACUAUAAUAAUUGAAAAAGAGCAGAUGAUGCCUCUUCUAUGCUCAGGUGCUUGGGCAUAUGUUCUCCCAAGGAGGGCAUGAACUUCUCUUGUCCUAACACUACUUUGGGAAGGAUGUGUUUUACAUUUUUGUGCUGUGUGGUCGAAGAUCUGUUGGCAAACAUAUUUUCUAGAGGUAUCUUCCUAUUCUUCUAGGUUGUUUGGUUCAUUAUGUUAUGGGUUUGUGAUUUUGAAUGAGAAAAUUUUUGCACUAACUGAUUGUUAUUAUUAGACUGAUGAUCUUUAUUGUAGCAAAUAAACAUGAGACAUUAAACAGUUAACAGAUACAAACAUCAGUCUAAUUGUCUAAAUAUUUAUAUCUGAACAUGCAAAAACAUAAUAGUUAAGCAUUCAUUUUUUAUAAAAAAACAUGAACUAUAGCUGCAAAACAACGAUAAAAGAGAAAUUAUUGAAAACCAGAACUUUUUCACUAAGGGCCAUCAAAACUUCUUAAGUUGACUAAAAGCCUAGAAACUUUCUUAAGUUUACUAAAGCCUAUGAACUUUUUUUGUAAAGUAGACGAUGCCUGCAGAUCAUCCAAUUCUCUAGCUAUGUAUCUCUAAUUCUCAAUGGAAGUUCCAUACUUCAAAACGGAAAAAAGCGCCUAUGAACUUUCUUAAGUUUACUAAAAGCCCACGGGCAUAACUUAUGUUAUGUUGUUAUGAUACAAAAAUGAAUGAUCGAAGCAUACAAGAAGGCAACCUUAACUAUCUACCCUUUGGUCCAAUUAAUUGAAUGACUUUAAUCGUCUUAGUUUUUAAGCUCAAUAAAAGGUGGAAGUAUUAAAAAAAGACCAACUUUAUCAACCGUCUGUUCCAACUAUUGUGAUCAUUUCAACGUCUUAGUUUGUAAAUCUUGUCAUUGUUUUAUGGCUUGCAUUGGAAUAACUUGUACUCGUUUGAUGAUUCAAUUAAGAAUUUGUAGCAUGUAGCUGACAGUGUUAGUCUGGUUGUAUACUGAUUGUAAACUAACCAUUUGUUUGAGCCAUGUCUGUACAUUUACUGAUUACUAAUUUAUUAACAAAUGCUAACCUAUACAUUUUAUGCUUGAAAUUGACAUUUUGAAGCAGAGAUAAUACGUGUUACAAUGCUCUUGGGAAAUGCAUCUCUUUUAGAUCAAAGUGGGCUUGAAUAUGGUAGCCCAAUGACUACUGGAGGAUUAUUUUCAAAUGGAGGAGCAAAUGAUAUGAAUGGAUGGGCAUCACCCUUCCAAUCUGAAGUAUGGAUACUAACCAUUAACAUAAUUCCCUUUUUAACUAAAUCUGCUGUUUAAAGAAGCAUUCUUGAUGUUUCAUGCUAACUAGAAUUGACUUCUUGUUUGACUUUUACAUCUUGAUUUAUUUUAACACUUUAUUCUAACUUGCUGUUUCCAGUUCUUUGUGUUCUUGAACUAAUUUCAGUAUCUAUUUCAGAGCUGUAUUUAUUUAUGUUUAUUUGGCUGUUACAAUCCUGUAUGACUACCAUAAGUCCAUCACAUGAUGUGUGGACCCUUUUUGUCUUAGGAUUGCUAAUUCUGGAGGUAGUUAAACUUGUUUGCCUGAUGUUGAUUUGAAUUGUCAUUCAAUGGUGUUUUGAAUUGAUCAACAGUCUAAUCUCUUCAAUAAUUAUCAUGGAUUUUAUUAAUGCAUAGUAAUUACUCUUGAUCGGUGUAGCUUGAUCGUCUGGAUUCCUCCUGCAAGCCUUGUAGCAAAAUAUUAGUCUCCAAAAUGUGCUUAAGGCCUCUUAUUGAUUUUGCAUAAAUGCCAUUUCAAACUUGAAAGUCACAUAAUAAAUUAAUAUUCAUUAUGGAGAAGCUAUUGUCUAAAUUUAUUUAUAUUAUGCAAUAUCUUACAGAAAUAGAUUUUGAAAUUUAAAUUUGAACUCUUUACCUACUUAUUAUGUACCGCACUACACUGUUGUCUUUGAUCUUCACGCCCAUCCAAUCUUAAAAUCUUUCCACACAAAAGACAUAUUUUUAAUAAACUAUGCAUCUCCAAAUCUGUUAUUUCAUGUGUAUUGUACUUUCUUUCAUUUAAACAAUUAGAUGUAAUGUGCAGAGGAUGGGACUGGUGCAGCCUUCUUCUGCACAUAGUUGGCUUGGCUCUGAAGGUAGCUCCUCAGGUCUUAUUGUGAAGAAAACCAUCAGGGUUGAUAUUCCUAUAGACAAAUUCCCUACCGUAAGUUCUUUCUCUUUGCUCAAGUCUGAGCUUUAUUACAACUCAAACCCACAAGGUAGUUCUAGUUUUUUCCUCUUUUUCUCAGUUCAAUUUUGUUGGGCGGCUCCUUGGUCCUCGAGGAAACUCCCUAAAGCGAGUGGAGGCAAAUACUGAUUGUCGUAUACUGAUUAGAGGGAGAGGAAGCAUCAAAGAUCCCACCAAGGUAAACCAUGGUUACAUAUUUAUGUAUCUGAUUUUGCAAUAAUCCAUGGUUACGUAGAUGUGUAUCUGCCUCAUCAACUGAUCACCACUCCAAGGUUCCAAAUAUAUGGAAAGGAACAUUUUAUGUAUUAAAAAGAUAAGUUCCAUAGUCAGUUUUGACCUUGAUAUCAUGUUAAAUUGUUCUUUUGGAUUGUUCGUGUAAAUAUUAUCGUUCAACAAGUUUAGAAGGUAUGGUUAUAUGAGGAGACUGACUGAUUCUCUUAUCAUAUCUGAUGAAUACUACUCAACUGAGUUUUCAUAAAAAUGCCAAGAUUUAACAUCCAGAGCUUAGUUGUAAAUUUUCAUCUUUAUACUGUCCCUUUGUUCAUGUUCUUUUUCUUGUUUGUGUCAUAUGAAUGAGAUGCUACAUCAUGUUCUGCAUCUUAUUAACCUGUUCUGGUAUCCAUUUGAAGUUUAUGUCUGUUCUUUAUUCUUCUCUGCCUGUGCCAAUUACCUUGGGCUCAGUAUCCUGUUUGGUCAAGACUGUAACCUUGCAACUUGAAUUGUCUAUAUUUGACUGCUACUAUUUCGGUGAUAAUUUCUGUAAGAGAAGGUUAUUAGUGGGAAACCAGCAUAUGGACAUUUGAAUGUCUUGCUUAGUAUGGAAUCUACAAAUGUAUGACUGUUCUGUUUGUGCUACUUGUAGGAGGAGAUGAUGAGAGGAAAACCAGGAUAUGAACAUUUGAACGAGCCACUUCAUAUACUGGUAGAGGCUGAACUGCCAGCAGAAAUUGUUGACACUCGUCUGAUGCAAGCUCGUGAAAUCCUUGAAGAUUUGUUAAAACCCGUGGUAUAUUAUUUCCCAUCCCAAAUUUGAGUUUACUUGACAUCCUAAGAGUUUUGCAUAUCCUUUUUCAUUUCUCUCUAUCUUUUCUUUUAUUCAGGAGGAGUCACAAGAUUUCUUUAAGAAGCAGCAGCUACGAGAGCUUGCCAUGAUCAAUGGCACACUACGCGAGGAAGGGGGGCACAUGUCCGGUUCCGUCUCCCCCUUCCACAGUAGUCUCAGUAUGAAGAGAGCAAAGACAAGGGAGUAACAUGUUUGCCGAUUGGUAGGUCCUCUAUGUGGGGCCAUAUUCUACCUGCCUGCGGCAGCUAGUUUAUGUUGGGAUUGCUUGCCAGCAAGCAAUGCAUCCCCAUCGGAGGCGCUGGCACCAAGGUCGGUUCUAGCUCACUUCGUCGGUGUGUUUUUCUUCAGUUGGUGGGUUUGGUGAUAAUUAUGCAAUACCUAAUGUGAGAAUGUGUCGCUUAGCAAGUUGGGAAACUAGGGUAUGUCAUUGCAUGUGCUUUACUGCCAUGCAUGAAUUAAGGGGAAAUCAUAGAUGAGUACAUUGGUUCUGAAUAAUCUGAGUGUGUCCUCAAAAUGCUUUUGUAGUAUUCUGUAUGCAUGGUUUUAUCUUAUCGAAGACUCUGGUAACGGCAAUAUAUAAAUUAUUUCGUUAGCUACAAAACCUGAUUUAGUUCCAACUUGUCCCAUUCUAGAUUCUGGUGACAUGAUCUAUUAUGGAUGCCAUAGAUCAAGUUUACACCAAGAAUCUCUCAGGAGUAGUUUGUUAUGCUUAAUUGUUGGUGAUCCAUAGUCUGCCUUUGGUAUCUGGAGAUUGUUGUUGUAAUCGUAUAGUCAGGAAUUCUAUGAAUCUGUGCCUGUGGAUGCUACUAGAGUUGGAUUAUUCUUUACAUGUUGUUGGCUCAAGAUUAACGAUUGUGUGUGCUACAUUCAGUUCAUAUUUAUCAUGGAAUGCAAUCCAAUAUUGCUUCUAGCAGUUGGUAGAGAUUUUGAUUUUAUAAUAGCAAGAUGUUGGAGUCGAAGUUCAAAGAAUUUUUUUAGGUUGAUUCAAAUUUAUGCUUAUAUUUAAAAAUAAAAAAAUAUUAUUAAUAUUUUAUUCUAACUUAUUAUGAUAAUUUUGAUUAUAAUUUUAGGAAAAGAUAAUGGAACCAUUUUAGAAGGGAAAUUCGGUUAAUGCGAAUAAAAAAUUGAGUUUUAAGGGAUAAAUGCGAAUAAAAGAAAAAAAAAACACAUUUAUGGAAUAUUAGAAAAAGAACAGAAAGUCCAGCUCGCAAAAUAAUCAACGGUUCUGAUGCAUCCACAACGAUCAAUCUUUUGCUCUGCUAAAUCGGACGGCGCAAAAGGAGAGGAAGUGAGCAGUAGUACACCAUAGACGGGUUUAAGCGCUCGUCUCCACGAGUGCCCAACCUUUCGGUUUUGGAACCCUAACGGGGAGCUGUUGUCGUCUGCCUCCUCUUCUGCCUCCGUUGCCUCGCCACCUUCCCGAUCCAGGAUGAAGCUCGUUAGGUGAUCGAUCUGCUCGUCUUCCUCUUCGCUGUGGUGCUUUUAUGAUCUUUGAUGUAUCUGUUUGUGAUAAAUCUUUUGCUAGGUUCUUGAUGAAGCUCAACAACGAGACCGUCUCGAUCGAGCUCAAGAACGGUACCGUUGUCCACGGAACCAUCAUAGGUACGGUUAUCUCCUUUCUGGUUCGAACUAGGGUUUUGGGUGAAAACCAACCAACUUGCUCAUGGAUCUCUGCUCUCGGUUUAAGGUCUUGAAUCUUAUCUCGCUAAUGAAGGAAAAUGCCUUUUUUUCUGGUUUGAUUGCAUCAUUUGGUUCAUUAGGAGCAUUUUGUCAUAGAUUACUAGUUUCUGUCGCCUUUAGAUCUGAGAUGCAUAAGGACGGCUUGUUAAAUCUUUGCUGUGGCGGUCCAGUAUGUCCAAAGUUUUAGAAGUUCUUUUGACUUUGAAGGUGAUGGACUAACUUAUUACUGAUGUAGAGUAGAUGAUGAAAGUAAUGCUUUAUGCCCCCGAUCUUUGUAUUUUGCCCUAGUGAAAAGGGUUAUUAUUGAAGUAGAUGAUGGAAAUGUGGUUUCUGGUUGUAAUGCUAUUUGACUUGAAAACUCAAAAUUGAUUAUGUUCUUGCCCAGUAGCUUAUUUUCAUCUUUUUUUCUAACUUGUCAUCUUUUAUCUAAGGAAUCCAGUGAGUGCUAGGUUACGGGGAAUUUUCUAUUUGGGGAAUUUCCCACUUGAGGACUAGAAGUUAUAUAUAUGCUUUUUACAUUAAUUCACGAUUUUUUUUCCUGGAAUUGAUUCAUCAGUUACUUUCCCUUUAAUCUGCUUAGUGGUUUGCUUUGACAUUCAAACUGUUAUUCAAUAAUCAUGAAAUAUUUAAUUUAAAUGGGGGAUUAUGGAAGGACAAUAAAAGAAUCAAGAUUUCUUUUAAGAUUAGAUGUACUGACUUAUGAGUGAUUGGAGAUGGAUGUAGCAGGAAAAAUGAAGGGGCAAUCUAUGAUUAUCAGUGAGAUGGUGAGUGAAAUUAACUUUUUGUAUCCAUCUAUGCUUCUAAAAACUAACCAUUCUUUGAUGCUCAUUUCCCUUAUUUUCCUGCAGUUGUUAUGAAAAUAUUGUAUAUUUUGUUAAAGUAAUUAAGCCCUAGAAAGUGGAUCAAUUUAUGGGUCCAAUAACUAGAUAUUUAAACAUGUCAUCACUUUCAAAUUUCACUUUUUCAAUUUUAUUAAAAGAGCUACUUCCAGGCAAGUGUUAUGCUUCUUUUGAGCUUGUACUGUUAUCAUAAGAUAUGGGAGUAAGUUACCGUGUGGAAGCUUUUAUCUGAUACUAAAUACUCCUUUUGCUACUAAUUUCAUGUGCAAGUCUCUUCCUCUACACCCUCUUUGAUCUCUCUCAACCAACCUAUUCAGAGUCAUUAUUUUCCAAUUCAAGAUACUUGAAGCCCCAAAGUUUUCUUUUGACAAUGUGCUUUGUUGCUUGAUGAGGACAAGUGAUUUACCUUAUAUGGUUGGAGGUGGAGGCAAGAAGCUCCAAGUCUCUACCAGAUCUCCCUUUCUAUUUUUGUCACUAUUCAUAUUUUAAAUGCAUUAACACUCCCGUAAUAGCCUUUAAACCACUAAAUGUGUCAAUUAUUUCUGGAAGUCAAGACUGGACUUACAACCUUACUGGUUUACUAAGAUUCUUCUGAUUAUAAAAGGCUUCUUAGAACCCUCUUUUGAACUGGCUGGUUCAUCCUUAAGGAGUGAUAGGUGUACUGAAUGAUUUUGGAGAAUUGUAAUUAUAAAAAAAGGAACUUAAACAAUCGACAUGGAUAUCAAAGGUAAUUACAAAAUCUUGAAGGAUUAGUUGUGCUGUUUAUCUAUUGUUGUAUGUGUUUUUUGGAAUGAGUCUACGUUAUUAAAUCUACUGAAGAUGGAUGUGUAUGCUAGAGGAUGGCAUUUUCAUUUUAAAGAAUAGCUCUGAGGAUAGUAGUUAGAAGGGUUACUAAUAUGCUAAACAUGCAUGGCAUUUAUCAUAAUGGGUAUAUGAGGCAUGCAUGUUAUUCAUGCCCGGUAGAUGGGAAUGAAUUCCAAGAAGACUUAUCACUGUGAUCAUAAAUGAAUGACUGCAGCGGUUUGGUGGACCUGCAAUAGGAGAAAUAUCCUGUAUUGGAUGUCUUUGUCAAUGUAACACUUAGAUUGCUAGUUUUUUUGGUGCAUCUGAUGUAUGAUCUGAUAAUAUUUUCAUAUGAUGUUUUAUUUGGUUGAUCUUAUUAUUGAUGUACAACAUUGUUGGCCCAAAGUUAAAGAAUAAGCUCCAAAUUUGUGAAAUGCACGUUAGGUUGUUUGACAUCGAUCUUCAUUUUCCAAGACUUUUCUUGGAAGGGAUUUUACAUUUGUAUACUUUCAAAGUUUGGAAAUAGUGGAUUUGCCCAUACAACUUUUGAUAUAGUACAUUCUACAAGAGAAAUAGAUAUUUUAAGAAUAUAUAUAAAAAAUUGGAAGAAAGUUGAAGGCUUGAAGCUGAUAAGCCUACAUCAUGGUUGGAGCCACAGAGAGAGCUAUCUGAUCUGAUGGGUAUUAUUGUCAGUUGGAGUUCCAACGUCAUUGUGCUAACCACCAACUAAUGGAUAUCAACACAAUGAAAGUUGCAAGUUCUGAUUUUUGUAGGGAUAUACAUGUUAAAACUAAAAUUUAGAGGAGUAAAUGCAAAUUCACUUACUUUGGGAGGAUAUAUAUGCAAUUUUGUCUUUUCCUCUGAGAUUGAUAGGGAACAACAAAAAGCAUGGUAAACAUGUCUAGUAGCUAAGCCUAAUAUGUUGUGAAUAAAUUUGUAUUUAAUUGUUUUCAGUUCAACAGUAGCUCUUGAAAAGUCACUUCUAGGUGCUGUUAACAUGUCGCAGGCACCACAAGCUGCAUCUCGUUUCCAUAUUCGCAGCAGUGCCUUUAUAGGUUUUUUAUAGUAAGAUAUUCAAUCCCUUUCCCUAGUUGCCAUCCUUUCCUCAAGAAUUGGUUUCUGGUGACUCUUGGUUUAGCUUUGUUGAUCUUCCAAAGUUUACAUACAAGGAUAUAUUCUGGGUGUGAGGCAUGAAGUUUAGUUGCAUUUCCUUGUUCCAGAUUAAGCCAUGAACCUUACAGUUGUCACUUAAGUUCAAAUGGUUGAGGGAUGACAGAUGGUAUUGCUUGACGACCCAUUAAAUGCCAAUUCCUAAUUGGUUGCUUCAUUGUAUUCACUGUUGAUUUCAUUCAUGUUUGCAAUCCGGCAUAUCUGAUCCCUUCAUGGUUCUUUCAGGUGUGGAUAUUAGCAUGAAUACUCACUUGAAAACUGUGAAACUCACAGUGAAAGGGAAAAAUCCAGUCACUCUUGAUCACCUAAGCGUGAGAGGCAACAAUAUCCGCUACUACAUCCUGCCUGACAGUCUGAACCUCGAGACACUAUUGGUCGAGGAGACACCUCGGGUCAAGCCCAAAAAGCCAACUGCAGGUAUACUAUAAAUUCGACACAUUCCCUACGCUUAAGCAUUUAUACAACUCAUAGACGAACUUUUGUCUUACUGUGUUUUGUUAAUCUCAAAUCAGGGAGAUCCAUGGGACGUGGUCGUGGCCGUGGCCGUGGACGGGGACGAGGUCGGGGCCGUUAACAGCAUCACUCUCUUCAUAAUUUUUUGCAUCAUCAUCUGUCCGUGUACAAAUAGCCUGCUCUUUAUCGAGAAGUAUCAUUUGGAAGCUUCUCUUCACAAAAUGGCAAGCAGGACUAUCUGUUUUAGCUCUAAACAGCAGUUAAGUUUUUAUCCAGUAGGACCAAACUUUAGAAUCAAGUGAAAAGAAAGAAGAAAACAAGAACUGUGUGCUGUAAGAUUGUUCUGUAUUUGUGGGCUGCACUAGAAUUGUUGUAUUCCUGCUUGUUUGGUUCAUAUACGUUGUUGGUUAUCAGAGACAAAUCUGAGUUCUUGCAGCUGUAGUUUUGCUUCUCGAAGAUGAUGUGUUAUGAGGCUGUUCAUAUUAUUUUCUGCUGUUGUCUCAUCUACGGUUGCUGCUUCUUUAAGUUGAUAUCAUUUGGGAAAUAGCAAAUAUGAUUUAGAGAGGAAAUAGCAAAUGUGAUCAAGAAAGUUGACUCAUUAGCCCCAUCGGUGCUGAAGAUUUCUUGCGUUUGAGAUGGGAUUUGACUGUACGAUUUUUUUGUUCCCAUGGUUUGGUUUUUACAAGACUGACUUCCCCAACGAGGCUCAGUUUUGAUGGUCAAUUAGGAGAACAGUUUAGAAGUAUCAGUUAUGGAACACAUAUGAAGAUGACAAACAUCAUGUAUGAUUUUAAGUGUAUUAGCAAAAGCUUAUCAUUUUAGGACUAAUAAGGAGAAUAGUUGUCACAUCAAAAGUCUUUGAAUUCUUUUUUUGUUUUUUUGCUAGAAAUCUAUCUAGGAACAAACAAGAACUAAACAAAUCAAUCUCGAUCAGGAGAGUGUUAACAAACAGAGUCUUAUCUCCAGUUUUAGAUAUGCUUAUGGAUUUUAUAUGGCUUUCAUAAUAUUGUUUGUAACAAGAGGAAUUAAUAAUUGUCAUAAAGGUGCCCUUCAAAGUUCAAACCCAUUUACAAAGGAUGUUUUCUUACUAAGAUUGCUUAUCAUUACCAAUGUUACAUUGAUUCUAAUAUCAGUUAUCACAAUUUAAUGGGAUAAUUGACUAAUUAAUCUUACUGAACCCGAAGUAUCAAACAAAUAUACUUAAACACAAGGUAAUGGUGUUAAAAUAUAUUUUACUCCUAUAAAUAUUAUAUUCAAGUCUUAUCUUAUUUUUGAUGCGAGACUAAAUCAUGUGUUGAAAAAUAGUCAACAAUGGCAUUCUAAUGCAUCGUUAAUUUUUGACGGUGCCAUGUGACUAUCGAGCAACAGGCAGUUUUCUAAGAGGAAUCAAGACAAGAGACAACCUUGCCUAUUAGACACAAAACAAGAAGAAGAAGAAGAAGAAGAAGAAGAAUUCAAUGAUUCAUUGAAAUGGAUUCUCAUUCUACCUUCAGUUAAUUUUCUACAACAUUUCUUUAUGAAGCUCACAAGAAAUGGAUUAGUAUCGUAGGUAGAACACACAAACCAUCAAGGCACUGCUUCAGGUUUGUUGUUGGCUGCUGAUAAACCAAAUGACACCACAAUUACAAUGGCCACCGCCGAGCAGCAGAAGAGUAUAGAACUGCAAAGAAGUAGUAUUUAUUAGAUUAGAUAGAGAGUAAGGGAGAUAAAUUGACAUGAUAAGCCUUUGGUCAGAAAAAAAAAUUGUUUUUUAUCAAUUACCUUCGCUUAGGUUGAAAUUACUCUUACGGCAAAAGAUCUCCAAAGGGUCUAAAUGUUGCUGUGAAAGUAGGAUUUUGCCCAAGCAUUCUUUUCUGCGAUAAAUGAUGCAAUAGUUUACAGCCACAUCAGCAAAGCAAUUGAAUAAAUAAAAUGAUGGAAAAUGCAAAAUCAAUAAAAUUAAAAAGAGAUGCAAAAAUAGACCAAGUAGUUAAAGAUGACAUGCAGAUUUGGCAUUUGCAACAGGAUAAAAUAGCAGCUGCAGAAACCACCGCAUAAUCUAUCAGGUUGACUUUGCAGAGACUACAAGGUCCAAAGGGAAUCUCAUCUUGUUAGUAAUAGUUAUUGAAGAUGCGUAUGAUUUAAUGAGAUAUGACCAUUUAUUAUAUCCACUUAACAGAGAUGGCAUGUGCAUCAGCUAGCAGUAGAAACAUCAAGUAAAUAAAAUAGCAUUUGCCAAAAAAAAAAAAAGAGAAUAUGUAAAUCCACUUCAUAUCUAUAAGGCUGAUCUAUUAUCGCAGAGACCACAAUAUCAUACCCAAUGGAAUCUCAUCUUGUUAGUAACUGUUAUCUAAGACAAAUUACGAUUAAAUGAAAUAUGACCAUUGUAUCAUAUCCACUAGUUGAAAUAGCAUAUUUCACAAGUUAGCAGUAGAAACAUCAAGUAACCAUUCUUUCUGUAUAUUUGGUUGCUUUCAUGGGAUCAUUUCCAACAUUUGGUGUAUUAUCUGCAUGCAUUAAAGCCUUAUCAAAGAAUACUCACUCAGCCCAAGAAGGACCAUGCUUCCUUCUGCGCAUGUUUUCUUCCUCUCCAUCCUCAUCAUCGGAGUCUUUGUAUGGAGAUAUCUCAUAUGAUUGAGAAUUCAGAUUUUCUUUAGUGGUAGACAUCCUACCUUGAAUUAUUCCUUUCAUACAAUCGGAGCUGAUAACCACCUUCAAUAACACAAUUAAAAUAAAAAAUCAGGAAAAAAUAAAAAUAAUUGGUAAAAAGACUAAUUUCAGAAUAAUUGCUAGAAACUUUAUUUUGAAUGUAAUAGCUGGAAUGGCCUGUGUAUAUGUAUAUAUAUGCAUCAUGCAUAUAUAUAUAUAAAGAAUCAUACAAAGACUCUGAUUUUUAUGUACACAAAAAUCUUCAUGGCCAUUAAUUUACUGAAACCUUAUGAAGAAAUCCAUCAGGUAAAAAAGCCAUCGAACUCUCAGAAAAGAUUCAAGUGAAAUAAAAGUUUUACUAAAAAAGUACAAACAAGUUCACUAAAACAUAUAGGUCAACAUCCUCUAGAUAAUUAGUAAUUAGCAUGGCAUUCAAAAAAAGCAUGUUAAUCUUGGGAUACAAAAUUAUCAUUUCACAGUUAUUUAAUAAAAAAUGAUGAUGGCACAAAGCCUCUAUCCAGGGACUACCUUGGUGGCAACCGGUUCCACUUCCAUUGUGUUUCUAGACCCAGCAACCUCCCCUCCUUUUUCUGAUUUCAGUUGCUGCUUUGCUUCUAGCACCAGACCUUUCUUCCUUCCCUCAUCAUCCUAUGUCCAUGAUCAUGUCAAUGAAGGAACAAAAUGUCCAGAAGAUCUAGAUAUAGUAAUGUAUACCAAAUUAGAACUUACUGCAGCUUUACAUCGAAGUUCUUUUUCCUCUUUCUUUGUAUGUAACCUUUCAUCCUGUUCUCUUUGCAACUUCCGAGUUUCUUCAAUGCAUCUUCUUUUUCGUUCCUUCUCCUUCCGUUCUUCUUCUCUCUGCCUCUUCCUAUCUGCUUCCUUUCUUCUCUUUUGCUCCUCCAACUGUUUUUGCUUAAGUUGUUUCUCCUGCUCUAACCUUUCACGCUCAAGCUUUGCUGCUGCUUUCCGCAUCUCACGUUCAUUUUGUUUCUUUUCUUCAAGAUGUUUCGCAGCCUCCGCUGCCUCUAGUGCUUUUACUUUAAUAUCUUUCUUUCCUACAGGGUAACAACAUCAUCAUGCUAAAGGACUAAUGCAAUCACGAGCAGUGAGCCAGUAUCACACCGAUCUGGGUGAUAUCAGCUACAACUGGAGAAAACUACUAAUAUAUGCAAAUGUAUAUGAACAUAGAACAUAUGUAUGGAAAUAUGUUUAACAUUAUAGAAUCAUAGCACAUAAUUUACCAAAUAUACAAGAUUCAUUAACAUCUAUACUGACACAAUCUAGUAUGAGUCUUUCUUAGGGCCCAUCAUGAACAUAGCAUUGCUCUUUCUGACUCUGAAACAAUAUUACAGCAGUGACUCAUGAAAGAAGUCUGCAAAACAGUAGCCACUGAAAAUAGCCACAAUAUCUUGAAGAAAAAUAGCCACAAUAUUACAAUUUCUAAGCAAGACUACAAAAUUCAAAAUGCAAAUUUGAAGAUUAGUAUAUUAGCAUAAGAAGCUCCACAGUAUAUUGAGGGAAAAUUAAAACAAGACAUCAUGUUCAGAGAACUUUGUAACAGUACUGGCAGGGCCUUGAACACAAAUGCCAUAUGCACAGAAAAAGUAAUUAUUAGAUCAACAUCAACAUGCUUUAGUAUACAAUGUGUACUUAGCAGGACAAGGACUCCAUACUUAUAGGACAAAAUUUAUUAGUGGUUCAAUAAAAUUAAUAAAAAAUACAGAUUACUCGAUAAACUGGAGAUCACAACCUUCCACAAUCAGAGCUCACCAUUACACAUUCAAGGCUCAGAAAACUAGAGUUAAUGGAUAAAUUGAACAAGGUAGUCUCAAUGUGCUGCAUGAUCUAAAUUUAUUUGAGACUAUCUGGAUUGUUCCAAGAGAUAAAUUCAAGACCAAGUAUAUGGGCAUCAUAUAAGAGUAAUGUAUGUACCUCCAGCACUCUUUGUUAUAAAUUGGAAAGCAAGCUAAGAGAUUCAUUGCACAGGUGUUUACCAUUAUUACGCCAAUAGGUACAUGCCGACAGACACAGCCAUCCUUGCCAAAUAGCAUGGGCUCUUCACCAAGUUGAUUCUGGCACAACAUUGGCGUGGCAGUAAAUGAUGUUAUGAUACUAUGCAGGCAAACUAGCUAGCACAGCAUGGUAUAAAAUCAAACCCAUAAGUUGCUUAAUUUCCAAUAACCUAAGUAAACACCCAUGUAGAACAAUGUCACAAGGGAAAAUUCAUAUAUGCACAAUCAAGGUACAGGGCAGAAAAAAGAAGGAAGCAACCAAGAAUGCAAGAGAUCAACAAUUUGCGGAUGUUCUUAUCUUCUUAUCUCUGGCAGCAAAUUUAGGUUUAGUUAUUUCAUAUAGAGUUGACAAGCGAUGAGAUGACAUUUAGAUACGUACUCAACAUAUGUUUUGAAAGCUAAGUAAAUUUCACACUAGCGUUAAUAGUACCAAAUUUUCUAGUGCAGGAAAAAUAAACAGAGAGAAAAAAGUUUUAAAGGAAGUUGACGAGCGACGAGCAAGGAAGUAUAAAGGACCUUCUAGAUAGGUGUCAUAAAAUUUUCCCAUGAUCAUAAGAUAGAUCUUUAUACCAAUCAAUAAGAUGACAUUUAGAUAGGUACUCAACAUAUGUUCUAAAAGCUAAACAAAUUUAACACUAGCAUUAAUAGUACCAAAAUUUCUAGUGCAGGAAAAAUAAACAGAGAGAAAAUGGAUCACCUUUUGUAGUUGUUGCUUGCUGCUUUUUCUGAAGCAUUGGGAUGAAAGAAGAUAUAUUGGAGAUGAUAUUGCUUGGCUUACAGCCUUUCAGAAUACUUGCUUGGCUUCUAUUCCUUUCAACUGCUUUCACAUUUAUUUCUGGCUUGUUACAUAAGGAUUUAACCACUUUCCCCUCUUUCUUUCCAUUAAUUGAAAGACAUUGAUUCUCCUUAUCUGCUGUCAGAUCUUUAUUGCCAGUAUAAGCAGUUGCCAAUAGCGAAUCAAAACUAGUCUGAGUUCCUGAGUGGGAUUUCGCAUUUGAAAAUUCUAGACUGCCACUUUCAAGGAGCAUCUUGGUAAAAGGAACAAAAGUUGAUGCAUUUUCGUAUACUGAAGUGACAUCUUUAAGUGAUUCCCUAUUAUUCAGAACUUGGAUUCCUCUUGAGCAAAUCCCCUCUUUGGAGGUGCUUAAUUUAUCCUGACGCUCAAUAUCUUCUGUGGUGCUAGAAUUUUCAUCAAUUCGAAAGCACACAAGUUCAGGGUUAGUACCCACUGUCUGUGAACUGGCACCACUUCUACUUGAAGCCUUUCUCAAGGCGGAAUUUUCAAUUGGAGGUGUCCGAGGAGCUUUACUACUUGCCCAUGCAAAUCUAGCACUGAAAGGCGUGCUAUUGGAAGAAGACCUUUCCACAAACGAACAGUCAAAAGAUGAGCCCAAGCUGUUGUAAAGAUCAGAAAUUUUGUCAUGUUCGCUUCUAAAUUGUCUUGUGUAAUCACCAUAAAAACAUAGAGAAUCAUUGUGCAGGUGCUCCAAGAGGCCAUUAGGUAACGACUGAAGAAGAUCAGGAAUGUUGUUGAUUUUAUAGUUUCCUGAAGGACGGGCCGUGGGUGUAACCAAAUGUGUAGAAUUGCCUUGCUGCACAUCCAAAGGAAUAUUUUCUUCCUUGAAACAUGGAUAAUCAACAUCAUAGCAGAUAUCAUUUUUCUUAACAGGAGAUACACCAAUACUGAAACCCUCGAACUCUGGCAUGGAAUCAUCACAGUUCAUGGCCAAAUCAUUCUGAAAGUUUGACAAUACAGAUGCACCAUAUUUGCUCAAACUUUUCCCUGCAUCAAAAACUGUCCCCUCCUCUAUAGACUGUAAAUUGUGGCAAUAAACUUCAGAUACUACAUGACUCAAUUUUCCAUCAGCAUCGUUUCCAGAGGAGCCAGGUUCUUUUGGUUCAGAAAGAGUAAACUCAGUGCCACCAAUUUCAAUCAUUAGAGAGGGCCUGGAGUUUCCAUGGGCCAGACUGGGAGAAGUCACACCUUUUGUGCAUUGAGUUGGCAAGGGAAUAUCCAUGACUUGGUCUUUACUUUUCAAGCAAGAGUCAUCCUACCAAGUAAGACAAUUAUUAAUCUAAAAAAUAAGACAAAGAUAAACCAAAUCAGCAAGCAGAAAAGCUUCAUAUAGGCUUGCAGAUCAUGGAAAGAAAUUCAUAACAACAUAAACUUGCAACAAGAUGCUUCUAAGGACUAUAAGACACAGUCUGCCUAUAAAAAACACAGGAAAUUCAUUGUGAGAACAUGGAGAGAGGGUAAGGGAGUGAUGGAUAAAGCAAUUUCAAUAAAGCUUAAUAAUAGAAUACAACGUACUUCCAAGUGAUUCUCAAUCUUUCUAAUUUGCUUUAAGGUACAGAACUACAUACUGCAUCAACUAAAUUGCAGAACUACAUAUAUCUUUACUACUUAGACAUCUCUAUAAAUGAACAUGUGUAAACAUAGACAUAUCAACAUAGCAAACUAGACUACUAUAAUAUUAGUCCAAGUAAUUUCUUUUAGUAUAACAAAAUAAAAUGACCUUUUCGAUACCUCUUUCAGACAUUGCCUUUUGCUUUGCUGAUGAAAUUCUGAAUUGCUCCUGAACUCUGCAUUUUCUAUAUCCAUAUUCAAUACAUUUUCAGAGGGAGAUGGUGUGAUCUGCAUUUCUUCCAAUGGAACAAUUUCUGAGCUCACUUUGCUGCUACAGCAAGUGUCUUCUUGAGUAUGCAGGAGCCGAUGAAGUGUUAUUCUUGAAGUAGCAAGAACGCCAUCUGAGUAACAAAUCAACUUUCUCCUCUUAGGCCAUGAUAUUUCACAUGCAUCAGUCAUUAGUUCACUUGAUCGUUUUGAACUAGUUGUAUUACCAGUUAAAUUUAGUUCUGAAUAAGAGUAAGUCUUCCCAUGCCUGUUCAAGCUUCUUAAAAAGUACCGAGAUUCCGAUGAAUGAUUCUGAGUUCUAACAUUGUAUGAUAACUGAGUGAUACUCUUUUCCAUUGCAUCCAUUAUAUUUUCACUGUUCUUGUCCAUCUUGGUUACUGACAAAAAUUUCUCUAGUGAAGGUGAAAUAUAAGCAUUCCCUUUACUAAGACCAACAUCCUUUGGAACACUAGUAAAGUUCCUCAGAGAAUAGCUAGCUCUUGUAAGCUUACUCUCCAUUUUAGCAGCAUUUGGUGAUUUCCUGGUGAGGAUUGUCUCACGAACAUCUCCAGUUGUGGUGUCAAUCAAGUUUUCGUUGGCUGACAAAGACAUGUAGUCAUCUGAACAAGGCAAAUCAGAACCAUCAGAUAUAGAAACAUCAAAAUUUGCAGACGAACUUCUUAAAUGUUGACAUCCAAGUCCUGCAGAAUCAUUUUCGGCAGUAUCUACAAUCAGAGUGGAUUGGGAAACUUCUGCACUACUGUUUUCCACUGUAACAACCUCAACCACUUCAGUUUCUAGGCUAACUUCAUCUAUCAAUGACACUGAAUGAGCACUCUGAACAUCAUCAGUCAGUUGGUCUUGGCUGCAAACCGAUCUUUUUACAAGCUUUCCUUUGCAACUGCCUUUUGUUCUGUGAUCCACUAAGCUUCCAUCAGACUGUUUCUUAGAAGAAUCAGUUGCACUUACCAUCUCCAAUGAUCUUACAGCAGGAACAUGUGGAGAUAUCUUUGCACAUAAUCUAGAUCCAACCGUAUCGACAAUGUUAAGUAAUUCAUCUCUCUCCACAUGAUCUUUACCACUAAUUCUUUCAGCUUCCUUUCUUAUAACUUCCGUAGCAGCCAAAACACUCUCAUGUUGGAGCUGCUUUUUCUCUGAUAAAACGAGCAUUGUUUUAGAAUUUCUAUGGAGUUCUUCAUCUUUAAUACACUGAAGAGAUUCUGAAAAAGAAAACUCAAAGCAACUGCCCUCAGUUUCUCCUGCAAAAGUAGUGGUACGGUCCUUGUUUAUAUCAUAAGGCUUAAUAUUGUCAGACAAGUAUUGAAUUUGUUUGACAUCAGAAAUUAUCUGAGGUUGUCUGGUGGCUACAAUGCUUGCCUGUCCACUUGUAGUAGGUUCACCACUUCGCUGCAUCGCUGACUGCUCUGUCAGGCUUCUUGAUGGACUUCCUUGACAGACAUUAUACUGAAAACUUUGAUGAUCUGAAAAGUUCAAACAGGAUCUUAACAUUGAGGUAGAAGAUGUCGGUGCAUUGGUCAAAUUCAAGUUUUUAGUUUCCUCAGACAAUGAUGAAUGCUUUUGAUGAUUCAUAUCGUAUGUUGUAGAGAGGGGACAACAGUGUGAUUCUAUUUCCUUUCCAGUUGAAUCUCUAACAGCUACCACUGCACUUUGCACAACUUUAGCAUUCGAGGCAUCCUCUCCAGGCUGAAAUGCUCCAAAGUCAGGUGCAGAAUCCUUGCAUAGCGGAUCCUCUUUUAAUGAUGGUGCUGACUGAAACUUCCUAAGUGCACCUGAAGUACAACAAAGAUUAUUUUUCUGAGAAAAGGAACCAUAAAAUUUUUUAUCCUGAUGGCAAGCUUUUAUACCAUCAAAACUAAGUUUCUUCACAACAGCCAAUAAUUGAUUGUGAGAAUGAUGAGAAUUUUCAGAGGGUACUGCUUCCAGUCCAGGAACAACAGAAUUCGAUCCAUUUAAGACAAACUCCUUUGCAAGGGCCCCUGUACACUGUUCCUUGGCUGAAGCAUCAUGAGGAGAGUUGGCUAUAAGAUCAGGUGCCUCUCGUGAUACUGUUUGCAUAAAACUUGCUUGGUUUGCAGUUGCUUUACUAGUGAUGAACCCUGAAGGACUUAAUGGUUUUGAUAUGUUGUCAAGAGAUGGAAGACAAUCAAGUGUUUGAGUAGCUAUACCAUUAGGAACCAUUGAGUUCUUCAUAUCUGAUGUUUCUUCAUCAUGUUCGGGCAUCAAAGACGCAGCCAUGGUGCGAGUUGCUCUACGAGCAUAUUGUUUUACGGUACACUCAUUUCCAGAAUUUGCAGCAUUCAAUUUUUGGUUAAGAUGACUCUCAGGUUUCCAUUGCAUUGACCUGUAGCAUUGAGCACUUGCAAUCUGGUCAAAGACAGGUGAAUCCUUAACAUCUUCAGAGCAUGCAAUAUAACACUCUUUUUCAUGAUCUUUGUAAAUAGCAUCACUUGUGUCUCCAUCAUUGUGCUCUGGAUAGAUACAUUCAUUAGAAAUGCACAUUUCACUUGCAAAGCUACUAUAUUGACACAUAUUGGUACUCUUGAGUGCAGGCAGGGUGUGGAGAGUGUUGUGAUUUGUCGAAGGAGUGGUGGCCCAUGGAAGAGGAAAUAUGAUCCCUUGAACACGCUGCUCCCUGAUUAACUCUGCAUAAAAAUAAAUAUACUAUAAAAACUAUAUACGCUGAGUACUGUGUUGCAAAUCCAGUAGCUCACUGAAUGUGAGGCUCUUUUAAAAUUUCCAUAGGGUUAGAUAAAAGUUGCCAUGGCUCUUAUUAGAAGUAUACAUUUGAUAAACACCAAUCCCCAUACCCAGCAUGCACAUGACAAUGGAAAAAAUCAAACAACAAAAUAGUUAGGAAAUAAUUCACUAAGUUCUUCCAACCACCCACAUAAUACCCACAAAGAUCACCUUCAAACCGCCAGAUAUUUCCCUCCAAAAAUGAAAGGCAUGCGAAAAGUCCUUAUCUACUCUCUUACUAAAUAGGACAGAAAUCAAAUUCUUACCUUUUUUAACAUUCUUGUCUCUCCUUCCUUACCGCACACCACACAGAAUGCAGAGCUUAAAGGUUCCAAUCUCUCUACUGCUUCAUAUUCCAAAUUCACAGGCAUCCUUUAGUGUAAAUGCAAAUCUUUCAGCUUAACUUGAGUUGUGUCUUAAAUUGUAGAUUUGCAAUUGCCACUGGCAUCUCAGAGACACAGAGGUCCGAGCAGCCUGCCAACCAGCUCCUAGAGAAAAGGAAUUGGAAAGCUGUUGCCCAAUUCAAUGUCAUCCCAGAUUGUCUGCCUAAGACAUUUGAAGCCUUAAUUUGCAUUCUACGAUAUUGUUGCAUAUGCCUAGCUGAUUUCCCAAAAUUUCCAUCCCAAACAACACAUAGGAAUCGCUAUUGCAAUUCUAGAACCCAAAUUGGACUGGAUAAUUCACAGAUUUCAUAGAACAACUUUCCGAUUUGUCAAGGCCAAUGAGAAAAAAGGACGAACAAUCGCUCGAUUCAGCGAAAAGUACGAAAAGAAAGUAUAAUUAUUGCAAUUCUAGAACCCAAGACACAAAGAACCCGAAACCAAGUGAAAGAUCCAGGAAACCCAGGGCAAGGAAGACGGCAAACCUUUCGGGCGAAGGGCGUCGGAUCCGGUGUCCCAGAGCCAGGGAGGGGGCCGUCUGCCGUCGGCGAGAAGGUUGUAGGCGAGGGAUUGGCCGUACGACUCGAUCUGCUCCCUCAGCUGGCCCUCGAUCCAGGCUUUCCGGUCGAAGACUUGCAUGAAGAGGUGCUCCAGCGUCGUCGUCAUCCCGGUCCUAGUCCGGUCCGAUCAAGAACAAGAACGACGGAUUUCGGAACCCUAACGGCAAGAAACCCAAAUCGAGGAGAAAGCCAUUAGGUUUAAUCGAUACCUCGGCGAGAGAGACCGAGAGAGAGAGGCCGGUGAGCGGGGAACGAUUUGAAAUGUUCGAAGGUGAAGAGGGGGGAGAGGUUUGAGGUUAACGUGUACCGAAGGAGAAACUUAUGCACACAACAUUAAUAGAAGUUGGCCACCCGGAAAAUGAAAAUAGUAAAUAAAUAUAAUAAUAAUAAUAAUAAUAAUAAAGAGAUAUUUAUAUAUUUAUCAUUUCAAAGUUCAAAAGUUGCCACAUAUUUUAUUUAAAAUUUUAAAUAUGAAUUUCUUAUAUAUAUGUUAGAGUUAAUUACUAGUAAUCAUAGUUAUUAUUAUAUUUUAAAAUAAUAGAAACUUUUGAUAUCUUAAAAUAUGUUUCAUUACUUUUAUCAAUUAUCCAAUCCCUUAUAAUUUCUAAUAUUUUUGAAAGGAAUUAUUGCAGCAGCAGAUCAAUCUAUGCUUCUUCAAGAGUCAGUGAUGCAUUUUAUUGCAGCAGUCAUAUUAAACUCCACUUAUCAAACCUAUGUAAAACUCAUUAUAACAUGUUUUGUAAUGCUUGUACCGAUCAUUCUUUCAAGAAAUGUCACAGCAUACCUUACCAUAAUAUAAAAGGUCACAAUGAUUACAUAUAACUCUUCAUCACAUGAAUGGAUGGAAAUGGUUGAUCGGAUGAGUUGCAUAAGGAUGAUUCUGACAUCUCACAAGCAUGCAAUAUAUGCAUUAAGAAGGCAUACAGUAACAAAUAAGCUGUGAAGAACAUGUUAAUAUAAGCACACUUGAUACACAAAAUUUGGCACAAAAAGAUUGGACAUCUCUCUAUCUGAGACUCGUAAAUGGAAACUCGGCGCGACAUCCAAAAUUCACCCAGCCUUUCCAUCUGCAUACUGCUACUCUUGUGCAAAAUGUCUAGUAAGGAAGUUGUGUGGUACUAAUGUUAGACAUCAGUAUAUAUUGCUAAAUGAAGCCUGGAACCACAUGUCAAAGAAACCCUGGUGGUCAGGUCCGCUUGAAUCUCUUCUCGGAUGUUGUGUUGCCAUUGGUGCCUUCGUUGCACCUUUUAAUCAAAGGAAAGCAGUUGUUAGAUAUCAUGUCCAGCCGCCUGUUCACAUCUGCCAAGCCGUCGAAUCUGCAAAUGCUUGUUGCUAUGGCAAUAGUUGUAACUUCAGACCUAGGAAGGAACUUCGCCUCCAAAGCAGCAUAUUGACCACCAUGAGAUUCUUCCCCUGCUGCAUUCUUCAGACUGCGAAGGACCUCAUCCUUAUCUUGAACAAAGCUUCCUUUAGUAACCUGUAAAUUUUAUAAUGAGUUUAAAGCUUCCUCUAGUAAUUUCCUUUUUCAGGAUUUUUCUUAGGCUAAAAUCACAAUUGCUUGUUUUUAAAUGCAAGUACUUUUGAUAAGAUGCCGUUGGGUUAGCUCCUGACAGAAUGGUUAGCAUUUCAAAUUUUAUUCUUAUGAGCACAGAGGUCCAAAUUGCUCUAAUCAACAUCACAGAUGUGCAAGUGUGUUUGUAUUUUUAAUACUAAAAAAGAAAGAUACAAGAUGUUCAAAGAAGUACAGCUACUGAAAAGCACAGUUCAUGUUUUCAGUUCUAUAAUUGGAGAAAGUAUAAAAGAAAUUUUAGCUAGAAAACUGAUGGUUUCAUACCUGAAAAUCAAUUGGCCACUCAAUGGAAGUGGAUGGACAGCUACAACCAUCACAAAAGUGAAAAGUUAACAACAUCUUGAAGGGCCUUUUUCUUGCUGUUUCCCUGGAAGAUACAAUAUUGUCUUAAGAGGAAAAGGAAGUAAUAGAUCUAAGGCAAAUAAAUAAAAUCUUUUACAGGAGGAACAGUCUAUACAUUAACUUAAUGACGGCACCUUUUAAGAUGAAAUGGCUGCUUAUCUAGGAAGGCAGCCUUUAAGUCAGGUCUCUCAGGAAAUGAUAUCUGAUGGCAAAAUAGGAAAUUUGAGUGUCUUUAUGGAAUGACUGUGAGAUUCCAAUACUAAUAAGCAAACAAGGGGAGAUGCAUUAAUGACAAAAAAAUGAGAUAAUGAGAUGACAAGGUUGGUGUUUAGAAAGCAUGAUAAGACAACUUUAAAUUAGGCACUGCCCACAGGAUCCAAGUCAUUUUAAAAGUUUGUUUAUUAACUUAUUGGGCACUCUACAACGUCAAUCUACCUCCAUCUAGCUGACUCCACUGGCAAGGUGCCUGGCACUUUCUUGAAUUUUUGAGCCAAACAACAGCCCAGACACCUAGAUGGGGCCUGGCAGCUAACUAGGUCCUUAUGGUCCUCCACUUAAUUUUAGAGGCCACUUACUACAAAUAAUUAUUAGUAAAGGAUACCAGAAUUUGAUUUCAAGGGGGAUAAAAAAACACGAUAUUUAUCAUUUCAAGUAAUUCAACAAGUGCAACUUUUUUUGUAACUAAUUAGCAAAAUAUGAAAUCAUUUUAUGUGCAUUGUGCAACCAAUAACAACAAUAAAUAUGUGACUUGUUGAACAUUGAUUUUUAUACUUGUUUUUUAGCCAUGAUGCAUAUUAUUGUACCUUAUUUUUAAGAUGUGCUAAUUUUUUUAACUACUUUUGCUUAUCUAAAUAUUUUGCAUCUUCUACCAAUACACAUGUCGAAGGCACAUAAGUGAAAAGCUAUCGCGUCGAAGAGUGAAUAUGAUGUAUUGUUUGCUUUUUCAAAAUUAUGAAUCGUGAAAAAUGCUAGAACUUAAUUUGUAGUAAAAUUUUGUCUACGUGCUCACCAGUGUGCCUAGGCCUCUCAUCUUAAUUUAUGGUAAAAUUUUGGUAGCUUGCUUUCUAUUUUGGAUUCCAUUCCCUCCUUUCCUCACUCCAUGUCGCUUGUUACAUCAUGCCACAUGAUCUCCCCUUUGCUUCCUAAAAAUUUGCUUUAAUAGAUUUCGUAAAGUUUUGUCGUCUCUACAAUCUACAUCAGAUUGUCCGUAACACUUGUUGUUUGUGGAAGAUUUAUAUUCUCUUGAAACUUCUCAGAAUAUGCAUGCUGUGAGUUUCUCGAUACCAACCAUACAAUUACUAUACAUGCAUUAUAUUCUUAAUAAGUCAAAUACACAAGCCCAUAUUAUAGUAGCCUAGUCACUAAGAUACAAGAAAAAAGCACACUGAGAUACAACUUGACAUAAGCCACAAAUUUUUUAUUGUUUUACAACCCUGUACCAGGGUAUAAGAUCCUACAAAGCUAGCUGCAAAAUAUUUCAAUCCAUGAUAAACAUCUUAGUAUCAAGUCUUCAUGCCAGGGCUGACAAUUAUAUCUUUUUCACAUCUUUUGAAAAUAACUUUUUCCAUUAUGGCUGUCAAUUCAAUUGAGAACUUAGAAUCCCACUCGUGUUUGGCUGUAAUUCUAUCUUGAUUAAACUCGAAAAUAAAGCUCAAAAUUAAUAUAUAUGGGUAUAUAUUAGGCUCAAAAUUUAAUUCUAGGCAAGCCUAUAUAACACGAGUUGCUUUAGAAGAUGUCAUAUAUUGGUCAUUGACCACUCAAACCAGCAAUUCCCCAUUCAUGACACGUUUUCUCCUACCUUAUUAUCGGUUAAGUUUCUCAGGAUAAAAAUGCAUGUCAACUGUCCACUAGCCUAUCCAUCUUGACAACAGAUGGGGAUUGGUGCUCCAAGAUUAGUCAUGAAUAGCAGCUAUAUAAAGUUAUUUAUCCAUCGAUAUGAAAGCAAAAAACAAAUUAGCAGUAUACAAUAGAAUAUUUGAGAGAAUCAAAUUUGAUAGAAUACUUGGGAGAACUGAAAUCUGGUUGACUAAUGAAUAUAAUUUUUUACCUCAACUGACUUCAGAAAUGCUAAUGGAGCUCUGGGUCCAUGGAUACUUGUAAUCCUCAGAGUCCAUUUCACGUAAGUGUUCUCUGGAUUGUCAAAGCACAAAAUAGAGAGUAAGAUGACCAAAACCCAGAACUUCCUUAUGCAAAAGCACAAAUCUGAUGUUUUCCUUGGUAUUAUACAAUAUGCUGAAGUAUCCUCAAGCCUAUAAGCUUUCCAUGCAUGCAGUGAAAGGAAAUGACAUAAUAAAUUUAUUGUUGUGCUGUAAUUUCAGUUUUUUUGGCAUCGUAAUCUUUUAAACAUGAACUGCUUUGAAUGCAGCCUAAACUUCAACUUUCACUAUUGAUAUCAUUGUACCAAUCCAAGGCUAUUUCAAGGAUAAAUUUUAUUGUGAAGGAUGAAGAAAAAUAAGAAAAACAUAGUAGGUGAAUUUAGCUGAAUAAUACCAUAACUUUAUGCAUAGACUGACAUUUUGCCUGGAUCGGUACAAAACAGGCAGUAUGUACCGGGCCGGGCAUGAACUGAUAAGUAAAAUGCCCCCAUUUCGAAUUGUCCAAUCCAACCUAUUAGAAAAACUAAAAAAGAAAAAGAAGAAACUUAUUUAAUGCUGCUGGUUUAGGGCUUGCGUUUGUGAGCCUUCCUUGCUGUAGAUGCAAAGCUUGCUGCUGCCUGUUGCUGCCCACUGCCUGCCUUGCGUCGCUAAUUUCAGGUAUGCUUCCUCCUUCUCUUCCUCCUCCUUCAUUGCUUCCUCUUCUUCUUUCCUCUUCCUCCUCCAUCCUCCUCUUCCUCCACCGCCUCCUCUUGUUACUUCUUCUUCCUCUUUUUCCCUCCACUUCCUCCACCACCUCCACUUCUUCCUUUCCCUCCUUUCUCUUCCUCCACUGCCUCCUCUACUUCCGUUCUCUUCCCUCCUUCAUCCUCUUCCUCCACUAACAGUCCUUCCUCUUCCAACGGUAUCGAUAUGUAUCGGUACAAGAUGACAAACCUUGACUUUAGGAAUAUGUCAUACAUUGUUGUAAAUCCAUAUCAAUUGUCUUAUGCAUGUGUACUCAAUAAACCCAUAUGUGGCAUAUAAGAUGAUUCUCUCUAAUGUAUUAUAUGAAGCAUCUGUUUUCCAUGUUAUGUCUACUGACAUAAUUCUAUAUCUAGUGCUCCUUGCUACCAAAGAAAGGAGGCAAUUUACAUAGAAUGCAAUUUGCAUUGAUUAAAUUCUUCUUAAUGAGCCUUUUUAUCUCAAAUGAAAUACUGUUGAGUGUUGACAUUCUAGAUGAAGAGGAAAUUGCAGCAAGAAAAUAUCAAUUUGUGAUUAAAUCUUACUUUUUGGUGAAUGAGACAGACUAAGUUGAGCAAAGUCAAUGCGGAUAUAUGGAGGAAUGCACAGGCUAAGAAAGUUCAUGACGCCUGCAAUAACCUGUUCUGGAUUUAUCAGAUGAUUAGCAUAGGGUACAAAAACAAGGAAAUCCAAAUAUGUCAAGAGUUUUAAAGUUCAGGGAAAUAUUCAACAUGUUAGAUUAAUAUAGCCUUGUGCAGCUAACCAAUCUGUAAAAAAAAAUAUUCAGAGAAUGGUUAAAGCCACAUGGUGCAAGUUUACAGAUGUGGGAUCUUCAAAGGGAGAUACUAGGAAAUGCAUCCCCAUCAAUCAACUAGCAUAGUUGCUUAUAUUACCAACCUGAAUACAAAUACCAUAAUUCAAAUUAAUCAUUAGUGAUUAAAAUUUGUGUGUUUGCUCUCCAAUACAUAACGACAUCUGCAUCGACUCCAGAAACACAAACACUAAGAGAGCAAAGGUUAUAGAAUAUUUAUCCAGUGCAGUUGUUUUCAGUUAUAGCAUAAUAUCUUUGAACAAUAUAUCUGUCCAAGUAUGAUGAAACUUGCUCUUUCACAGGUUCCUUGAGCCAACUAUAACUUGAGUUCGAAUGCAGAAGCAUCCUCCUUACAGUUGCAAAAUUGUAAACACAUUUCAGAUUGGAAUUUAUUAAAUUAUUAUCAAUAAGGAGCGAGCUCUACACUGGAAAAGAUCUUCCAACAACUUAAGUCAAAAUUAACCACAUAAUGACCAGGGAUCAAGCAUAGAGGGAAACAUCCCGAAGUAACGUCUCAACAUUGGAAAAGACACUACCUUAUCAACAAGCCCAUGGAUCACCAGACUAGCCUUUUUGUCCUUUGGGGUUGGCUGUCAAAACUCAGAUACAGGAGGCAACAUCAGCGAUCUCAAGUAUUCAUAUGACUGCAGAAUGCUUAACUAAUAAUUGAAUUAACUAUACAUAAUAGCAAUUAUCAUCUAUUUGGAGUAUGGCACCUUCAUGUUAUUUCUUUCAAUAGUUGAAAUGAAUAUGGUUAUCCAACUAGAAGACAGAAUAAUUAACUUAUGGAGAAAAAUUUUAAACAGUACCCCAUUGAACAAAAGUUGAUCCUAAAAAUAGCAUUUCCUUUCAGUCUGUACUAUACUUGUAACAUUUUUGCGCUUUCCCUGUUUCUAGUAAUUAGCAGCAUGUAACAUUCCAAAUCUCCUUAAUGGUUACCCCUGAGCAUUUCUACAGACUUCUUUGACAUUGAUAAUUUGAUGAGUCGAAUACAAUGUAAUCUACAAAAAGGAAUAUUAAAAAUUUCACCUAAAAUCAAGGGGUUAUAAGAUAUAGUAUAUAGAUUAAGUUGAAAAGAGCAAUAUUUGCUGUUCCUGGUCAUCAAUUCUAAUAACUGCUAAUAUCAGAUAAGCAACUGUCAAGUAAAAGGACAGGUGUCCCAAAUUAAGUCCUUCAGAAUUUAAAUAUGGUACAAAUGGGCAUAAAGGAAAAGCAUGUACACUCAGAAUAUUCAACUUAGCUUUGGGUUGCAAGGGUAUAAUAGAUUCCUAUGAGACAAUGAUAAACAUCUUUCAUACAACAAAACCGUUGUUCCCAUUAUUUCAGAAAGUUGCAUAUUUCUUUAACUUGGAGAACAUGUGGUCUUCUUUUUCUUGGCUUUUAUUUGUUUGUUUAUUUUCUUUUGUGGAUGGAUUGGAGUGGGCUGUUGGAGCUAAAACCAGGUCACUAGUUAACCAGUCAAUGAUCGACAAGCACAGAUAUCUUUCCUUUUCUUUAUUUUAAAUUACAUUUAUAAAUAUUAUUUAUAUUCUUGUUCUUGAAAGGAUAUAAAGGAACUCAUACGAGUCAUGAUUGAUCGAACUUAACUCUCACAUUUAUGACCCCAACCCUGACAGCAUUUGCAACCAAAUGCUUACAUAGUCUUCCUAACUGAUUCACACCAAGAAAACUGUUAUUAUUAGAAGCAAUAUCAUAUAAGCUAAAAAACACAAGUUCUUAUGGAAUGUUGAUAUGCAUUACUCUUAGUGAAGUAGAACAAAUAUUCCAAAUUAAAUAAAAAGGUUACUAUUGUCUUCACACCAUUAGAAAAAUAGCAUUCUUUUUUCAAUAUUAUCCUUUAAUUCAGCAACUCAGAUUACCACAACUGCAUGUACAACCAUCUAACUUUUGGACAAGCUAUACAUAUAAAUAGUACUAGUUCAAAAUGAUAUAGGUACAUAUAUCCAGGACCGAAGCAUAACUAAAUGCAAUGCAUACCUGAAGAUUUACAAUAACAAUCUUCCCACCAUUUCGGAUACACUUUAAAGGUAAGUUGCACGCAGGUGUUAUCUGCAAACUGCAAACAGCAAGGUAGUAAGUUGGAAACCAUAACUAGGAAAUCAUGAAAAGAAAAGAUAGAAAAUGGGUACAUGUCUAUACAUCAUUCAAAAAAUC